rnacentral:lncRNA from 1 species
UUUCCAAGUGGUGAGUUACCCUCCACCCUUAAGCGCCUCAGCAUUUGGAAUUGUGGGAAUCUGGAAUUGCCGCCGGAUCACAUGCCCAACCUCACAUAUCUUAAUAUUGAGGGAUGUAAGGGUCUCAAACAUCAUCACUUGCAAAACCUCACUUCUCUUGAACUUCUGUAUAUAAUUGGAUGUCCCAGUCUAGAGUCAUUACCGGAAGGGGGUUUGGGUUUCGCCCCCAACUUGAGAUUUGUUACAAUUGUCAAUUGUGAGAAGCUGAAGACGCCUCUGUCAGAGUGGGGACUCAACAGGCUCCUCUCUCUCAAAGACCUCACCAUUGCUCCAGGUGGAUAUCAAAAUGUGGUUUCAUUUUCACAUGGUCAUGAUGACUGCCACCUUCGUCUUCCUACAUCUCUCACCGAUCUUCACAUUGGAAAUUUCCAGAAUCUGGAAUCCAUGGCCUCCCUGCCUCUCCCGACCCUCGUCUCCCUUGAACGUCUUUAUAUCCGGAAUUGUCCAAAGCUCCAGCAGUUUUUGCCAAAGGAAGGGCUGCCGGCAACACUCGGUUGGCUUGAGAUCUGGGGUUGUCCUAUCAUAGAAAAGAGGUGCUUAAAGAACGGAGGAGAAGAUUGGCCCCACAUUGCCCACAUCCCCGUCAUUGAUAUAGGCCGCAAUUGAGACCUUCACUCAAUUUUCUCUCUGCAAAGCAAAUGAGAGCAGACGUUAUUCAACCAGGUACUUCCCAUUCUCAACACUCAACAAAAAAUCUUACUCUUUCAAUUUCUAAUUACAAAUGUCACCGCAUAUAAUUUUCCUGCAAUACUUUUUUGUUCUUUAAUUUAUUCUUUCACUUUGUUUUAUUUAUUUAUUUAUUUGAACUUUGACUGGGAGAUGCUUUUGACAGAAUUUACAGGCAUUAUGGACCACAACUAAUAAAUACUAAUACAAAAAUGCUAAAUCUUAUCAUUUUUUCCCUCAUUAGAGAUGUACUAUAAUUAAAAUGUUUUUUGCUUUUAAUCUAUUCAUGAUAACACCAUAUUUCUUUCUUUCUUUGGAAUUUGUAGGUCUGUCCAAUUGAAUUUGGACUUCAUGUUGGAGACUCUUAAGUUUUGUAUUGAAUCUUGUGUGGUCAAUUGCUAUUUCUCGGUUGUUUCUCUUCUUUACAAAGCAAUGUUUAUAGUGCGAUGAGUGAAUCAAGGGUAACCCGGUGAGAAUAAGGUGGGCUACUUUUCAUUUGUUUAUUUUAUAUAUUUAAUUAGUUUUGUUUUACUUUUUACAUAAUGAUCAUCCAAAGUUUCAUCAUUCUGACUUGAGCUAUUUUCUUGAAAACUUGUUGCAAAAAGAGUUGUUGCAAUAGCCUUAUGCUACUGAUGCUAUAGUUUACCAUUGAAGCUAAGGAGUCUUGUGCCAAGUGAUUGUAUAUAAAGGAACCUAUUGGAAUGAUUUUGUUUCUGGGAUUUGAUGGAAGCUGAUGACUAUUUAAUUUAUUGUUCACCAUUUAGAACACACAAGUCCUAUCUUAUCUGUUAUGCCACUUCUUACUUUUCAUGUUCAUCAAAUUCUCCCAUGUAUAUUUAGGAUGAAAGAGAAAAAUAGGAAGGUCGAACGAAAAAGUUUAAAAUUUCCUAACCAUGGGCAAGAAGUUAUUCCAAGUAAAUUCUUUCGUACACAAUUAAUUUCCUUUACAUGUUUCCAAUGUAUUUAAUCUCAACAAGCAUCGUUAUGGAACCUAUCUUUGUAUGAGCUUCCCUUUUUUCCAACUAAAUAUGUAUGUGCAUUUAGUUGUCAAUCUCCAAAAUUCCUACUUUUGAUUCAUCAUCGCAUUCCCACAAAAAAAUAAAAUAAAAUAAAAUAAAAUUUUGAAUUGAACAUGAUGUUUUGCUGAUGUGCACCUCCUAUUCAUAUUUGAGAGAUCAUAUGGCAGCAUUAUGGGAUGAUAAGUGAAAAUGCUGCUUGUGUGAAUCUGUUUUUUCUCCUUUUCACGCUGUAGGCCAUGACUGGAGUGAAGCUAUAUAUAUGCAGUUUGCCAUUGAGGAUGGAUGAGGGAUGGAAUACAAUCUAGUAGAAUCUUGCUGAUUUUGCCAGAAGAGCAUAUGGAACCGUCUAUGUUGAGACAUUGUCAGUUCAAGUUCAUGCAAAUUGCCCGCUGAGAAGGAUUUAUUUCUCUGACCCCCUUUACUUGGAAGAAGAACUCCCACCAGAAUUCGAACUGUAUCUUCCAAUGCAGGUACCACAGCCAAUCACCAGCUCAAAUAACUAUAAAUUUUGAUUUCACUUGCUUCUCAUUUGCUGUCAAUAACCAUAAAUCACUUUUGUUGCAGAAAGCAUGAUGGGGUUUGUGGCACAGUAAGCUAAGGGAUUAGUGCUGCCCAUGUUCUCAGAACACAGUAUCUUCAAAAUUCAGAAUGUGUUUCUUCACCAAGGGAUGACAUUUAAUCCUGCUGAGAUGAACACCAUCUUUUCUACUUGCUUGAUGCUUGUUUAAAAUAUUACCAUUUUAGGAUUUCAUAAAGUGAAUAUAUCUUAUUUCGUCAAGCCCAUUUUGUGGGUGGAAUGGGGAUUUCAUGAUUUGAGUAUUUCUAUUUCAUACUGCACUUUUUGUGGUCACAAUUCAAUGGAUGUACUAUUGUAGUGGUGAAACUUCUUCAUAACACAAGGCUGUGUUUUGAGCAAUGAAUCAAAUGAUUUUGCAGAAUGCUGGCUUCGUGUUGUUGGUUGAAAAGAUUGUUCUUUUGCUGUGCACGCUUAGCUUGGUGAUCACUGAUCCAAUAGUGUAAAUAAAGUCUGUCUUGGUAGUAUUAGAGCAAAUGGAGUCUCAUUCAAAUCGAGUUGAAGAAGCAAAAGAAUCAUAUGGAUAAUAGACAAAAGGCUAGCCAUGUUGAGCCGGGUAGGAGAGAAAAAAAGGCCCUUAAAUCAGUUAUUUUUAUGCAUGGUUCAGCCAUUAAUGUAGCAGGAUUGAUCAUCACACGAAACCCAGUUAGCCCUAUUGGCUCUGUUAUAUUCUCACUUUUCCUCGACCUGUUUCUUUUUGGUUUGCCCAAUUUCCAAGUUUAGUUCUAGCCUAUCAACACUCACAUGAUAUAGCAAGGAUAAUGGAAUAUUCAUCAGUGAAUGUGAUCUGCAACCACUUGGAUGAUCUACAAAGAUCUUGGCAGCUGUUAGAAGGCACCAAUUUUAUAUAAGUUUGGAAUUCAUGUUACAAAGAAAUGUUCCUAAAAAAUUGUGACGAUAUUAUUUGCAUUUAUCAGUGAUAUAAUAAUGCUUACUGCCUUGUUUAGUAAAGAGAGAUAAACAGCUAGCACUGUAAUUUUGCCUUUGGGUCAACUACUAAGGCCAGUCCAGAAAGCCGGUCCUGCAUGUCUCAGCCAACUGCAUCUAAAUCAACCUCUGCAUCUGUCUCCCCAUCUAUCAUUCCAGCCUCUGCUUCAGCAUCUGCUUCUGACUGCCCUGCCUCCUGACCCGCAUCGGUGUCAGAGCUUUGCUUCUGAUUUUCAUCUGCUGUUGGAGUUGUGGCUGUGACAUCAGUGUCCAUUGGUGCUGCUGAGGCUUCAAGAUCAACUCUGGUUCCCUCCCCAUCAAUCUCACUUGCAGGUGUUGCGAUCUUGCAAUAACAAUAAAAGAAAACAUCUAAAAACCACCAAAAAGGCAAAAAAAUGACCAUACAAACUUUCAAUCCCGGAGGUCAUUUUUUUAUAAGGCAAUACACUACUUAUACAGAAUCCACUACAAUUUCUGAAAAUUGAUGCAUAUAGCCUCUUAAAACAAAAUUCUAGCAGCUAAAUUUUAGAAAAGGUGGCCAACUGUAUUCUUACCAGUUAUGAUUCAAAAAGGGCAGGUAAUACAGGAGGAAGCAGAGAGAUUAAAGGUUGACACUCCAUAAUUCAAGGCAGGCUUAACUCAUAAAAUUAACAUUCCUUCAACGGUUGAACUUAUACCUUACCUAUCUUAAACUCUCAAAACUUACCAAAUCAAAGAUGAUCUAUCCUGAAGUUUAAAACACAGCAAGGUUCUUUUUUGAGAACCACAAUCACAAGGAAUAAAUAAAUGAGUUGGCAAUCUUACUGCAGAUCCCAGCAAAUCUACCAUAUGACCAUAAUUGGUACCAAUAUUUAUACUUUCUAGCAAACUCUGACACAGAAUAAAGUAGGCAUCAAAUGUGUGAUUUCACCCUUCAUCCAUGCAUUUCAGUCUUGUUUCAUACUGCUUAGUUUCUACUAAGUUUAGCCAGUAAUGUGACUGCACUUGUGUUUAACACAAGACCAAUCAAGACCUUCGGCAGAAUAUUUUCAUAGUACAAGCUCCAAAUAUUGUUCUUUGACCUUAGGACCUACAUGAUAUUGGCUGGCUGAGAAAGUAUCAAAAAUUCAAUAUAUUCAGAAUGAAGUGACUCAAUUUGGCCAAGAGGAUCCUCAGCCCCAGUGAAAGAUCAAUGUAGGGCCCCUGGCUUGUUAUUAAGGGCACUACAAAGGCAGAGGUGAUAAGCUUUUUUCAAAUUCCCAUUAAAAAACAGUACUGUAAAAUCAUGUUAGCUUCACACUCAACUUUUCAGGAAUGGUUAAAAUACAUUGGAAAGCUUAAUACUGCCAAAAAUACCUGGUUUUCCUCUGCUUGUUGUGCAGCACCUUUUGUUUCUUCUUUUUUAGCACGUUUAGACCUGUCACUUGGUUUAGCUUGAUAUUUGGACCGGACAUCUGAAGGCAAAAGUUCCAUAGGCACAACCCCUUCAAUUCCAUACUCAGUAAACUGCAGCAAAACCAACCCAUUCUGUUAAAUCAAAUGUUAACCCACUUCUUUAAUUAACUAGUAUCUUGUAGAAAAAGUAAAUCAUACUCUAGAAAAUCCAUCCAAGUCCUGCCGAGCUGCAAAUCGAAGACCUUUCCAGCAAUAAACCUGCAUCAUAAAUAAGCAAAACAUUUUUAUAUAAAGGAAAGUUGACAUAAAGACAAAUGACCAACAUUACAAAUAUAAUAACAUACUAAAAUUCAUUCUUUGCAUAACACAUGAAAAACUCAAUGCACCUUUUGAAGAAAGCAAGAUGGUGGAUCUGUCAACCAUAUUUUAAUGUCGACAGAGCACAACCGCUUAUGUCAACCCUACUUUAUAUAUAGGUAUAGAUAUACAGAUAUAGGGAACUCUUGAAAACUCCUUGGCAAUUGAAAUAUAGGAACUUGUGAGAAGCCAGUUUUCUCCCACAAUGCAGUCACUGAUAACUUUCUAUACUAAGAAAUCCUCAUAUUUGCUCAUUAGGAUAAAUAAGACCCCAAAUGAAAUUUGAUAACUCAAUCUAAAUGUUCAUCCAGAAUUUCAGGAUUCUGGUAGCAAUGCAGAGACACCUCAAACUCAAAAGAGAAUAAAUGUGAUGGAAGAGAUAAUUCUAGAAAUGAAUUAAGAGGAUCCAUCGGUGACAAGAAGAUGAAUAUGACUAAUGAAGUCAAGAUAACAUGGAGCUAUAGAUUUUCAGGGGUAUUGAUGCAAUUUUCUGACCACAACAUUGGCAAUCUUACCUGAUGCUACUCUCAUGGUCAACACUGCUACAUUUUCCCUUUUUCUUUUCUGUUCCUUUAAGGGAAAUUUUAUCUUCCUCCAGAACCUCUCAUCUUUAUAAACCCAAGUAAACCAACAAAGCACAAAGCUCAAAGAGAACGAGAGAAAAAGGUCAUUAAAAGUUCAUAAUUAUUUUCUGACAUGACUUCAAACAAGGGCCACCCAAAAUCUAAGCAAUUGAUAAUGGAAAUUUUGGUCCAACCAUCAGCUCCUCGCUUUUCAAUUGCACAAUGGCUCAAUGAAACAUGAAUGUUACAUGCGUCUCGCAAAUGCAUCACUUAUUUCACAUGUUCCCAGCAGUUAAUCGAGGAUAUCUAAUUAGAUGGAUAACACAUUGGGAUAAAGUGAUACUUGAAAUUAUAUGUGAGAUUUCAGCAAUAGUUUCAAAAUUUUCAUCCAUGCAUAUAUGUAUCAGAUUUUCAUUCUUUUUUUAAAAAAUUUUUUGCUUGAUUGUAUGUGUCUUUGAGUUGUUUCAUCCAGCCUUAACUUCCAUAGAUCUUGGUAUCUAGAUAUGUAAAAAUUUCUUUUUAUGCAUAGAUCACUGAUCAUGUGACUAUUUUGAUUUCAUUCAACAACCUAAACACCAUAAUUUAGGGUUAUAUAGUGUUGUAAUGACAUAUACUGUUUAAUAUACUAUUUUCCUUUUUAUGAGAACUGUUUAUUGUUAUAAUCAGCACAGAAGUUAUGUUGAGGAUGUUUGACUGCUAAUGUUGGGGAGUGAUGUAGGAUCCUAAAAUUUCUAGCACUAUGCAACUUUCUUGUGUUAUGGAAUAAGGUGAAGAAACUAAAAGAUGGAUUGGAAAAAUAAAAAGAUAUCCUUAGCAAUCAUACCAAGGUUCCUAGGCAAUCACAGUUAGGAAAAAGGCGAUUACACCCUUAAAAGAAGCAUGAUGGAUGCUGAAGCUUUUACUAAAUUCUCUUCUCACUUUGAAGAGUUACAUAGGACAACUGUCCUAAUGACCCUUUCCUAACAGGACAACUCUCCUAAUUCCUUAUCUUCCCUUGUAAGAAUAAGAAAAGAUAUAGCAAAGGAAUAUCAUUUAGAAACUAAAGAAAUAGAAACUUUUCUAAUACAAUAAGAAGACUAAAAGAAAUAGAAACCUAACAAAAGUUAACAACUAUAAUAAAAACUUAACUAACUAAAAUAGAAACUUAACAAACAAACUAUGCCAUAUUAAGGCUUGGACAUUGGAACCAGCCUUAACCCUUCUCUUAUAAGUCUUCAAAGGAUGUUUCCAUCGUUGUUCCCCAUCAGGGAGUGUUUUGGAUACUAAUAAAUAUCAUGUUAGGCUUAUGUUCUGUUCUUCUCUUCAACUGAGAUGUAAGUGAAACCACUAGAUUUCAAGUUACAUUUCCAAAUGUUCUGAUAUUUCCUAAUUUUUAUGCAAUCAUAUGUUUUAAGCAUUUUUCAUGUUUCCAAAUUUUUACGUCAUUUCCAGAGUUCCUAAAACAUCUUCUCACUGGGUGUUCCCAUGUUAUUGAACCAAGUGGGAUGUAAUAUCCUCCUGGAAGCUUAUCAUAUGGAAUGCAGACCAAUGGAACCUAAAUGUUUAUGGGUAAGACCAUCUACCCGGUUGUUUUUAUGGUGGUAUUCAGCUUCAAUUCCAGCGGAUAAGUCCAUCUGCAAUUCCAACAAGAAAUUAACUUUAUUAUGAUAGUUCACAUGGUCAAGUAAAAGCUUAAGAUCAGAAAGAAAAACUCCAGAAAACUUUUUUUUUUUAUGUUAUGAAGGGAAAAAAGGAAUCAAAAGUAAAAAAAAAGAUCACUGUAUUAAUUUGAAAUGUGGAAGUAACUCAGGAUGCUCACAUCUUCAGCCAAGGGUUUCCAAUACUCUGAGACAGCGGGAGUGCGGGCACGCUGUGGAUCAGUAAGAGCAUUCUGGACAGGAAAAUAAAAACCAAGGCAUGAGAACAAUAGAAUGAUUAUCCAAAACUAUGAAAUAAUAUUAUGUUAGAAUGUCCCUUCAUAUCAAAAUCAGAAAAAAAAACAAGUAUUAAUGUAUUAUGAAACACUCAAAAGACCGGUAACUUGGGAAUUAGCAAAGUUAUACAAGAUGGAUCUAACUAUCUCAUAACACACUUUUAAAAUUAAAAUGGUUGGAAGAUAAAAACAGACAACUAUCUUGGUAUCUUGUGGCAUUUCAACCAUAUGAAGCACAUCGAUGCCCACUUUUUUUUUUUCCUGAUCAGACAUCAAUGCCCACUUGAUUCUUGAUCUUGAUAAUACUACUGAUCUGGAAAUUAAAAUAUCAUAGCAAUCAACCUGAGAUUUAAAGGGAAAAAGAGGGAGAGAGAGAGAAGGUGAAAGUCCUGUAAUGAUUUAAUUCUCAUUACUAAGGAUGUGCUGUUUAGGGCCUAGUUUGCAUUGAUUUUAUGGGCCCCAUGGGCCAAUUGUGCAGCUAGACCACAAUUAUUCUCUAUUGAACUUUAAUUAUUUUGCCUUUUAAAGUAAUUGGCUACAAUUCUUAAAUACACCAUGUUCCAGAUGCAUCAAUAACUAUCACAAUCCAAUUUUUGUCCAAUAGUAACCACACUCAACUUAAAAAUCAAAUGGGGUUGUGCAGCAUUUUUCAGCCCAUUGUUAAGCCAAAAGCUAUUUCAACACAUUUAUCCCUUUCAGCUUGUCGCGACACCCUAAUUUCCUCCUGAUCUCACCAAUAACCUGCUUGCCUUAACUUCACCUUGCACCACUUCUCACUCCAAAAUUCACCUUUGUCCAAUAACAACUCAUAAAACUCAAAAGAAAUUCCAUUCCUCCUCUAAUCAGGCCCCCUUUUUUAUACUUACGCCUGGAUGAAUGAAUUCUAAAAUUGCUCCUCUUCAACAUUCAUCUCCUCUUUUCCCCAAACCAAUGAAUCUUACUUUUCUAAACAAAGAAAACUUUUUGUCUUAUAGAAGCAAAGCUCUGGAGUCUCGAAGGGAAGUAGAGAGUUUGUCAGGAGGGUGAGUGUGAGUAAGAACAUUUUAAGAAUUAAGUUUCUGGAUAUGAAAGAAAGCCCUUUUUACACUUCCUCAAGAAAAGUUGGAAAAUCCAAGCGUAACUUGGUUUAACAAGCUGGUAAGCAUGACCAUUCAACCCUAUACUAAUAUUUUUUUCUUUUUCUUUUGAUCCAAAUUCAACCCUAUACUUUUUUUAUUUUUGAUAAGUAAAUUUACAUAAUAUUAAUAAAGCACCAAAGAGGCACACCAAAGUAUAAAGGACAUAUACAAUAGUCGCCACAAAGCGCCAAAAAAGGACAAGGGAGACAAAAAUACUCCCUCCCUCAACAAGAACCCAACCAAUCAAUGAAAUCAAAUAAGGACAAUGGUCCUUCACCUAUCAAAAGCUACAAAUGAACCCAGUUUUUAGUUCUUGGUUCGAAAGUUCCUCAUUAUCAAAAGCUUUUCUAUUUCUCUCUUUCCACAAUGUCCAAAAAAGGCACAAUGGGGCUGCUUCCCACACUUUUUUCCAUUUCCUUCCAACAAAGGAGCCAUGACACCCUAGCAAAGUUGCUUUUACAGAAGACAACACCACCCAAGAAACACCAAAAAGGGACAACAAAAGCCCCCAUUCUCACAAUGUAGAAAAAUGUAAUCAACCGACUCCUAUUCAACAAGAUAGAGAGAACAUCUAUUUGCUAUACCCAUCCUCUUCUCUGGAGCUGAUCAAGAGUCAGUACUUUUCCCCAAGGCGCCUCCCAAGCAAAAAAUACACGCCUUAGGAGGAACCCACGGAUUCCAAACAACUCAUAUUGGAAAGGGCACUGAUCUUCUAAGCUCAAGAAAAGUGUAAAGAGACUUAACCGAGAAAGUUCCAUCUUUUGUAUUAAGCAUUAAAUCUCAUCCUUGACUUCCAAUAAAAAAUAUUCCUAACAAAUAUUCAACUUCCUAAACAAAAAGAAACCUUGUAAAAAAAAAAAAAAAAAAACCCAACAAUGAGAUCAUCACUCAACAAGGAAAAGAAAUAGGAAGUUAUGAAUUGUAAGAUGUGGAUUUUUAUGAAUUAAUUAUUGUUAGAUAGCUAGCUCACUUUAUGUUUGUUAUGAGUAAGAGGAUUUCAUUGGGCAACACAUGUCAAGUGAGAAACUUUUGUAGUGACUAAUACGUGCGUAAAAUUGAUACUAUAAAAGCCUUUUCCUUUUCCAUAAAAUUAAUAAUCAUUAGGUACUAGAAUAGGGGCUAAGGCCAUGUGCAAUUGCAAUAUAUUAUGCAGCAAAGUGCAAAUGUGCACAUCUAACUCCUGAUAGCAGUCAUUGUGUGCAAAAAUGCACGAGGUUAGCACCUUACUGAAUCCAAUCCUCAUAUAUAGGACCAACAAAGGGUAAUAACCUGUUUAAUAAAAGGUAACAGAAAUUGAGGAAAAUUACAUCUAGAAAAGAGGACUGUGAAAAGAUCCAUACAACAUUGAUAGACCAACUUUUCUGAGUGUGAUUUGAGAGAAGGAAGCUUUACUGUGCUCAGGCAAUUAAGCUAUUUACACUAAAGUGCCCUAUUCUUUAAAGGAACCUCCCAAGACCUGAACCGUCCUUGUGCUUUGGCUUAAUGCCACCUCCUACCCAACUAAAUGAUUUCAGCUAGAUUCCCCAUGACCUGGCCAAAGUGAAUCUCACUCAAUCUUUCAAUUCUGGAGGUACACUAACCGGAAUCCUAAGAGAACAAGCAGGUUGGAAGGUCGGCCAAGAAAGACUAAAUCAAAGUAAUCCCUUAAAGAACAGAGGCUUUUUUCCAACAAUCAAGCUCCUUCAACACUUAAACUAAAUAGAUCUCAAAAUCCCUGGGCUUUUAAUGUCACCUCUCAGCAGGAUACCUUUACAUAUUUCAAAGGCCACUUGAUAGUCUCAUAGCCCAUUGAAAGAGGCUAUUUUUAUGCUAUCUUCCUGAUGGAUGUUGAAUCCUCCACAAGGCACUCAGUGGAGGUUAAUUUUUAUUUUUUUUUAUUUUUUUUAAGACUAGACACCAGCCUGCAGACUUUAAGAUAGGCUUCAGGCUAUAUAAUCUUUUCAGUAGAAGAGAAAAAGUUGUAUUAUUUGCAAAGAAGUGAUGGGUAACUGUAAUUCGUUCUUGACUAAAAUUAAAACCUUUCACCCUAUUAAUCAUUCUCUCAAGUACAUCCAUCACCACCCUUUAACAAGAAAGGAAAAGGGAUUGAGCUUCCCCUUUUCUAGGGCUUCCUAGAAGCAUUAAUCUAAACCUAGCUAUCCUGUCAUGUACAUCAGCUAGAUCAUCAAGGACUGGAAAAACCCUGAUCAACCAACACCAUCUUAUGCUAAAGCAGUUCCCAUUCCUAGUAUGGUCCAGGAAAUCAAAAUCAACAUGAUUGUCUUCUUAAAGCCCAUUUUUAAAAACACCUUCUGUUCCAAGAUUUCGUUAGCUAUGACUUGCAUUAGAAUUUCAUUGAACCGUAUCAAAAGCUCCUUGGGAAUGGGAAAUUAUGUACUAAGGAACUUUUCUUUUUUUCUUUUCUUUCUUUCUUUCUUUCUUUCUUUUUUUAAUUUUCAUUUCUUUUUAAUGAAAUGACAUUUCAUUCAAAGACUUAGGUGGUGUUUGUUUUUUUGGCUUUUUACUGAAAACCAUUUAGUUUUAGAAUUUAAGUUGUUUGUUUUUUACUUUUUCAUAACUUAUUAUAAACUUUUUACUAAAUAGAAAAAGCCAGAAUAUAUGGCUUUUUCUAAAUAGAAAAAAUAACACAAUAGUUUUUUUUACUUUUUAAUACUUAAUAGAAAUAAAAUACCAUAAAAACAAACAACCUAAUAUUUAAUACUAUUAAGUAUUAAGGUUCUAUUUAGAAUUAAGUAAAAAAACAAACGCCACCUUAGACUGUUUGUUUUUUUAACUUUUUGCUGAAAGCAAUUUACUUUCAAACUUUAAGUUGUUUGUUUUUCUACUUUUUCAUAACUUAUUAUAAAUUUUUGGCUGAAUAGAAAAAUCCAAAAUUUUUUACUUUUUCUAAAUAGAAAAAGUAACACAUUGAUUUUUCUUUAUUUUUUAAUGUUUAAUAGAAAUAAAAUAUUACAAAAACAAACAACCUAAUAUUUAACACUAUUAAAUACUAUUUAGUUUUAAGUUCUACUUAGGAUUAAGGGAAAAAAAAAAACAAACACCAACUUAGUUAGCUUUGGGGUCAGUUCAAGAGAUGGAGUGUCCUGGCAGAGAAUCAAGUUUUCCACGUUAUGGGUUAUUUGAUGAGAGCAAUGCCAAGAUCAGCAAAGACAAAUGCAGGGCCCCCAGGGGAUACAGGCUAGUUCGAAAUUGAGGGUUUUCUGGAGAGUAGAGAUCACAGUCAUGCUGUGAUGCAGGCUUUCUCAAUUAAAUGUUUUGACAUUCAAAGAAGUAUCAUACUAUUUCUUUCUAUGAUGGAGAGAGCUGCACAAUGUAUAAAUGAAUGACAACCUUAAUUUAUUGCCUAUCAUCCAAAACUAUUGAGUAAAUGAGAGAAUAAAACAUACUGGGUUUUGAUCUGCCCACUUCCACAACUGAGAGAGUUCUUUAUUUCCCAUUCUCCACCUUGGCCUACUGGAAAAGAAAUACAUAUUCCAUCAGCAGCUGUAGAUGGAUCUAGUAAAACAUUUUUUUAAAUUUUAAUAUAAACAUGAUUUCUCAAUGACAAGGAUGAUAUAUAGUUGAUUAUGCAUUUUCCAAAUUUAAUUGGUUGGCACAGGUACAAGAACAAAAUAAACACAUUAAAAGCAAAAAGAAAAUCACUGGAUACAUAUUAACCCUCUGAUUACAAAAUGAAAAUCCAUUUUGUACUGAAUUUUCACCAUAUUAAGAAUCCACUGACAUACUCUCUGUCAAAGAGCUUGAAGUCAUUCAGAUUUACAAGUAUAAAAAUAAUUGGAAUAUAAUUCUCUCUUGAAUCAAAGUCAAAGAUCUCAUGUGGAUUCCACUUCUUAACUAUGUCUUAUUUUAAGGUCAAUGUUUGUCGGUAAUUGAAAUUUCUGAAAACAAAAUUUCUAAGCAUACUUCAGAAAAUCAGAACAAUUAUAAUUUGAAAUGAAUAUAAUUGGUUAGAAUAUAAGUAGUGUAAAGUUAUCUGAAUGUGAUUGAUUGAUACAUUUCAUGGUUGAAUCUCAGUUAUUGAAAAAUUAUUUUACAAUUUUUUUUUUCUUAAAGAAUAAGUUCUAAACAAAAUAAAUAGGGAAGUUUUUUUCUGGUUUAAGAAAUAUGCAUGCAAGAGAUCUUUCUGGGUAAUUGAGAGGGAAAAAAGAAAAAGAUUUUAUAGAUGACGAAAGGAACCUUAAAACCUAAACUCCACAUAGGUGUCAACUCCCAAAAUUGUAUAAUACGUGUGUUUGACAAGGGAAAAGGUAAUUCUAAUGAGAGAUUUCUUAGAUUACCUGAAGGACUGAGAAAGAGGUCUAAAGAUUAAAAGGAGAUUCUGUGCAGUGGAGAGGAAAUUGCUUGAGCUCAGAAGACUUUUAUUUGGAAAGGGACAAGAGGUUCAACUGGAAGGGCUACAGAACAGUUGAACAGGGCAUGUUCUUUGGCAAGGGAUAUGGGGUUUUACAGGAAGUUUAAAGGAAGAUCAAGGGCACAUUUAUUUGAAAUUGGUUUGAACAAGAAUGAGAGAUUCAAUUAGCUUAUCAGAAUUUAUGAUGAACAGAAGGCCUGCCCCUUUGUGAAUUCUGAAGGGGCCUAAUGGCAGCAGCUGGAUUAAUUUGAAAUUCCUGAUUUUCUCCUCUCACACACCAAGAAGGGUGAAGUGCAGUUUGGUCCAAGGGCAUUCCUGAGGUUGAAAAGUUUCAUGGUGAGGCAGUGUUCUCCAUCCCACACUUUUAUGAAUGUUUCACAUGAGAGUCCAUGCAAUGGUAGUUGAGCAGCAGUCAGCAUAUGGAUGAGAGCAUUGAUUUGUGAAAAAGCAUUUAGCAGCAAGAAAGAGGGUUUUAGCUGGGAUGGAUUAGAGACCUCAGGCAUUAAAUGAACGGUUAUAUCAGCCAUUUCUUGGCAAAAAAGGGGUCUUCUUUAUUGAAUUCAUGGAGGGUGCGGUAUAUUUAAGUGGGAUCGGCAAACUUGUUUUGGAAAAUAUAGUUCAAGUAAAUCUUUGAUAGUGGUGUUCAAGUGGGGCUGUGGGGGUUUUCCAGCUUGGGCAGGUUGAGGUGAGAGGUAUUCCCUUUCAUUUGUUGUCAGAGGAAGAUUGGCUAGAGAAGAAUGCCAAGAUUUUCAACAAUAGACAGAGGCCUACAGUUCCAUUGUGGGAUCUGGCGGGUAUCAAUUACUAGCAAGUUAUCAUUCCAAAAUCCUUAUCCAUAAUGUACAUGAACUGUCUGGGAUAGAAACACAAGUCCAACAAAUUGGAAAGACUUCUUUCUGCUCUCCCAUCUUUUUUUAUGCUACUUAAAUCACAUCAAUAUCUACAUUCUCCAUAAGAUUAUAGAUAACAUACUGAAAACAAAUUAACCACUAUACUGCCUACCGUUUUUUGGCACCAUCUUGAACAGCUUUCUUCUCUAUUGGCUGUCUUUCAAAUGGUGGGCAACCAUCACGUUUCCACCAUACCUAAAAGCACGAAAGUGUUAGAAUAAAGGAAAUUAGAUGACAAAUAUCACAAUUAAGAAAAGGUGGAGGGAGGGAGGGAGGGGAUAUAUAUACACAGAGAGAGAGAGAGAGAGAGAGAGAGACCCAAUUCUUUUCACGUUCUAGUAUAUGCUCAAUGUUAUGAAGAAACUCUUUCCCUUUCGGUGGGGUCAUCUCAAGCAGUUUCUUCACACGCUCUUCACAAGAUUUUAUCUCUUCUUUCUGAAAUCAGCAAGGAAAUAUGGUUGAAGAAAAUUGCACAUGAAAAAAAAAAAAACAGAUGUAUAUAUGUCUAGCCAUGUCUGCAAGCAUGCAUAUCAUUCUACUUAAGCAGACAUGUAAAUAGUACCAAUAGUGAUACAUUAUUGUAGAAAAUAGGGGCAGUAAAGAUGCUUUUGUAACUUUCUUUCUUAAACCAAAAAUUAAUAAUGUUCUGUCAAGCUGUGAGUAGAAAUGAAAUCAAAAGGAACACAAAGCAUAGAUGCUCUAAGUGCAUUCCAGCAACAUUAAAGGCCUGCUGGAGAAGUAUACAAAAUAAUGAGAGAACAAUGACACAUGUAACAUAGCAUGCAAUUAUAAUCUUAUCACAUAGGAAAGACACACAAGAAUGAACUCAUAAUUUCAACUCAACCCAAAUGAAAUUGUUGCAGAUCAACUGGAUGACUGAUGACUAGGGACUGACUACUUUUCCAGUAACUUCCAUAGGAAGAAACCAUAUAAUAAGUGUAUUGUUUGCCAGAAGUGUGGAAUAUGAUGUGAUUAAAGGUCAGCAGGUGAAUAUUGGGUGACAACGAUCUGCUCAGUUGCCUGCCUGCAGUUUUAUGCACAUCCUUCUUAUCAUUGUGGACUAUAUCACCUUAGUAGGUAACUGUUCCAAGUUUCUUCUCAUGGUGUCCUAUCAUAUCCAAUUUACCAAAUGGGUCAGCAGGAUGGGAGAAGAGAGUUGCUUGACCAGUUGCUUGCAAUGGUUUGAUCAUUCCAAAUAGGAAAACCUAUGUUCCUUGUAUCUCAGAAAUUACACAAUAAACUACCUAUCUCCGCUAGCUAGUUGGAGUGGGGAAAGGUGUCUUCUCAGUAUUGACCGUGACAUACAGAUUGGUCCUCAUCAUGGUGUUUAUUUGUCUGGAUGACAGGUUUUGAUCAUCCUAUUGAGAUGCACUCUUCCCAAUUGUCAUGUUGUAUAAGGCAAAUUCGGAAUGGAUCAACCAUGUCUAGUUAAUUUGACUACUAACACUUGAAGUAAUUUCCUCAACUGGGCACUAGGGUUCUUCCAGCCGCCUAAGGAAGUUUCCUUGUAUUACCAUGUCACAGCUUGGUUUGGAAAAGGCAGAUAUUGUGGAGGAUGCUUCCAUAUGAAAGUGUUUCAGAUUUCUGACUUUUCAGCAGAUAUCACUGAAGAACUAAUUAUGGGGUACUUCUUUACCUUCAAUUAUAGAAGAUAAUCUACCUGUCCUCUUCCCAAUUUUUAAUCAAGAGUACUGGCCCCUUUUUUCUUCUUUUUCACCUUCCUUUAAGGCCUUGUGUAAUACAUUUGAGUGCUGGGAAAAAGUUAAUCAAGAGUGCACCCUUUUCUCUUCUUGAUGGUCCAAUUUAGAGAGAGGGUGGUCGCAAGAGGGAGAGAGAGAGAGAGAGAGUGCAUGAGGACUCAUAUUUCUAAACUCCACUAAUGUUCCAAAUGAAGCUUAGUGCCCAUUUGACAACAUUUUCGAAAACAGUUCUUAAAAGCAGAUGUCAUUUAUUUUUAGCAAUAAAAACUCUGUUUGGAAACUCAAAUAUGAAAAAUAAUUUUCUCAACUUAUUUUCUAUGAAGAUACCAUGCAUUUAUGUGCAGUGCAAAAAUUUAAAAUAUUCUUAUCCUUCUUGCACAAUACAAUUUUUUGUUUCAAUUAGAAACACAAUAUAUUCAUUUCAUUGAAUGGUAAAUACAAAGAAGGAUGAGCAAUCCUACCAAAAUGUACAAUUGUUGAUAAAAAAAGUAGAAAUGUAUAUUGCUCCUCAAAACUUAAAACUAUGUACCCAAAUUAUAAGCAGAAAAAGCAAUGUAUACACGCCACAAAAGCUCCACAUAUUCAUGGAAGGAAAAAAGUCUCCAACAAAAGAAACCAAGUGUUUUGCUCCUUACUUAGUUAACUGGUUUAUAGUUUGAUUAGUUGAGCAAGGAAUCUGAGAGAAAGAGCAUGCCAUCUUAUAAGCAACAUUUAGAAUUUUGUGGAGCCAACUAUUGAGUUAUUUUCUCUCCUAUAUCCCUAAAAAUAUCUUUUUUCCACACUUUCAAUGUAGCUUUGACAAACCAUAGUUUUUGCAAAAACUUUUUUGAUCAGAUAGUUUUUGCAUAAACUUAUAACCUUGAUCCAACAACUAGGCCUCCUUCCACCAAACAUUGAACAAAACCCCAAAACCUGGGAUGUGGGUCCACAUGUUUUCAAAAUGAAAGGUACUCGAGAAAAGAAUGGGUUGGCACUAACCAUAAGAAGACUAGUACUAAAUUACUAAUUUGUUUAGAUGGUUUUUAAAAAAUUUCAAGAAAAAUAAUGGAAGAGAAAACAAAUUAAAAUGGGAAGGAAAUGGAAUAAAAGAAAACCAAAACAAGACUAUCAAACAAAAAAAUCAAAAUGAAACUGAUUCCUUUGAUUUAUUCAUUGGUUGUAAGGAAACAGAAUGAAAUGUAUAUGUUUUUCAUAAUGCCUUAUACAAAGGGAUACCAAAAAUUUUAAUAUGAUUUAGAUUAAGCAUAUUAAAAUAAUCCUUAUUUGAAUGUUAUAUCUUGAAAAUGUUAGACCUUCAUCUUGAAAAUAGUGAGAGAAAUUAGAGUUAGGCAUACGAAUUUAGAUUAAGCAUAUUUAUAUUUUAUUGAUUAGGAAUAAUUAUUGAGAAGAUAAUAUUCUUAAUAUUCUUUACAACCUCUAAAUUUGAUAAAUGAUAAUUAAUAUUUAAAUAAAUAAAAUAAAAUGAGCAUAAAGAAAUUAUUUAUUAAUUUAGCUUCCAUGUGCUAAGGUUCAUUAGUUGGAUAUUAUUUAAUAUGUCAAAAAGCUGAUAUUUAUAAUUAAAUUUUUAUAUAAGUGUUCUUAAUUUACAAAAGUUCAUUGAACCAAAAAAAUUAAAGCAUGUACUUAGCUCAUGAAUUACACUAUUUAAUAAAUAAAAACUUCUAAUUAAAAAUAUUAAUGAUCAAAUAAGUUAUUAUGUCAAUUAAAAUAUUAAAAUAACUCUUUAAUUCUAAAAUAUUAUUAUUUUUAAUACUUCAGCCUGCCAUAUUUUCAAUAUCUAAUUAUAUCAAUCAUUGUUUAAAUUCAACAUAAUUAAAUAUACCAUUAUAUUAAUUUAAAAUAAUUAUGAAAACAUGACAAGGACAUUUUUUGUCCAAUCCUUUUUUUUUUUGAUAGGAAACGACAAAGGCAUAUAUUAAUGCAAGGGAAAAUACAAGAGAAGGAUGAGGAAUCCUCCCACCCAAGAAAACAAAACUACAAUGAAACAAAUACGAGAAAAUACAAAGUAGAUACAAACAACUUCUAUAAGUUAGGCCAACCCAAUGGAGUUGCACGCCGCUAACCAAUCAAGGUGUAUCACAUUAAGGGGAAUCCCCUUAAAAACCUUAGAACAAGAAACCCAAAGAGAAGCAAGGAAAUGAAUCAUGUCCCAAAGGUUCUCUGAAUUCCUUGAUUUAUCCUCAAAAAUCCUUGCAUUUCUUUCCCGCCAUACCACCCAUAAUAAAGCAAUGCACGCAGCUUGCCAUAAUAUAAUCCCUCUCUUAGAAGAUCCAAAACCGUUAAAAUUGGUAGAAAGCAUGUCACAGAUGCUCCUAGGAGGGACCCAAUCUAUCUUUGUUAGCUGAAAUAAUCUGUGCCACAACCCCAUUGUCAGAGAGCAAUGAAGAAAAAGAUGGUCUACUGUUUCUCCCUGCUCCAUGCACAACAUACAAAUGUCGGGACUAAGUGCUUUGUAGGGUCUUCUCAACUGUAACAUGUCGUUAGUAUUUACCUUCUUGUGCGCCACCAACCAAACAAAGGACUUGAUUUUGAAAGGGACUUGAGAAUUCCAGACUAACUUGGUAGGGAAAACUGAAGGCAAACCAGAUUUUUUUGUCCAAUCCUUGGGGCCCUCAAGGAAACCCAUUCUCCAUUUUGGGGGAAUGGGUUCUGCAAAAUGAGGUGGAACUCAAACCUUUACUAAUUCCAGAAGUGAAGUAAACAUAGGAAACUAAGGUAAGGGAAUAACUCCCUUUUAUUUCAUUCCAGAGGAAUGAAGUGAAUGCAUUUUUAAUGAAUUGUUUGUUUACAAUCAAAAUAAGGGGGAAUAAAGAAAGGGAUAACAGUUCAAAAUAUGACUUGGAAAAAGCCUUUUGAAGAGUGAUGGAAUCUUGAUUCCCAAACAAUAGAUGGCAAAAGUCUUACAAGGUCAUGCUGAUUAUUAGACCAAGUGAAGAUGCAUUCCUCGAAAUCAAACUAGCUCACAACUUUCGACAAGUUUAUAAAAUUCUCUCAUGCUUGUAGUAACUUUAGAGCCACCAAACAUUUUCAAUGAUCUCUUGAAAACAUUAAAGUCAAAUGCCCAACAUCAUCCCCCCUUCCCCACUCAAAUGAACAAAGAGAGAGAGAUGGGUAGAGAGAGAGAGAGAGAAAGUGAGUACAAACAAACAAACCAAAUAAGUCAAGACAAGUAAAUCCUCUAACUCCCUAAGAAUUCUCGAGAAAAUCUAGCAGACACUAAGAAGGAUCAUAUCAUGAACUCAUUGACCUUAAUUGAAUUGCAAUUCCAAAAAUCAAAACAACCCUUGAAGUGCUCCAAGAGGGGAAUUUAGCCCCCUCUCUACGCCUAACCUUCUGAACACUUCUAAUGUAUUUUUUUUUUAUUCCGCCUUAGUUUCUUGAAACAAAACCAUAUCCAUAGCUUCUUAUGAAGGAAAACCCUAAUAUUUUCUUUUCUCUAGAGCCUACGCCUUUCAUGGUUUAGGAACCUUCAGGUUUUAAUGUUUGCAUGGUUCAACAAAGUUUUUAAGGUUUAUUGGUUAAAUAUGUGUGGGAACUAAACACAGUUUAGAUAUAAUUAGUUGCUCAAAUUUCUUGCUAGAAUUUAUGGGCAGCAAUUAAUUAAGGGUCUAUGGUGCUUGGGUCAAUCCAAAGGUAAAAAGAAGCUUAGGAAUACUAAAGUAGAUUGAAGAAAUGAGAAGCAAUGACCAUUUUAUGAAAUUAAAUAAAGAAUACAGAAGUUCAAAUAAUUAGAGAAUAACCAGAAGAGAAGAAGAAAUUACCCAACAGUGCCUUCUAGAAUCAAACUAGAACAGUUAAAAUUCCUUUUAUUAAAGUUUAAUUUUGUUUGACACCAAGGGUCCACAUAUUUAUUUAUUUGUUUGUUUAUUUAUUUAUUUAUUGAUAGUUAUGAAUAGUCCAUAUUUUAUUUAUUUAUUGAUAAUUAUGAAUAGUCCAUAUUUUGUUCAUUUUGUUUUAUUUAUUUUUUGAAAAAUAUUUUUCUUUUGAUAGGCAAAAACCUGAUAAAAGCUUACGGUGCCUAAGCAAAUGGCACGCCAAAGCAUAUAUGUAUACAAUAGGCACCAACAAGUAAGAAAAAGGGAGGGGGGAAAAACUCCCUCAUCUUACUUGGAACUAAGCCAAUCAACAAAGUCUAUCAUGAUCAAUGAAUGAUCAUCUGUGUACAUUCUAAAUCAUUCUAAAAAAUACUCAUCAAGGAAGAUUGAAUUGCUUGAUCUGAUUGUUUGAGAUCUUCAAAUGACCUCCUAUUUCUUUCUUUUCAUAACAUCCAAAAUAGACAAAAGGGAGCUUAAUUUUGUUUCUUUCCCAUGAAUAAUCCAUGCCAACUCAAUAGAGUUCCUCUUAUUAUAGAGCGCAUCACCCAAACCAUACCAGACAUAGAAAUACCUAGCUCCCACAGAACACUUGUGUUGGAGCAGAGAAGGAGCAUAUCAUCAAUUGAUUAUUCUUCAUCUUUGCAUAUAUAGCAUCUAUUCAUCAUUAUCCCUCCCUCCCUUUGAGCUGAUCAAUUGUCAAAAUCCCUCCCCAAGAGGCUUCCCAUGCAAAGAAUCCCACCUCCACAUGUACCUAGAUAUUCCAAACCAUGUUUGCGAGAUAGGGUUCUCUUCUUCCUUAGGCUAGGGAGGAGUAUUCAAAGAGAACUUGUCACACUUGGAUUCCUUCCAACCCCCUCUAUCUUCUUCAUCUUGCUUGAAUGAGCUUGUUUGCAAUCUUUGUAAAAAGGUUGUUACUCCUUCAAGUUCUUAAUCACGAAACUGUCUUGAGAAGCGAGGACUCCACCGACCUUUCUCCCCAACUUGCUCCCACCCCUCUUCUUCCCAUGUAUCUUUAGUGGUGGUUAUAAAGAAUAAUGUAGGGAAAAACUCUUCCAAAGACAAGUCUCUAUACCAUCUAUCUUUCUGAAUUUAACUCCUUGAAAAUUAUGAAGUGAGAUAUACUUUUAAAGACCUUCCACCCAUUCUGAUUGUCUUCCACAACUGUACCUCAUAACCCAUUUCCAAAGGGACUCUCCCAAUUACAUAUCCCUAAUUCCACUUGCCAAAUAGAGUCUUGUUUAGAGUGGAUAGAUUUCUAAUGUCGAGGCCUCCAUUCUUUUUAUCCAGGCAAGCAAUAGACCAAUUUACCAAAUGGAGUUUGUUCGCAAGUGCAUCCUUACCCCAAAAGAAUUUAUUUUAGAUCUACUCCAAUCUUAAGCUUACCUUAUUCGAAAUGACAAACAGAGACAUGAAAUAAAUUAGUAGGCUAGAUAGUGUAAUUCUAAUCAAAGUAUUGAGUGGUAUUGCCUCUUCCAUAGAGUGAGCCUUAUCUAAAAUCUCUAUUCCAUCACAUCCCAAGCCCUUGUUGUUUUGUAAGGAGCUCCCAUAAGCAAGCCUAAGUAUGUAGUGGGUAGAUUCCCCACCCUACAACAUGGCACAAAAGCUAUUCCAUGUUUGAUCAUAAGAUAAAGAAGUUAUUAAAGCUCUCAAUGUGCUGCAAAAACUUUUACAUACUUUAUCCAAAAUUCAUUCAUUGAUCAUAAGAUAAAGAUGUUAUUAAACAUGUUAGCAUAUCAGCUAUGCUUGUUCACAAACAAUUCCACCUCAUAACUGUGCCAUAUCUUCUUUUUUUUUUUUUUCUGGCCACAUCAUCAAUUUUUAGUUGUCUAGCAAUGUUUUCUUACUAAAAAUUUCCUUGUUUUUUGUACUUCCACAAAUGCUUAUACAUUAUCCUAAAUGUCAAUAGAUCCAUCAACAUUACAUAUUUUUUCAGUCACAACACCCCAGAUUUUCUGAGGCUGACAUUUGAAAACUUGCCACUAAGAGUUCAAUAAGAAGAGCAGCCACCAAUUUCAACAGUUUUCAGAACUAGCAACAAGUGAUUCCAAGGGUCUUUGUUUCUUGAUGAAACAGGAUAUGAAAUAUACAAACACGACUCCAUAAUUAAAGAAAGACACAAAGCAUAUCUUAGGAGUUCAUAAUAAAUUUGCACUAACCAUACUAUCAGAUGGCAAGUCUUUGUCAUUCUUUCCAGGGGCCUAUACACAAACAAGAGUCAAAUCAGUUGACAACUAACUUGCGAUGGAAAAGGAAAGCUUUGUUAAGAACAAAAAGAUAACAAGAGUUGAAUCUGUUAACUACUACAUUGAAAAAGUAACAUGGAAGUCACAUAUAAGACCAACAAGAUCUGCUCUCCCAAACCAAAAGGGAAAAGGAAAAACAUCAAAGAAUUUGAACCUUUCAAGUUUUCCAUAAAAACAUUUUACACUUAUCAGCACAUUUGCCUUACAAAAUCUAAAACAACAGAAUCCCCUGAUCCAAGUUCUCCCAUGAUAAUGUCAUGCCACAUCAAAAGAACAAUGAACAAGUGCUUUAUAAGUAUAUAAUAAGUAUUGUAGUAGUUCAGAAAGAAAAAAAUACACAGCUAAUCAAUAAAAGAAAGAAAGAAAAAAUUCCAGCCAUAGCCCUAGGGCAUGGUGAUGCUCUUAGAGAAGGAACUCUAAGUUCUAAAUUCCGGUCAAAACAGCCAACAAGGUAUACCAUGAAAAAAUUGAAACAUGAAGUACUCUAAAUGAUACUGAAAGAAGAAAAUGUCCACUAACAUCUCAUGGAUAUAUGCCAAGAAAAAAUUCCAAUAAACUAAGGAGUUAGAAAAUAAGCCGCAUAAACUUGCCAGUUCAAAAUAGAUAUCCAAAAAGAAUUACCAGCCUUUUUACAAAUCCUCAAAACAUUUUAAAUGUUGUUUUCCACUACUCUCACUCUCUAAUUCUCACAUAAUAACGACAGAUUUUAAGAUAAAUUCUGGAUAAGACUUAAAAACCGACCAACAUACCUAGAGAAUAAUCCAGGAGGUAUAGGAAAGUAAAUUUGCUGUAAUACUGUUUACAGGACAACAGUCUAUGCACAUCAAAGACAUCUCACCUUUGCACAUUUGCCUUCACUCCAGAACCAAGAAAAAAGGAAAAAGAUUAAUCUAGGUAAAAAAUCUAUGGGAACCGCUGAAAAGAAGAGAGAACAGCAGUAGAAAAUCUCAGAUACACAUCCAACUUCUCCAUUACUUAUCAAGAACUAUUUUCCAAAGUCACUGAUCAGAAAGUCCCAGUUGACAUGGUUAUAUGCCUUUCCCAUGUCACUCUUUCACAUAUACCCAGAAUCACCCUGCAUCUUGGAUAAAUGCAUUCAUUGGAAAUUAAGACCUGAUCAAUGAUUUCACUUCCACUAACAAAGGCAGUUGGAAUUAAGAAAGUCAACCCAUCACCCCUCUUAAGAGAGAAGCAAAUAACUUUCGAGAAAAUUUUAUAAACAAUACUAACCAAAUAAACAGGGAAUAAUCCUUCAAUGCCUUCCGAAAUUAAUUAAUCAAAAAAUCCUAAUUGGCAUGGCCUUAAGCCUUUCGCUAUCACUCUUCACAAGAUCCUAAGAAUCUCUUCGCAUUUUGAAUAAAUGCACUCCUUGGCAGUUAACAUCUGAUCAAUCAUUUCAAUUCCACUGACCAAAACAGUCUUGAGUUAAGGACAAAAGUCAAUCCAUCACCCUCCUAUGUAAGAAGAAAUAACUUGCCAGGAAAUUUUAUGGAGUACUAACCAGAUAAAUAGGCUAUAAUCCUUCAAUGAGUCCAAACCACCAAAUUUUGAAAAUAAGAGAUUACGGAUUACAAAUAACAGAUCAAUGAAAGACUUAAAUUUGAGGUCUCCAACUAACCAGAAUUUCGGUACCAUGUUAAACUACCAAUUGACCUAUAAACAAUGGACCAGCAACUCCUGCAUAUGUGACGGGUGGGCAUGCUGGCACAAGCAAAAGUGACCACACACAAUCUCAAUAACUAAUGCUGACAGUCUACUUAACAUCAGAAAUGCUUUUAAGGGUAGUAUGAUUGAGACGGCAUUCUUAGCAUCACAAAUGCUUUUAAGGGUAGUGUGAUUAUUCAACCUCUAAGUUACUAGCCUUGUUCAAACAUACAAAACUCAAAUUUACAUCAUCAUGUAACAUAAUUAACAAUAAAACAGUAAUCUCUUUGAAACAUGCAUGUUAUGAAAAAGACCAAGAGAUGAACAUCAGUACCUUCAGAUAAUCAAACAAUAUGAGGCAUUGAACAAGAAUAUGGCGUCGAAAACUUGGGUCUUUCAACUGAUGUAAAAGAAAAGAAAAAGAAAAGGAAAAAGAAAUUAAUAGAACCAAGAGGAUCUACCAAAAACCGGAAACAACUUCUCUGCAAGAAAAAUUUAAUUCAUCAACACUUCUCAGAAUUUCUUACCUCUAAUCCCAUUAGUUUACUGCUUGUAAGAUAUUUUAUGCUGAAAGUUGCUGCCUCUUCCUCCAGAUUAUUAGCAUUGCCCUCUUCAUCACUCAAAGGCUGAGCUUCAAAGGUAUUCAACACAACCUAAACAUCAUAAUUCAAGAAAGCAAUUGAUGUAACUUGUGAUGCAAUAUAGACACAGAAUGAAGACAAGCAACAACAUAAAAACCUGGUUUCCAUAGAGAAAAAGAUAUACCAUUAAAUUGGAUGUAAAUUUCUGCCACUUGGUAGGAGCAAGAGAUAUAGAAGCAGGAUUGCAAAAGUGUUCCUGCAAACCAGUAAGACAGAUUUAUCAGGAAAUUUACUAUGAUGGGAUAAUGUAUCAAUCAGUUCAUGCUGUCUAACUCUUGGGCUUUGUUCCUUUUUUUCCUUUUAAAUAUCACUCAUAAAAACUUUUAAGUUUCUAGGUCAAACUCUGGUCAUUUUGAACACAAAGAUGCAGUCAAAAGUGCCUCGUUCCCCUUAGCUUGUUAAGGGACUCAACCACCCUUUUUUCUUGAAUGGCAAUGAAAGAAAACUUUUUUCCAGAAAAUGGUCUUGGCAACCAAAGCAAGCAUUUCUUUUUUGCAGUAAGCAAACAUUUCAUUACCAAAAUAGAAAGAAGAUGCAAUGAAGCUAUCCUUCAGCUAAACAGGAAGCAAAGUGCAAACCAAAGGUCAAGAGAAACUUCAAAAGCUUAAUACACUCCACAAACAUCCGAUGGGAAGAGGACGUUCUGUACGGAAAUCUAUAAUGAGGAGUCCCCAUGCUAUGCCAACCAUCCUGUGAAAAAAGCAUCCCAUCUUUCUUGGGAGAUCCAAGAUUCUGCAAAUCUAGGCAUUCCUCUCCUAGCACCUCUUCUACCCAGGGCCACCAAAGAAACUAGAAUACACAAGAACGCUUGCAAUACCUUCCACAACAUAAUUAUUGAUACCCAUAAUCUGAGGCCUAAAGAGACCUUCCCACAAGGCUAAAUCUCUUCAUCUAUAGCCAGCAUGAACCAGCAAGACUCAAGAAAGCUCUAACCACAUUAACACUUUGAUCUCUAAACAUGUAACCACCAUCUGGCCCAAAUUUCCCAAAGAGCAUAUAAGUUUUAUACUCCCCACUGCAACCCCAAUCCAAGUCCUGCCUCAACAAACUUUUCUCCAAUCAAGCAAAAAAUCUUGCCAAUAGAAAAGUCAAUAAACUCCAAGAAAACCACUCCUUAAAGAGAAGUACGAUAGUGAAUACCAUUUUAUAAUUUCCCCAACCAUGAGACAAUUUUCCAACUUUACAAAAGAGCUUUCUCUGGCUGAUUUUGACAGGAGGCCCUUUCAUGUGGUGCAAAAGAUUGAAUAGGCAAUCAAUGUCAAGAAUUGACCAUUUCCUUAUUACGGGCAAUUGGGAGGAACACUUCACAAAUACAAUGCUAAUCUUGUUGCCAAGGCCAAUGUUUGAUCAUUCCCCUAUUUUACUGGAGGAAGGUGGGGUAAGAAGGGGUAUGACCCCUUUCAGAUUUGAAAGCAUGUGGCUCAAGGCAGAGAGAUUCAAAGAUAUGGUGAAGGGGUGGUGGGAAGGUUAUCCUAUAGCUUCUUCUUAGCUUCCAAGCCGAAAGCAUUAAAAGGGUGGGGAGUUUUUCAAGCCAAAACAAGAUUUGAAGAGGGCAAUGGGAGAAGAAUAAAAUUUUGGCAUGAUGUGUGGUUGUGGUGAUGUCCCCUAAAGGACUCUUUUUCAUCUCUAUUCUCCUCAUAGCUUCCUAGAAGGCAUGGGUGAAUGUUUCGAGAGGUAGAGGGUAGGAUGGUCAUGUGGAACCCAUGCUUCUUAAGAUAUUUCCAAGAUUGGGAGAUGGAUAAUGUUGCGGAGUUUCUUCGAAAGCUCUACACGUUAGGAAGAAGUAGAGGAGAGGAGGGCAGAAUGGUGUGGAAGGCUAGCAAAAGUGGGGAAUUCUUGAUGAAGUCUUUCUACUCAGCCUUGGAGUUAGAAGGUGAAGUGUCUUUCCCCUCAAAUAUAGUGUAGAGAUCUUAGACUCCUACCAAAGUGGGUUUUUUUUGCAUGAGAAGCAACUUGGCGAAGAAUUCUAAACACGGACCAACUUAAAAGGAGAGGAUGGUUUUUGAUGGGUUAUUGUUGUAUGCAUACAAAUGCAGAAGAAUCAAUAGACUAUCUCCUCAUCCAUUGUGGGAAAGCUAGAGGAUUGCACUUUUUAUUCUCUUUAUUUGGCAUUUUGUGGGUUCUCCCAUAUUCUGUAAAGGACUUGUUAAUGGAUUGGAAUGGGAGCUUUGUGAGCAAGAAGAGAAGAAAGGCUUGGAGAACAACUCCUCUUUGCCUUUAAUGGACAAUUUGGAAGCAAGGCAACCAAAGAAUCUUUUAAGGGGUGCAGUGCACAAACCAAUCUCUUAAGGACUCCCUUAUAUUUAAUUUAUAAAUGUGGUACCACAGGCAUAUUCUGGUUGAUGGUCAAGCUGCUCCACUAAACUUGAUAGAUUUUAUUGAGUGCUAGAUUGGGGUUGUGGUUGUAGGUUGUUUCUUUUUGUUUUCUCACAUGUAUACUUUCAUGUGUAUUGUGUUUGCCUCCUUUUGUUUGGCAUUUUAUAUACAUUUGACUUCCAAGUUUUUGGAUAAUUUAAUCCAUAACCAUUUUUAAGUUGAAUCCACUGUCACCAUAUUCAUAUUUGAAAGGGAAGACCAUAGACCAGGUCUAUCUUGAAUGCAGGGGCAGUUAAGCAGCUUGCCUUAUGAAACUAGGAGUGUGGGGAAGGUCUUUCCCUUCAUCCCUCUAUUCUUGUUGGGACCAACUAGACAAAGAGGAGGGAAGAGCAUUCUUCCCAAUAAAGAGAGAGGGAAUGGGUGGCAAUUUUUGAAAUGAGUAUUAGGUUGGACCACCUCCAGUUCGAAUGCAAGGCUCUGACAUGCUAAAAUCUUUCUUUGAUUGAUCCUCAGGGUGGACAACUUGCUCUUGGUAAGAACGGCUAGAGGAUAUUUGUGAUACUCCAAACACUUCCAAGCAAAGUGAAAAGUUAUGCAUAAGAUCAUUUUGAAAUUUUCACUAAUGACAAUGAAAUUAAAAGAUAUUGUAUUUAGUAGUAAUCUGUAUGGAAUAUAUAUAUAUAUAUAUAUAUGUAUAUAUAUAUUAUUUACUUACCAAAAAACAAUAGUGGAUAGCUUCUUAAACUAAUUCUUGAGGCCUCCACUUGUCUUAAAAAAUUAAUGCAUUCCACUUCAACCAAAAUGACCCACAACUUAAAUCAAGUGCACUGCCCUGCCAAAUCACUCUAACCCUUGUACUAAUCCUGAAGUCUAUGAAAAAACUAGCAUCAAAUCUGCAAUACCUUUAAGGGAACCUAAGACAAGCCCCAAUCCAAAAAGUAUUCUCCACAGUCCCAAAAUGACAAGGCAGUGAAGGAAAAGAUGAUCCAUGUUUUUGUCAUACGCAAAGCAAAGCACACAACUUUAAGGACAGAAAACUACAUAAGGUCUCAAUUGGUAAAUUGUUAGUAUUUAGUAGCCACUGACAAAGCAGAAGCUUUAUUUUUGGAAGAAGUUUUAGCUUUACAGAUAAAAAUAGCUUAAGGAGAAAUGGCAAGAGAAUCACUCUUAGAAAGGGCAUGAGGGGAAAGGCAUAAAGGAAAAGAUGCCUAAUGAACCAAAAGUAUAAACCCUCUCAUUUGGAAAUGACAAAGAGAGGUUGUUACACAUUGUGCACAGAGAACAAAAGAGAAGAGGUUGUCAAUUUUCCAAUUAGGCAAAUUAAAUCGAAAGUCAAAAUUCCAAGAGAGGGAAGAAUAUGACUUCUCAUAAGACAUAGGAACAUUCUUAGCCCUUCAAAUGAGAUGGAGAUUAGGAUAAAGAAUAUUGAGAAUGAUAGCCCACCAAACAACAUCCAGGAGCAAACUUUGGAGCCAUCACAUGCUAUGAAAUGCAUGAACUUAAGAAGUCUGAGAAAACCUCAGAAAUUGCCUUUUAGGAGCACUAUGCUAACCACCCUACAACUAUUUUUUUUAAUUAAAAAAAUAAGAAAAAAAACACAUUUAAAAAGGGCUGUCUAGGAGUGCAACCCAAGUACAUAGGAAGUAUACAAAGAGAUUCGACGGCUUAACAAUAAGAACAAUAAGAGUAUCAUAAAACCUAACAUCUUCCAAGAAAGUCAAUAAAAUCAAGGAAACAUAGACAGAUUUGAACAGACUUUUUUCCUCCCUUCGUGUAUAGAGAGUUGAUAAUGUGUGCAUGUUGCUUUUUCUACUUGUAGUAUGAGCAAAUAGUAUUAGCUUUUUGUGGAGCAAUAUAUGUUUCCAAUUUCUACUCUGCCAAUAACCAAUUUUCAUUCUUCGUAUUUAUCAUUCAAUGAAAUGAAUCUAACUAUAUAUGUAUAUAUAUUAAAGAGACACUAGACCAAGAAUACAAAUUUGUUAAAAUAAAAACAAAAAUCUUCACCAAUAAAACUGAACUUUCUUCACCUCAAAAUAACUCUUUUGCACUCUUCUCAUAAGCAUCAUAUCAGAAACAGAGUGGCAAACCUUGAAAACAUCCUGUGGCCCCUUUCAACAGAACUUCCAUAUCAACCAAGGAGCAAUUCUUUUGAAGACCGAAAAGUACCCAACAAGUCCAAAAAAAAAAAAAAACAAACAGAGAGUACCAGGGCCCACAACAGUUCACCCAUCUACUAUAUACCCCAUCCUCUGAACUUUCACCAAGGAAAGAAAAGUGUAUUCCUCCAUGAAAUUAAUUCCUUUUCUACCCUUUCACAGACAAAGCCUGAAUUCUCUUAAAGGACAACUAGGCAGCAAGACGAAACACAUGUUAGGAAAUCUAGAAUGCCAUUUCAAGCAAUUGAAGCUUCUAGCAGAAUUUUAAACACACUAAUUUUUUGUAUCAAAUUUAACACAAACACACACACACACACACACUCUACAUUUAAUUUACUUCUCAACUUCACCAAUGCCUAUUUUGGUAUGAAAUUGCAUCUUUUGCCAAUGUAACUUUGAUAGCACCACCCACUAAUCAUUCCAACUUCAUGUAGAGGGUACAAUCACACACCACUAGGAUCUUUUUUUCAUUAUAUUAAAAAUGAAUAAAAGUACAUGAAGGAGACGUAACGUAGCCAACCAGUGUAGACUAAAAAUAAAAAGAAACACAAAACUCCUCUCAUUGCUAUUCAAACCCUUUUGUUAUACACACUAAGGGUCAAUCAAGCUGAACAACAUUAAGAGGAAUGUCUUAAAAGGCAAAUGUACAAGAAGUCCACAAAGAAGAAUAGAAGUGGAUUAGAUCCCACAGUGUCUCUUCGUCCUCCACUUAACCUCAAAGACCCUAGCAUUUCUCUCUCGCCACAUGAACCACAUCAGUGUGAGACAAGUGAUUUGCCACAACUUGCCUCUUAGGGAACUCCUCAAACUCCUAUAUGAGAUGAUCAUUGUAAAAUUAUAGGAAGAUUUAAUUUGAUGAUUUGUCAGCAAUGUUAAGGGCUAAGAUUGAGGAUAUCUACAGCUAACAAAUCAUCUUUUCUUAUCCCAUGAUUUUAUGAGAUUUGGUAAUCUGUUACCAAAUCCAUUUCUGUUUUAUGUAGUUUUGAUUUUUUUUUAUAAGUUGUAAAUAUCCCUAAAAUAGAUGAGUAUUAUCAUCUAUAUGUAAAGGGGAAUGUAAUCAUUAUAAUGGAUGGUGGAAUGUUGAGUUUUUCCUUCCACAUCAAUAUGGUAUCAGAGCAUUCUCUGAACCCUAAUUCCCUCAUAUGACCAAAUACGGCAAACAUAAUUCAACUGCUACUGUUUCCCAAAUCACCUCCAAUCAGGAAGCCAUGGCUUCCAGCAAUAGUAGUGCAGAUAGUAACCUCAUGCCCAUUACAGGACACAAACUGAAUGGGAACAACUAUCUCCAAUGGUCCCAUUCCGUAAUGAUGUUCAUAUGCGGAAAAGGCAAAGACGAUUAUCUCAAUGGAGUUGCUGCCAAACCAAACAAGACAGAUGAAAAGUUCAAAGUCUGGAAUGCUGAAAAUAAUAUGGUCAUGUCAUGGCUCAUUAAUUCCAUGACAAAUGACAUUGGAGAAAAUUUUCUUCUUUAUGGAACAGCAAAGGAGAUUUGGGACGCUGCCAAGGAAACGUAUUCCAACAAUGAGAAUACAUUGGAAUUGUUCGAGGUGGAGAGUGUUCUACAUGACUUCCGCCAAGGAGAGUUAACGGUGACUCAGUAUUUCAACACACUCAAUCGCUACUGGCAGCAGCUGGACCUGUUCGAGGAGCACAAUUGGAGCUGUCCGGGUGAUGGAAUCAAGUAUAAACAGAUUAUUGAACGGAAAAGAAUAUACAAAUUUCUGAUUGGAUUAAAUAAGAAUCUCGAUGAAGUACGAGGAAGAAUCUUAGGAUCCAAACCACUACUAAAUAUCCGGGAAGCAUUUUCAGAAGUUCGGAGAGAGGAAAGUCAAAAGAAGAUCAUGAUGGGCUCUCAAGAUUCUGUGACAAAUCCUGAGAGCUCAGCCCUUGCAGUUAGAGGAAAUCCAUUUAAUAACAAUGAUCACAAACCGAAGAAAGGGCGACCAUGGUGUGAUCAUUGCCGACGUCUUGGUCACACCAAGGACACCUGCUGGAAGAUUCACGGCAAACCUGCAGAUUGGAAGCCUUCCCGGUUUGCCAAUGACAACGAAGGACAGGGCAACCUCGUCUCCAUGGAUGAAAAACCAUCACCUGAACCCACUCCCUUCAGCAAGGAACAGAUAGAAGUCCUACAGAAAUUGUUCAGCCAAUCCUUGCCUGCAGUUGUCCCCACUGUGGUUGGUACUGGUUCCUUGGCACAAAAAGGUAAUUUUUUUAGUGCUCUAAAUGUUAAAAAGGAGAAGUUAAGUCCAUGGAUUAUAGACUCGGGAGCAUCUGAUCAUAUGACUGGAGAUGAGAAGCUUUUUUCUACUUACAAUCCAUGCUAUAAAAAUUUAACUGUGAGAAUAGCCGAUGGUUCACUCUCAAAGGUGGCUGGUACAGGUUCUGUUAGAGUUUCAAAGAACAUCACCCUUGAUUCAGUUCUCCUUGUGCCAAAAUUAAAUUGCAAUUUACUGUCCAUUAGUAAACUCACUCGGGAUCUCAACUGUGUUACUAAGUUUGGCUCAAAUCUGUGUGAAUUUCAGGUCUUGGACUCGGGGAAGACGAUUGGCAGUGCUAAGAUGUGUUCGGGGCUCUAUCUUCUAGAGGUUAAUGAUCCUCCUCAAGGAUCAACUCAUCAUUCUGAUUGUUCAGUGUCCAGUAGUCCUAUUUCUUUGUCUGUGAGUCAGUCUAAUAAUGAUAGUGCAGUUAUGUUGUGGCACUAUAGGUUAGGUCAUCCAAAUUUCUUGUAUCUUGAGAAGUUGUUUCCUUCAUUAUUCCAUAAUAAAAAUCCAAAUGAGUUUCAAUGUGAGAUCUGUCAAUUUUCUAAACAUAUUCGUAAUUCUUAUCCUAACCGAUCCUACAAAGUAUCUCAACCUUUUUCCAUGAUUCAUAGUGAUGUAUGGGGUCCUUCUAGGAUAAAAAAUGUUACUGGUUCUCGCUGGUUCAUUUCAUUUAUUGAUGAUCACACUAGACUCACAUGGGUAUUCCUCAUGAAAGAAAAAUCAGAGGCAAACCAGAUUUUCAAAACCUUCAACACCAUGAUCCAAACACAAUUCCAAGCAAAAAUCCAAAUUCUGAAAAUUGACAAUGCCAAAGAGUAUUUCAACUCCAUUCUUAAUGAUUAUCUCUUGAGUCAUGGUAUAGUUCACCAAAGUUCCUGUGUCAACACUCCUCAACAAAAUGGUAUUGCCGAAAGAAAAAACCGACAUCUUCUUGAUGUUGCUCGUUCCCUAAUGUUCUCUACCCAUGUACCAAAUUUUUUCUGGGGUGAAGCCAUCCUCACUGCUGCCUAUCUCAUAAAUAGGAUGUCAUCUCGUAUUCUCGACUUCCAGACUCCUUGUCAAAUUCUUCUUCAGUCCUUUCCCAAUACUCGUCUAAUCUCAACAAUCCCAUUCAAAGUUUUCGGUUGCUCAGCUUUUGUCCAUGUCCAUCAACAACACAGGGACAAACUUGAUCCUAAAGCUCUUAAAUGUAUUUUCCUUGGGUACUCUCCAACUCAAAAAGGAUAUAAGUGCUACUCACUGGUCACUAAAUAGUUCUAUCACUCCAUGGAUGUCACCUUCUUUGAGCAACAAUCUUAUUUCUCCAAAUCUAAUAUUCAGGGGGAGACUAACUUUAUCCAGGAAUACCAGCUUUGGGAUAUUGAAGAAUCAUCUCAUUUCUCUCCUAAUUCUGACCAACCCUACCCAUCACUAAAUCAUGAAUCCAUUCCUCCUCAAAAUCUCUUCCUUGAGUCUCCUUACUUCCUAGAAUCUCCUUCUCAAGAUCAAACCAACAAUCCGCCUACUAAUCCACCUCCUCAAAAUCUGGACACUAUUCAAUCAACAAAGAAUGAUGAGUUGAUUACCUACUCAAGAAGGAGACAGAACCAAAAGGAGAUGGAACAACAAGCAUCUCUUGAGCCAACCCAAGAGUCUGACCCAAGUUCUAGAUCAAGUGAAGAUCCAUCAGGUAACUAUAAUCCCGAAACUAAUGAUGAUAGUGACUUUCCUAUUGCUGUGAGAAAAGGUGUAAGAUCAUGCACAAAACACCCUAUAUACACAUUUGUGUCAUAUGAAGGACUAUCACCGAAGUUCAAAACAUUUGUUGCCAACCUCGACAACAUCCAGGUUCCUAAUAAUAUACAAGAAGCUCUCGGCUCACCUGAGUGGAAAUCAGCUGUGUAUGAAGAAAUUCAUGCACUUGAAAAAAAUGGAACUUGGGAAAUCUCAGAAUUACCAGCUGGAAAACGCCCAGUGGGCUGCAAAUGGAUCUUCAUAGUCAAAUAUAAUGAAGAUGGGAGUGUUAAUCGAUUCAAGGUACGACUGGUUGCAAAGGGAUUCACCCAAUCAUACGGAAUCGACUAUGAGGAGACAUUUGCCCCUGUAGCCAAGUUAAACACAGUUCGGGUUCUACUAUCUUUGGCUGCAAACCUUGACUGGCCUCUCCACCAACUAGAUGUCUUUUUUUUUUUAUAGAUAAACAACCAUAUAUAUUAGAAAAGGCUAAAAAGCCACACGUAUACAGGGAGUAUACUGAACAGCCCUACACAAGGCUAGAAAAAAACAAAAAAGGGGAAAAAGAAACCCCACCCAACCUCACCCACCCUCAAGUGGUUCCAAGCCACUCCAAAAAACCUAAAAGAGAGUAUGUUUCCUCACCAUUGUACACCUUAGCCCAACUCCACAAAUUACAUACAAAAGAAUUCUUGAAUUUCUGAAUAUCUAAAGACCCUCCCCUGAAAGCUAACCUAUUCCUUUCCUUCCAAACCGUCCAAAAUAUGCACACCGGAAUGGAAUUCCAUAUCUUCUUUCUUUUUUUCCCCACAAAAGAACCCCUCCAACUAAGUAACACCUCUAUAACUGACUCUGGGAACACCCAUUGAACUCCAAAAAUGGCAAGGGUAAUCUCCCAAAUAGUUUUAGUCACUGUACAAUGUAAGAGGAUGUGAUUCGCACUUUCCUCUUCAUAGCCGCAUAGGAAGCACCGGUUUGGGAGCUGCCACCCCCUUCUCUGAAGCUUAUCCAAAGUAAGGAUCUUCCCCCACGAGGCUUCCCAAGCAAAAAAAGACACUUUUGUUGGAACCUUAUCCAUCCAAAUGCGCCUAUACGGGAAAACCCCGGCUGAAGAGCCGCUCAAAAUUUUGUAGGCCCCCUUAGCCCCAUAAACUCCAUUGCCUUCCCACUUCCAUCUCACUGAGUCCUCUUCAAGAGAGGUCCUGAAGUCCUUCAACAGAUUCAGCAUAUCUCCUAUCUGCUCCAUCUCCCAAUCAUUGAGGUCUCUAACCAACCUGAGAUUCCAACCUCCUUGACCCAUGCUAGAGUCCCACACUUCACAGAUUUUGGCAUUCUUGUGACCCGCCAAGGUAAACAACUGCGGAUAAGAUUGAGCAAGCGCCUCAUUGCCACACCACUUAUCCGUCCAGAACAAAACUCUAUUCCCCUUCCCAACCUUAAAAUCAAUGUUCUCCCAGCACCAAUCCACCUCCUUCAUGAUGUCCUUCCACAACCCCACCCCAAAAGGCCCACACACUUCCUUUGUCUUCCACCCACAUCCCUCUUGACCGUAUUUCACCCCUAUCACAGUUUUCCAAAGGUUAUCCUUCUCAUAGGCAUAUCUCCAAACCCAUUUUCCCAGCAAGGCUUUGUUCAACAAGUCUAUCUUUUGGAUGCCUAAACCACCCUCCUCCUUAGGGCUGCAGACCACCUUCCAAUUAAUCAAGUGAACUUUCCCUUCCAAGCAUCAUACCCCCCACAAGAAGUCUCUUUGAAUUCUUUCAAUCCUUUUUGCCACAGCCUUAGGAAUGCGAAUAAGGGAAAGAAGAUAGAUGGGUAUGCUGGCCAAAGUGCUCUUGAUGAGAGUAAUUCUUCCCCCCUUCGAAAUAUACUGCCUUUUCCACUGGGCUAAUCUUCUUCUCAUUCUCUCUUCCACCCCAUCCCAAGAAGAAGAGGUUUUAUGGUGGGCUCCAAGGGGCAGCCCCAAGUAAACAGUGGGUAAAGCCCCCAAUCUGCAUCCUAGCUCAGCCGCCAACUCCUCCAGCUCAUCCACUUCCCCCACCGGAAUUAGGACACUCUUAGCCAGGUUAAUUCUGAGGCCGGAGGCCGCCUCAAACCACGCCAAUAUCCAGCUAAGAUUGGCAAGUUGCUCUCUUCUAGCUUCGCAAAAGAUGAGAGUGUCGUCAGCGAAAAGCAGAUGAGAGACAGCCAGCUCUUCCCCUCCUCUCCCCCUCAGUCUACAGCCUGAAAUGAAGCCACCCUCACCAGCCCGUCUUAUAAGAGUGCUAAGCACUUCCAUACCCAAAACAAAGAGGUAAGAAGAGAGGGGGUCUCCUUGCCUCAACCCCUUUGAAUUCGAAAAGAACCCAGCUGGAACCCCAUUGAUUAAUAUGGAGAAUUUGGCCGUAGAAAUACACCACCACAUCCAAUCCCUCCAGCGAGACCCAAAGCCCAUCUUCCGAAGAACCUUCAUAAGAAACUUCCAGUUGAUGCUAUCAUAGGCUUUUUCAAUGUCCAACUUGCAAAUUAACCCUUUCUCUUUUCUUUUCUUCCAAUAAUCUAUCACCUCAUUAGCUACUAAAGAAGCAUCCAAAAUCUGUCUCCCUCUCACAAAGGCAUUUUGGUCAACAGAAACCACCAUAUCCAGCACUUUCUUUAGCCUAUUGGCUAGGACUUUGGCUAAAAGUUUAUACAAACCCCCAAGCAAGCUGAUUGGCCUGAAGUCCCUCAAGUCUUCAACUCCUCCUUUCUUAGGAAUAAGGACCAAAAAAGUAGUAUUGAGAGACUUAGCAAAGGACCCAUGCUCAAAGAACUCCUUAAACAUUUCCACCACCUCCUCCUUCACAAAAUCCCAACACUCUUGCCAAAAGGCCACUGAAAAGCCAUCCGGGCCAGGAGCUUUGUCACCCCCCAUCUCCAUCAAAGCAGAAUGGAUUUCCUCCACAGAGAAAGGCACCUCCAGACCAUCAACCUCCCUAGAACUAAGUUGUUUGAACUGCAGCCCCUCAAUAUCCGCUCUCCACCCCUGCUCUUCUGAGAGUAAUUUCUGGAAUUCAUUCACUAUCCCGUCCCUCACCUCUUGAUCCUCGGUCAACAGCUCCCCAUUAAUCAUAAUCCUGUCCAUGGAGUUAUUCCUACGGUGGGCAUUUGCCAUACGGUGGAAGUAACCCGUAUUCCUAUCCCCUUCCUUAAGCCACAGCUCCCUAGAUUUCUGCCUCCAAUGAACCUCUUCCAAAAGCACCCAAUGAUGGAAGGCAUCCUUGGCUUGUUUUUUCUGCUCAGCUUCAGCUAAAGUCAAGGUCCUUUCACUCUCCACUCCAUCCCAAUACUCCAACUGCUGGAGGGCAGAAUUUUUGUUGACUUCCAGCCUUCCAAACACCUCCCUAUUCCAAACUUUAAUGUUGUGCUUCAAAACCUUCAUCUUAUAGGCCAAUCUGAAACUGGCCCUUCCUCUCACCUUAAUCCCUUGCCACCAUCCCCGGAGAAGAUCAAUGAACCCGUCCACUUUCAGCCACAUAUUCUCGAAUCUAAACGGAGUGGGUCCUCUCCUUAUCCCCCCACCCAUCAGCAAGAUAGGAAAAUGAUCGGAAGUGGGUCUAUGCAUUCUGCAUUGGGCUACCCCACAAAACAUAUCUAGCCACUGUUGAGUCACCAAAAACCUAUCUAGUCUAGCCCAGGAUUGAUUAUUCCUGCCCCCAUUCCAAGUGGCAAUACCCCCUUGCAUUGGGAGAUCAAUGAGUUCUAAAUCGUCAACUAUUUGGGCAAAACUUCUCAUGGCACCAGACAACCUUCCCUGUCUGCUCCUUUCCCACUGGGAUAAUAUGACAUUGAAGUCCCCCCCUAAGCACCAGGGAUCUUCCCACAAGCCUCUGAUCGCCCCUAGCUCUUCCCACAGACAAUCUCUAUCCUCUUUGGAGAAAGGCCCAUACACCCCUGUAAAGAUCCAGGACAUCCCAUCUUCCACAUUCCUAAACCUACAGGAGACUGAGAACCUUCCUACCUCCGUCUCCAUCACCUCCAAAGACCUUUUGUCCCAACACACCAAAAUCCCUCCCGCAGAGCCCAAGGCGUCUAAAGCCACCCAAUUAGACCACCUUCCAAAACCCAAACUUCUUACCAAACCCUCCGACAAAGUUUGAAAUUUGGUCUCCUGAAUACAAAACAGGUCCACCCUCUGACUUCUUAUAACUGCCUUAAUAACCCUUCUUUUGGAGCUAUCAUUGGCUCCACGAACAUUCCAACUAAUGAUUCUUAGCUUCAUUUACUUCCGUAAUUUGGCACCCCCUUACUUGCACUUCACCAUUUUGCUUUUUCCCCUUUUCAUAGUUGAUGGAACACUCCAAUCUCUUCAAUUCUCUCUCAAAUUUGGAUUUCUCCAGAAAGGUUUUGCUGUGGACACUUUCCCUUCUUUUACGAAUUUUCACCAAGAAUUCCAUAAUGUCCUUUUCCAGACCUUCUGUUGAAAACCCCAAAAAUUUACUAAACUUGGCCAGAUCACUCUUCUCCCAGCUUAGCUCCCCUCCUGCCUUAUUACCAAUUGGCACUAUUUGAUCGGAGUCCAACCCUUUUCCAAUAACAUCAAUUCUGUCCUUGCUGGCCUCCACCAAAUCCCAGCAUUCGACAGGCUCACUCACAGGUGGCUCCAUGCCCAUGAGCAUUUGAAGCGGAUUCUCAUCCUCGUCACGCUUCUCUCCGAGUCCAGAAAGGUCGCAAUACUCCCCCACUGGAGUCCGACCGAAAAAAGAAAGAGGGGAAGAGGGAAGCACAGGGAACAAGCAAUCGGACUGGACCGUAACAUACCUCGACGCUUCCUCCACCAGGGCAAGGUCAGUCUUCGAUCGCUCUAAGGGGGGGAGCUCUGCCUCACCCAGCCAUCGCAUCCCAUCCUUCUCCCAAACCAGGGACAUAUCAGAGAGUGGGCUUCCCGCGUGGCUUGGGCCGCAUCUCUGGGCCUCAACAAGGUGGUCACUGGGCUCCUUCUCAGCUACCAGUCCCGCCUCCACCGUGGGCCUCCAAGCCUCGAUCCGUCUAUUUUCCUUUGGCCCAAGAGAGGCCACAGAGGAGGAGGACUGAUUAAAGCCCUCAGUCCCACAAGGCCUCAUCAGAGAGCCCAGCCCAACCUGUCCACUCUGCACGCUCUCUGUUCCCUGGGGCUUUAACUGCAGCCCAUAAGGCCCACGAGAGCACUCCAUGGGGCGCCCCGACCCGGAGGUCAGUCUUCGCGUCCCAUCCGUCGACUGCAUCUGCACCUCGGGCCUUGAACCCCCUUUGGCCUCCUUCACGCGCUUGCCCUUGCGUGAAUGGGCCUCACCCUCUACCUCACCCUCUGUUACAACAGAUUUCCCUUUCCCUCCCGUCGGCGACGCGCUCAGCGUCGGCCUGGUCUCCCACCACAGUGUUAGGGAGUAACACAUAUUUCCCACCCAUAUUUCCACCAUAUUAGGAGUCUUCUCCUCGAUCUUCCUUACCCGGAUUCUUGCCCACUGAAGCUCCUCCAUCCUCUCUGUUUUAACAUCCAUGCCCAAAAAACCCCCGCAUGCCUCUCCUACCUUGCUCAAGAUGUCCCGAUUCCAUAGAGAGAUGGGAAGACCCACUAUCCUUACCCAUGCCUCUCUUACUUUCUCUUCCUCCAUUAAGCAUCCCGACCUUGGGCUCCAUUUCUCCAGUCGAAUGACGAAGCCUCCAACCGAAAUUUCCGCUAUAUCUAGGGCUUUCUCAGCUUCUGAUAACAGCCCAAAUUCCAACAAUGCCUUGCCAUCUUCCAAUUUGGCCAAGCCUAAAUUGCCCUUUAGCCCCCAUAAUUUUGACAUUUGGGUCCCCCAACUUCUUAAAUCUUCCCCCCCUCCUCUCGUUGAGUUCCAGCACCCGACAAGACAGUGGGCUAGCUUCUCCAAAUUCACACAUAAUGCACUGUUGUCCACACGCACCCUAGCCACCUCUUCUCCGAUGCUGUGGUUCUGCUUUACCACCUCCGCAAAGGACUUUCCCCUCAAAGGUGACCAAAAAAUUUCCUUAUCCUUCUGUCUCACUUGCCGGCCUGAGAUAGACUCCAUCUCACGCAGCGCCUCCACCAAGAGAGACCAUCCCCCUUUUGCUCCUCUACCCCUGGGAACAAAGAUAUUGAACCUCUUUUUUUCCCGAUCUAAAACCCCCAGCUUAAGGAAACAUCCCCCUUUGUUUUCGUCGCGCUCUAAAGAGAAAAAUCUCCCAUUCUCUUGCCAGCGUUUCUCCCAAUGGCCAGUCCUCAUGUCCUUUGAGCAGAAAACCAGGCCUUCAAUGAGCGGCCCCAAACUUGCCGGCCCCAGCUUAAUCCAAGAAGAGACGCCUCCUUUGCUUUCCGUAAUGAAAAUAAAUGUCCUACCCUUCUUCUUCUCUACCUCGAUCUCAAAGAUUUUUGACUCAACCCCAAACCUCCUUUUCCGACCCCCCACCUUGAGGUACCCCUCUGAGUCCCCAUUCGUGUCAAGAAUGCAUUCCUAAAUGGGGACCUAGCUGAAGAAGUUUACAUGGAAAUUCCUCUAAGAUUUGAGACACAAACUACACGCAACAAAGUUUGUAAACUUCGGAGAUCUCUAUAUGGGCUCAAGCAAUCUCCAAGAGCCUGGUUUGAAAGAUUCACAAAGGUAGUUAAGAAACAUGGCUACUCCCAAUGUCAGACGGACCAUACUCUAUUUGUUAAACACUCUCCUGCGGGAAAGCUUGCUGUCCUCAUUGUAUAUGUGGAUGACAUAAUUCUAACGGGAGAUUAUGAAGAGGAAAUCCGCACCAUCAAAAGUUUUCUAGCUGCAGAAUUUGAGAUCAAGGACCUUGGGAAUCUCAAAUACUUCCUAGGUAUGGAGAUUGCAAGGUCAAGAAAGGGAAUCUCUGUCUCACAAAGAAAAUAUGUCCUGGAUCUCUUAAAAGAGACUGGAAUGCUUGGGUGUAAGCCAGCAGAUACUCCUAUGGAUCCAACAACCAAACUAGGAGCUAAGGAAAAUUGUGCACCCGUGGAUAAAGGGAGAUACCAAAGAUUAGUAGGUAAACUAAUAUACCUAUCUCACACACGACCAGAUAUUGGCUUUUCUUUCAGCAUGGUAAGUCAAUUCAUGAAUAAUCCAAAUGAAGAACACAUGGAGGCUGUGUAUAGAAUCUUGAGAUACCUGAAACUAACACCAGGUAAAGGAUUAUUUUUUGAGAAGAACCAAAGAAGAGAUAUUGAAGUGUUCAGCGAUGCAGAUUGGGCAGGAUCAGUACAAGACCGAAGAUCAACUUCAGGGUACUGCACAUAUGUGUGGGGUAAUCUGGUCACAUGGAGAAGUAAGAAGCAAUCAGUGGUGUCAAGGAGCAGUGCAGAAGCUGAAUUCUGGGCAAUGGCACACGGCAUUUGUGAGGGAAUAUGGUUAAGAAGGGUGCUAAAGGAAUUAAAGAUUUCAGAUGAAGAACCUAUGAAAAUGUUCUGUGAUAAUCAGUCAGCAAUCAGCAUUGCAAAAAAUCCAAUACAUCAUGAUAGAACAAAACAUGUGGAAAUUGAUCGACAUUUCAUAAAGGAGAAGAUAGAGGAAGGAAUAAUCAAGAUGUUGUACGUGCCUACAAGCCUUCAAACAGCUGACAUUCUUACCAAGGCUCUACCGAGAAAGGUGUUUGAUGAUCUGAGUUCCAAGCUGGGGUUAAUAAAUAUUUACCGCCCAGCUUGAGGGGGAGUGUAAAAUUAUAGGAAGAUUUAAUUUGAUGACUUGUCAGCAAUGUUAACGGCUAAGAUUGAGGAUAUCUACAGCUAACAAAUCAUCUUUUCUUAUCCCAUGAUUUUAUGAGAUUUGGUAAUCUGUUACCAAAUCCAUUUCUGUUUUAGGUAGUUUUGAUUUUUUUUGAUAAGUUGUAAAUAUCCCUAAAAUAGAUGAGUAUUAUCAUCUAUAUGUAAAGGGGAAUGUAAUCAUUAUAAUGGAUGGUGGAAUGUUGAGUUUUUCCUUCCACAUCGAUAAUCAUCAUGUCACAUAUACUCCUAGGUGGAACCCAGUCCAGCCUAGCAUGUCUAAAUAGAUGGUGGCAUAGCCUCAUUGUCACAAGACAAUGAAAAAAAUGAUGAUCAACCAUUUCUCCACUUCUCAAACACAGAAUGCACCUAUUAGGGCUAAAGGCUUUGUAAGGUCUUUUCAACAGAUGCAUGUCAUUGGUAUUUACCCUUUUAUGUGGAGAAGCAAGGCUUGGACCUUAGAUGGGGCUUUAGACUACCAUACAAAUUUGGCUAGAGAAAAGGGACAUAAAUUUGAUAGAUUGGACAAGGCCACAAAAAGGGAUUUUACUAAGAACAAACUUGAGAAGGAUAAAGAUCAAGCUCUCGCAUUUGGAAUGGUUGAAGACAAAUGCAUACGAUUAAGAGAAGACACAUAUCUUUCAAGGUCCUCAAUCUCCAAAUCAAUAAGAAUAUGAUGACAACUAAGGUUCCAGGAAGACGAGGAAGAGCUCCCAAGGAUAGCUAAGAUGGAAAGGUUUUUCUCUAAGACUCCUCUGGGAAGUCCUCGAAAUUGAGAACAUAAAGGUUGACCCCCCCAACCACAAAGUAAGUGUGUAGAAAAAUUUUGAAAAACUUGUGCAAUGGUCAGUUAGUGGCACUAAUGUGACCAUCUAACUAGAAUGUUGGUGUCUCAUCCAUUAGAAUGUGUCUCAUAAAUGGUUAAAGUGACCUGAUGCCAAAGGGUGAAACUUUCCCUAGGGACCUCCAUAGCCACUUCCCUAACGUAAUAUGAUUCCUCAGAGAAACCUUCCCUAAUCCUAAACCUCCAUACUUCGGCUUACACACUAGGAUCUUACCUAAACUAGAUAACCAAACUUACCAACUGUAAAAUAUUUAACCUAAAUCACCAGCUUUCUCUGCUACAAAUUGAUAAUUUUUUUUCCCCAGCAAGAUAGGAGGAAAUUAACUGGUUUUAGUUUAAACUCCUGCUUCAUUUUUCAAUUAUAAGUAGAUCCUAGCAUAGUCACAAUGGACUCAUUCUGCUGAAAGUUUUAUUAAAUGGAACAAUGGUAAGAUAUUUGGGAUAAAUGAGAAAACUCUCUCCUUCCUUAAGUUGCAUAUUUUACCUGUAAACUCCAAAAAGUCUUGUAAAAGUUGAAAUCAAUAGAAAUUCCUGGACAAAAAAUAGUAAAUUUAUUAUUUACACUUCAGCCAGAGACCUUUACAACAAUAACACAUAAAUAGAACUAGAAGGAAUGGAAUUUAAAGAUGGUUAAAAAUCCUGUGCAGCAUGGAGGUACCUUCAGGGGCAUCUUUCUCAUAUUUUGUUUCAUUAGAUGUGUUGAAAACCCCCUUUAUAUUCACAGCUGUAAGCAUAGAACAAAAAACAGAGGUAACACAGAUGCUCACAUAUAUAUAUAUAUAUAUAGAAAGAGAGAGAGAGAGAGAGAGAGAGAGAGAUCACUUAAAAGUAAAGAUCAGGAACAAAUUCAAACAAACCUGAACGCUCGGACAAGGGAAAGAAAUGAGCCAGAAACAUGAGAAUUCGUCCACAAAAAACCACAUCGUUUGCCUACAAAGUCAGUUUUCCCAUGAAUCAGCAGAAAAACUGAAAUUCACACAACAUUUUCCAAAUGAUAAAUGAUGAGAUAAAGAUAUCUUUAUGACAUUCUAAAUAAAAAUUUAGCCCAAAAGUACUGCUAGAGGAAUUUCUAAAGACGAAUUUCAAGUGAAAUUUAUAAAUAUUGAUCUACAGUCUCAAUAAAAACAUCAGAAUAACUCUUAUAAUUUAUCCUCAACUUCUAGUAAAAUAUCCCUAUAAUUUUCUAUUACAUUCACAUUGUUUUAUUGUGAGCGUUUGUGCUGACUUCUAAUUUAGAGGAGGUCAGCCAGUGGAAUAGUAGGCCAUCCAGGUUCAUGGGGAGAUUGAAGCAAAGCAAAAUGCAAGAGAGCUGGAGAAAGUGGCAUAAGGGAGAUGGAAAAAGUGGCAGUGCUCUCCUGUGGGAAGCUGACACAUAGGAAGACCUUAAAUUUAAAGGGACUCUUGAAAAGCAAGAGCAAGUUUCAGUUUUAUUCAUGUGUACUCUAUGAAGUGAAGCUUUUUAUAGUGGCCCAAAAAGUAACUCCUGUUACUUGUAAUAUGCUGACAUGGACACUGUCAGAGAUGGUGACUGUCUUGCACACACUGGUGGAUCCCACCUACUCUGGUUAAAUUGGGCAUGAUGCAUGUCAAUCCUGCCUUAUGAACCUCCUACUCUGGAAAGAAAAAAAAAACACAAACCAUCCCAAUGUACCCAUUGCUGGAAGGGUCAGUUCUGCUAGUAAGGUACACCAACCCCAUACUCAUUGGAACCCCUAGUUUUCUUUGCAGCUUAGAAAAGUAUAUUAGUAUAAGAGCAUUGUGUUAAGGAAGUAUCUUUGGAAGGGCACAAGAGAUUAUUAGCCAUCUUGAAGGAACAUUGAACAAUUUUCUUGGCAACAAGGACAUAGUCAUUCCCUUUGGAUGCAUAUGGCAUUGCCUUUGGAGGUGAGUUAGGAGUUGUAAUAACCUCCAUGACAAGCAUUCCCAUUUCAUGGGCAUCUAAAGUAUUUGGCCAUCUACCCAUAAGUAGUCAUCCAUGUCCAAAAAAUGCAACACUAUUACAGAGGGGAAGAUAUGGAGGUGGUCAUGCAGUACAUUCAUCCAAAGGUAAGAGACAUCUGGCAUGGCAGUGGAAAUUGAAAAUUGUUUUGUUUAUAUGAUUUUAAGUCCCAGAACAUGUAGCACUUUAGGAUUGGUUGUAUCACAAUGAUGCCUACAUAUCAGAAACCAGACACCUAGCAGACAAUGACUAUGCCCAAUAUUUUAUUUAAAUGCACCUUUGCAGAGAGGUGCAUUAAAACAUUGCUAGCAAAAAGGCGCAUUAAAACCUUGCUAGCAGCCUAGCAAUAUUGACACCAAUUAACAUGGAAUAUUUGAAAGUAAGUUGAGGUAUAAAACAACCUUUGACAGACGACGAAGAAGUUGAUUGCACGUCCUCAGCAUCACAAGCUUUCCACGUGCAAAGAGCUCUUGCUGUAUGUAAUGGAAACACAGAUUUAAGAAGAAUGCAUCAUGGCCAUGCAUGGAUAACAUGAACAAAAGAAUUUCACCACCCCCCAAUUAGAUCAGAGCAUACCUUCCCCAAUAUAUCUUGUUUACUCUCUAUAUAAGCAAAGAUGUCUUUACAGUUUCUCAUUGUAGACAUUUCUGUUAAAUCUUCCAAUAGCUGGAAUAUCAUACCACCCUCAACAUGUUCUUUCUCACAAAGAUACAGCACAAUGUCUAGUAAUAACCAAAAAAAAUUGAGAGAGAGAUAGAGAGAGAGAACAAUUACAACAAUGCCGUUUAAGGGUAAAAUUAAUUCAUUGAAGCAUACAUAAGAUGUAAUCAGGAUAAACAACUGAAAAGAUCAAAAGGUCAAGGAAAAAAGAAACAUCCAAAAAGAGAAAGGAAAAAGCUAGCAAAGUGGUCAAAAGUCCAAAGCUGUUAAACCUUUUGUUUUUUUUGGAAGAAAAACAAACAUCUUCAUGCAUUAAAUAAUAAAUACAAGAAGGAUGAGCAAUCCUUCAAAGAUGUACAAAUGUUGGUUCGAAAGUGUUAGCCUAGGGUUGAGUAAUCUCAAUUUUGAUGAUAACAAAGCAAAGGUUAAAAGACAGCAAUAAGUCUAUUGUUUAAGUGCAGCGGUUCAAAAGGAUUGCAUCACCAUAUAUACUACAAAACUCAAGUGUCUCUUUCAAGAAGCAAGACAAUUUGCAAGACUCGAGAGGAAGGUGCAAGAGGACUUUAUAAUUUUCAUGAAGACCUUAGUUAAGCUUGUCUUUGAGUUGUUUUGCAUGUAAUUGAAGUUUUUUGUGCUCCCCAUGAGGAUGGCAAGACUUACCUAGUCUAAGAGACUACCUUGAACCUCAAACUUUUCAUGAAAAUCUCUUAUGUUUCUUAACAACAUUAUCGACUUCAAUGAAGUGCCUUAGAAGUUAUUUAUACUUGAAAAGUUCUCAAAAUAUCGAUUAAGAUUUGUUCAAAGGUGGUCUAAAUUCAUAUGUGUUAGUAAAAGAAGGUCUUAGUCCCAAAACAAUGCAUGAACUUCGAGGAAUAUAUUGGGUGAGAGAACAAGUGGACAACCACGUGGAUGUCAAAUUGCUAUGUUUUAGUUGGGGAAGUUACUGUCUAGCAUGUGGAUGACCACACGGUUGUCCGCUUGUUAACAUGGACAACCAUAUUGUUGGUCAGAAAGUCCUUGAUUUUAGGACACAAAAUAUACACAGAGAAUCUCACAACCAUAUAUGUGUGUGUGUGUGUAUGAUAUAUAUAAAGAAUGUUGGAUGAGGAAAUUAUGGACACAUGCAAAACAAAAUCAUGUAUUGCCAUUUAUAUUUGGCAAUAGCAUGUAAAUCAAAUCAGAAUUGUAUAUUGUCAUUCAUAUAUUUGGCAAUACCGUGUGAUCUACAUGGAAAACCUGGUGGUGGUAGGAGCCUAUAAAUAAAGGUCUCCUCUCCUCAUUCUAGCCAUCCCAAAGUUGAGAGAAAAAGAGAGGUACAAGUCUUUUGAGUGAAAAAGUGAGGCUCUCUUAAGAGUUAGAGAACUAUGAUCACUCCUCCAAUACCCAUCUAUCUAGGAUUACCUAAGGAACAUCCAUCAAAGUUUAACUUUACCAAACCUCCUUAAGGGGUAACCAAUGAAUCAUAACUUUCUUUUUUGACAUGUUCAAGUAGCAAGCACUCUUCCAAUCUAGCAUUCAAAUAUAUAGAGGAAUAUCCGCAAAAGGUUCAACAAUCAAGGCCCAUACAAAAGAGAAGAAGAAAAUCCAAUCACGAAUGGGAUCCACAGUCUCUAUUUAUCCUCAAACAUCUGUGCAUUCCUCUCUAACCAUAUGAACCAUAUCAAGGAUACGAUAGCCACCUACCAAAGAGUCUUCCCUUUUGACAGGCUUCCAAAGCCUUUAAAGAAGAUUCUCAACAUCUCUACAACGCCUCUGGGAGGAACCCACUAGAGAUUGGCUAUGCAAAACAAUCUAUGCCAAAGUUCUAGUGUAGUGGGACAACGAAGAAAAAGAUGAUUAGGUGAUUCUUUACUAUUUGAUCACACAACACACUAAUCUAGAUUGAGAGCUUUGUAAGGCCUCCUCAAUUGAAGUAAAUCGUUGGCAUUAACCUUCUUAUUAGUCAUAAGCUAACUGAAAGACUUGACCUUUGGUGGAGCUCUUGAGUUCAUUAACUUAAUGGGAGCAAAAGGGUUCAAGACAAGAGAAGCUAGAUAGACUGAGAGGGCUUUAUAGAAUGAGCUCAUAGAGAAAAGUCCUAAAGGAGUCAAAAACCAAACCCUUUCAUCUAAAAAGGAAGGUGAUUACACAUGUAAUAAGGUGGAAAGGAGGCUACAUAGUUAAUUCCUCAAGCUCUAGAUCAGAAAUGUUUCAUCGAAAAUUGAAAUUCUAAGAUCGACAAGUAGAGGAUCGAUCUACAGUUGAUGAAACAGGCACAUUUCUACACCUUAUAACUUUUAAAAAAAUUGGAAAUUGAAACUUGAGAGGUCAUUUGCCCAACCAAGUAUCCUUCUAAAACAAAUUUUAGUAUCAUCUCCCACUGAGUACUAAGUAAAUAUAGAAAAAUUGUCAAGAAUCUGAGAAAUAGCUUUUCAAGAACAAUAAUCCGACUUCCGAACAACAAUGUUGGCAUCACAACCAUUGGAGUGCAACCCAUAAAUACUUAGAUGACUCUAUGCCAAAAAGUGGUGUUCUCUAUAGGUAACCUCACAAAUACUUACCUAGAAGGGCUUUAUUCCUUAAGGAGAUUAUCCCUAACGCCAAUCCUCCAUCCCUUUUCGGUUUGCACACAUGAUCCCAACAAACUAGGUGAUCUCUUUCCCUUUCCUAAAACCUUACCAAAGAAAGUCUCUUUGCAAUUUCUCAAUCCUAGAGGCCACUAAUUGGGACCUUAAAAAUUGAAAUGAAAUAAGUAGGGAUAGAUGAUAAACAAGAUUGAGCAAUGGAGGACAACGUGGUUUCUUACAAAGGAAGAGAAGGUUGAAGCUCCUCUCUUGACUAGUCUAUCAGCUUCUUGUUGUGCCUCUCUAGACCUCCUGAAUAGAUCACACCUCACUAUUCUAGACAGGUCCAAUAUCCUCUUAAUCCAAUGAUCUUAUCUACAAGAGGGUAGGAAAUUUUCUUGUACCUGAAGUCAACAAGGAAAGUACUAUUGUCGACCCCCUUCCACCAUUUUUGAGACUCCCAAAGAAAUGAAUGUCGUGAGACCAUCCAAUACUACUAUCAUAGCCAAAUGCUCACUAGUGAAAGACUAACAAAGCAACACCUAUGAUUGCACUAUUAUUUCAAAUUUCAUAGUAAACAGUGAUCUUUAAAAUUGAGAAUAUUACAAAGUACAAAAACAAAAAGUCAUAGGAUAAGAAAAGGCGAGGGCUUUUCUUCUUUUAUGGUUUUUCGUUUCUGUACUUCGUAAUAUUCCCAAUUUUAAUGAUCACUGUCAAUCGUGAAAUUAGAAAUAAUAGUGCAAUCACAUCAGUUUUGGGUCAAUUUCUUCUUUGUAUCAACAUUCAUUCAUUUGGGAAUCUCAAAAAUGGUGAAAAGGAGUUAACAACAGUACUUUCCUUGUUGACUCAAGGUACAAGAAAAUUUCCCACCAUCUUGUAGAUAAGAUCAUUGGAUUAAGAGAACUUUGGACCUGUCUAGAAUAGUGAGGUGCACUAAUUAUCAGGACAUCCCAUAUGAACUACUGCAUUGUUACUGCUUCUGGACUUUACAAUUUGGAUUGUUUUCAGGGCAUUCCUGCAGUUGUUUCCUUAGUUAUUGUGCACUAAUGAUCAAAUUCUGCUUCACAUUGUGGUAGCACUGAAUAUGUUUGUUUGUCAAGAGGAUUCUACUUCUACAUGCUCAAGAGUGACACUGGGAUUAUUAAUUUAUUACUUGACAUGAUGAUAUGUAAACAUACUGGGUAAGCAGAUUUAUUUGCUUAUUCUUAUUUCAUGUUCAGAUUGCACAAUGUUAUUAUUAUCUAUCUAUUGGAACACAACCAUGUUAUGCUUAAUGAUAUACUAAUACUUGAUUUAUUGCUUGCACACACCACAUGCUCACAUGCCCCAAGUCAAUGCCUUUUUCUACAUGCUAGGAGUCCAUGCUCUUUUUUAUCUUAAUUUGAUGAUUUUCAAGAAGCAACUGAAGAGACAGAGAUUCGUCAAGAGUAAAGUUAAUUGCUUUAUUCUAGCUCUCAUUUCAGUUUUCUUAGAGUCGAUCAAUCUAUAGAAGGAAAAAAAUGCAUUUCAAUUUUCUAUUUGGCUACUUAACUAAAGAACUUAUCUGGUUUCUACGUAUUUUAUCACACUUUAUGGGAUGACUUCAUAAUUCCCUUCAUGCAUCGGGAUGCUGAAUCCAAGAUGAGAUAUCUUGCAUUCAAAGUUUGGAGAUUUGACAAUACUUCUAGCACAUCAUUUUUCUUUUUAUGCAUUAUUAACAAAAAUAUUAAAAGCUUGUACAGACCCAAAAGGCGUGGAAUUUGACUUUGGAUUGCUUCCUCAUCAUCAAUUGAUUGCCCAUACUGCAUAAUUUUCUCCCCUGAUUGAACGGCACAUGACUGCACAAAAUACAAGCAAUUUAAGUCAUCGAAUGGAUACAGUACAGGGACGGUAGAGAAGAAGCAAAUGUAGCAAUUAAUGUCUCAAAUGAAGAAGAAGAAGAAACGGCAAUUAAUGUCUCAAAUGCAGCAUAUUGCCCACAUGGUAGAGAGAAUUUCUCAAGAUCCAACAGGAAAAAAAAAAUACUGACAAAAAUAUAUAAUGGCAAGAAAUUUCCACCAAACUUUUCUAGCUAUGAGGCUUGAUACUUAGCCAACUCGUCCCCUACAUGGGUGACCGCUGUAGGAAGAGCAACCACACCCCCUGAAAGGUCAGGAAUUUUGUCAAUCCAAACCCCAUCUCCAAGACCCUCUUGCUUUGAGAUAACCAGGAUAGAACAAUGUCUUGACCCUUUCUACAUGAAAAUCAUCAGUACCCAAGAAAGGAGACUCUUCUUUUUCUCCUUCUUAUGGAGGCCUAGAUCAACUAAUUAAUAAGCCGAUAGGAUGGCCAAGAGAGAAGCCCCUUCCUCUAUUGAUUUUAUUGGGAUCUCAUGCCUGUGCCGCCGCCGCUGUCCCCAAAGUUUUAUUGCUCUUUUCCCAUAAGGUCAGGAAGCCAAAGACUUUCUACUACAGGGACUUCUCUUUUGCUUUUCUAUUUUUAUACUCUUGAAUACGUCUUUUUUUUUUUUCUUUUUUCUUUUUAUUUUUUUAGGGAGGGGGAGGGAGAGGGGGAGCAAGGGUGGGGGGGGGGGAGGGAUUUCUCAUCCUUCUUUCUUUUGACAAUUACUUACUUUUCUAUUAGAAAACUUGUAUAGUUUCUCAUCAAAAAAUUAUUAAUGCCCACAUCUACUUCCACCAUCAACACUUCCAUUGAGGCUAAUAUCCCAGUUUCAAUGAUUACAGUAAAAUUGAUUAGUUUGGCAAAGAGCAUUAUGUCACGGACUUAAUCUUUUCUUAAGCUCGUGCGGCACUUAGACAAGUCAAGACACUUGAUCUUGUUAAGUCAGCUUUACUUCCGAUGCUUGGCUUGCUAGGCUAAGAUGCACCCAACUUAGAAGCUUUAGAGGGCAUAGUAGACAACACUUAAAGAAUGGAAGCUUUAUUGCUUUCAAAAGAAGCUAUACAAUGCUUGGAAGCUCACUUGUUUGGCACCUUGGCCAAAUGAGGCCCUCACCUAUUUAUAGGCACCAAUGGAACUCUCUGGAACCUUGGAGAGUUCCUUACAAUUCAUGAAUAUUCUAGAACACCCUACACAAUUCUAUGUACAAGCUUAUGUACAAGAAUAUACAAGAGACUUCUAGAACUCUCUAGAAAGCCUUAGACUCUUCUCAUGCCUUCUACCAUAGUGUAGAGAUGUGUGGACAUCUCUAGGCUUCUCUAGAAACUUCCACACUCUUCCCACUAAUUGCUUAGUGUAAAUGGCUCCACGAGUUUCCAAAAGCUUCCCUCCUCCUAUAUAAGCCCAUGGGGAGGGUCAUUUUUAUUUUUUAUUUUUGAUAGAUAAAGAGAAUUAUAUUGAACGAAAAGAGGAAGCACCAAAAUAGUGGCCUCUAAGUAUACAGGGAGUAUACAAAAGCAGCCCACAAGCUCCAAACCAAGGGAGUAGGAAAUAAACAACAAAACCCCUACCCUUACUUAGAGCCUAGCCACUCAAAAAAGCUAAUAAGAGAAGAAGGGUUCAAAACUAUAAACACCUUAACCUAAGACCAAAGAUUACAUACAAAAGAAUAUUUCAGUCUUUGAAACGAAAGCUCCUCAUUCCCGAAAGCUAACAAAUUCCUUUCCUUUCAGACUGACUAGAAUAUACAUAAAAGAGUCAUUUUCCAAGCCUUUUUACAGGUUUUCCCCACAAACGCUCCAUACCACCCAAAGAGAGUUUCCUUCACUGAACCAGAGAGAACCCAAGCCACACCAAAUAGGGAGAAAAGAAGAUUCCACAAGGCCCGCGUCUUUACACAAUGAAGUAAAAGGUGAUCCACCGUUUCUUGUGCAUCCUGUGACAAUUAGCUCUGUUCCCAUAGUGAUUUCCAUAACACUACUUAACCCUAUUUGGCCCAACAUCCCCAAGAAACAACCUGAAAACAACCAAAGGGACUGCCCACCUGAUCUUCUCGCCAGUUACAUUACAUACCUUCAUUAGUAACCCAUAGAUAAGUAGCAAUAAAGAAGUUCUUAUCAACAUAAGUCGUAACCCGGUAUUGAUGUUCUUUCCAAAAGUCCAAAACAAAUUGAAGAUAAUAAUUCCUAAUGAGAAACAUUAUGGAAGCACCCUUGAGGACUUACAAGAGAAGUGGAAUACCGAUCCCAACGCAUAGGCCUUAAUUUUUCCUCUUCAUAUUUUCCACUUUUCACCUAUCUCCAUAAGGUUCCUUUCUAAUGCAUAACACCAACUUCACUUGCCCAAAAAAGCCUUAUCUAGCAAAGAAAAACUUUUAAUGCCUAAACCCCCCUUUCUCUUCUUCGUUCAAAUAGUUGAUCACUUCACUAGAUGAAUAUUUUUCUUCAAAGGCCCUCCUCCCUAGAGGAAGUUUCUUUGAAUCUUCUCAAGCCUCAGACUCAUUGUAACUGAUCUUGGAAUUAAAAACAAUGAUAUGAAAUAGAGGUGUAAGCUAGAACAUAUGUUUCAUAUCAAAACAAGCCUCCCUCCCUCAGAAAUAUAUUUUAUUUUCCACAUUGAUAGCCUUUUGUAAAACCACUCUUCCACUCUAUCCUAAGUGGCUACUGAAGCUCCUAAUGAAAGCCUCAAGUAAAAAGACAGAAGUUCUCCUAGCCUACAUCCCUAUUCAUAGGUUAACUCCUCUGCAUUGUCCACCCUUCCAACUAGAAUCAACUUGCUCUUUUCAAAGUUAAUUUUCAAACUUGAUAUAGCUUUAAACCACAUGAGCAACCAACUUAAAUGAACCAUUUGAUCUUGAUUAGCCUCAUAAAAAAUAAAGGUAUCAUCUACAAACAACAAAUGAGACACCUUCUCCACCUCACCUCCUCUCCCACUCACCCUAAAACCUAACAAGUAGCCUCCUUCCUUUUCCCUCUUCAACAAACAACUAAGGACCUCCAUUACAAUGACAAAUAAGUAGGGGGAAUAGAUUUCCCUUCUCUUAAUUCCUUGGAGCUUUGAAAAAAUUUAGAAAAGGUGUCGUGUCAUUAACAAAAACUGAAAUUUUACAAUGAAAAUGUACCAUCUAAUCCAUCUUCUCCAUUUCUACCUAAAAAUCAUCUUUUCAAGAACUAUUAGUAAGAGGUUCCAAUUAACACGGUCAUAAGCCUGUUCAAUACCUAGUUUGCACAUAAUGUCUCAUCCCUCACUUUUCAACACAGAGUCAACUCCCUCAUUAGCUAUCACCACUGCAUCAAGAAUUUGUCUUCCCUCUACAAAAACAUUAUGGGACUUGGAAACUACUUUUCCCACCACCCACUACAAUCUAUUUGCCAACACUUUAGCAAGAAUUUUAUAUAAACCUCCCACCAAGCUAAUAGGUCUAAAGUCCUUCAGAUCCUGUGUUCCCUCAUUUUUGGGGAUUAACACCAAGAAAGUAGCAUUGUUCUCAAAUCUCCCUUGUUCAAAAAACUAUUUGAAAAACUUCAUCACCUUAUUUUUCACAAAAUCCCAAUUGCAAUUCAAUUGAGAACCCAUCUAAACCUAGGUUUUUGUUCCCAUUCAACUCCAACAAAGCACUAAACACCCAAUCGAUGCCCAUUAAGAGUAUUGAAAGCCACAUAAUCGAUGCUAGGUCUCUACUCUUCUAGAUCAGACAAAAGGUUGUGAAAGGUCAAUGUCACUCCUUCCUUUAUAUCACCAUCCUUAAAUAGCCAUGCCCCAUUAACCUUCACUUUGGCCAAAAAAUUCCUUCUUCUAUGAGCAUUGGCCAUUUUGUGGAAGAAUUUAGUUCUACUAAAAUCUCCCUAGAUUUUCUACUUCUACGAAGCUUCUUUGAAAAGGGCCCAUUUGCGAAACUCUUCCCUUGUUGUGCUUCUCGCUUCCUCUUCUUCUUGAGAAAAGGUCCCCUUACUCUCCUUGGAAUCCUAAAAUCCCACCGAAUUUAAGGUCCUCUUCUUCCUAAUUGAGACAUUGUCAAGCACCUCUUUGUUUCAAAAUUUUCAAGUCUUAUUUCAAAGCUUUCAACUUUGCUACCAAAAUGAAAAGGAGAUACACUAAAAUCAUACCCCAUCCACCACCCUUUAAGCAAUUCUUUGAUACCCUCCCCCUUUAACCACAUAUUUUCCUUUCCUGAUCCCACCCCCAUCUAGCAAAAUAGGCACAUGAUCUAGAACAAGCUUCAACAAAUUGCUUUGAACCACCUCACUAAAAUAGAUUUCCCAUCUCUCAACCACCAAAAACAGGUCUAAUCUCAAUAAGGACUGAUAACUCAGUUCCCCGCACUUGGGCCCCCAACAAUGGAAGAUCCCACAGCUCCAACUCUUCAAUCAUCUUCGGGAACCUUCUCAUAACUGAAGACAAUCUAUUACCUUUGUUGCAUUCUUUUCGGAAUCUUACCACAUUAAAAUCACAUACAAUGCACCAAGGGUCAUCCCACAAGCCUUUAUGGCCCCCAACUUUGCCUAAAACCCUCUCUUUCCCUCCUCAAGAUGGCCCUAUACACCCCUAUAAACACCCAGAAAAAGCCAUCCUCGCAAUUUUUGAAUCAACAUGAAAUCAAAUAUUCACCCUCUUCCCUACCCACAAGCUCCAACACCUUAUUAUCCCAAAACACUAGCACCCCACCAAAGGCUCCCCUUACACCCACAACUCCCUAUUCCAAAAAUCUUCCCACCCCUAAACUCCUCAAAAGCUCCCUCAACAUUUCCUAAAUUUUUGUUUCCUAUUAGCAAACUAAAUCAGCUUUCUACAUACAAAUCACAGACAUGAUUAUCUUUCUCUUAUCACUAUCAUUAGCCCCCCUCACAUGUUAAGAAAUAAUUCUCAACUUCAUUUGCAAAUUGAAGUUGAUCCUAGCCUUCCUUGCCACAACCUGCCCCACUACCUGAAAAACCCUUGAAUUUCACAAUGCACUCUACUCUCUUCAACUCUCUUUUAAAUUUUGAAAUUAUAAUAUUCAAAUGCCAAACAAUAAUGAGAACUAUCAAAAAAAAAAAUGUCAAACAAUAACGAGCGAAAACUUUUACUAAAAAGAAGACUGAUAUUCAAAUACCUAUCUUCUUACAUCAUUUUCCAGCCGACUCAAAGUAGCACAUCAUAAUAACGGUAAGUAGGGACGAAGUAUCUCAAGGAAUUUCCAUCAAAGAGGCGCAUCAUCAUACCACCCAACCUAACUCCACUAAGCCUUACUCCCAACAACUUGGAAUUGGCAAUAUAAAUCUUAUUUCACCAUUCAACUCCAUUUAGAGCUAUACCUUCACAUAGCAUGGACAAAUAUGCUUUUUCUACUACAUUGACCUUCAUCUUCUUUGGCCUUCUUUUCAACCUUUUGUUGCCUUCAACUGGAACUAAGUCAUUCCUCCUAUCCUCCAUAUUGGUGAACCCAUUGGUCUUCAAUGCACCAUCACCAUUAACAUAUCAUUCCAAAACUUAAUUGAAUUUCUACAAGCUACCCUGAGUUCUACACCUUUUUAAAAAGUAAGGCUCCUCGUUUAUAGCCCCAUAGAGGCCACAACCAUACAGAGCACUCACUACCUUGGGAUUCCAUCCACUAUAAGCAACUCCUUAUUUUGUGGCAAUUACUCUCCAAAGUGUCUCCUAAACAAACCCAUGUAGCUAUCCCCUAAAGAAUGCCAAAAUUUAAAAUUGACCCGUACAAGACUCUUAAAAAUCAAACCGCAGAUUUCCCUUACACUGCAGCAACACACUUGCUCCCUUCAUUUUGGUCCUUGAUGGAUUUGAUCAAUAUCACUUCACCCCAAUUUUACCAUGGUAUUUCCCCAAUCAAUUCCUGCAUUCUUCAAACUAUUAUAAAUACCAAAAAAUCCACAAUAAUAACUUCAUCAUGGACGUCAAAGUACAAUAUCCAAUCAUAUUUGAAGUUCAGAACCAAAGAAACUCUUAUUAGGUGCAGUAAAGUUCAUCAGCAUUCCCUAUUCAAAAUCAUCUUCUAGGGGAAGAAGUUGGAACUUGGAAGGAGGUAGGGUGGGGAGGGGAAAAGAAUAGUUGUUUCCUUCUCAGCUAAAGCCAAAUAUCAAACUAUCACUCAUGCCACUUGAAAGUUUUCAGGCCCAUGGCUCUCUUUGGAUGAUUGAAAUUGACCAGGCAACCAACUCCCAUAUAUCGUGACUCACCUGAAUCAAAUUUUUUCAAAACAUGCCCAACUGCAACUCAUUCUGCCUCCCAUUUUCAUGAAAGGAUAUAAGGCAUAUCAAAGGAAAAAUGUUACUUCAUAAAAAGAUGACAUAACUUAUGGCCACCUCAUUUCCACUGACUUGAAGAAGAUCAAACUACAAAUCAUACCACUUGCAAGUUGUUUGGGUCAUUCUCUCUUUGGAAAAUUGAAUUUUACUGACCACAGUAACUCCAAUAUAUGCUGACUCACCCAAAUGCAAUUUUUAUACCUAUCUGCAACUCAUUCUGCCUCCCUUCAAUUUAAAAUUACAUGGCCAUAAGUUUUCAUGAAAAACUGAAGCAUGUCAAGGAAAAAAAUGUUACUUCUCACAAAGAUGACAUCCAAACUUAUGGCCGUAUAAUUUCUACUGACUUGCAGCUGAAUGGAAUCUUAGCAAAGCACCAAGAAAGCCAAGCAUGUUAGUAUGCAAGCAUUACAUCAAUGCAGCUGUAAACAAGUACAAUUUUAUACAUAACUAAAUGGUUAUGGUAUGUAUUACAUAAUUUAGAUGGAGCAUCUGAACAGUAGUACGCCUCUUUGCUGUCUUAGUGUUUGUUUCCUUCCAAUGAAAUAAUGGCUCAAAGAAAAUGGAUAAGAAGAGCAAAUUUACUUAGAACCAUGACCAUUCAGGAUUGAUGUUCUUUCAUAUGAUAUUCCAUUGUACUUAUUCAUGAAUCAAUGACAAUGAAAUAUGUUACACUUGAAUGCAAAAGUGAAAUGAAAAUAAACCAUAAAAUUCUAUGGGCCAGUACAGUAAUAUUACAUACCACAAGUUCCUGAAGUAAUUUCCGAAGAAUAUUUUCUAACAAUUGAUUCUCAUCUUGAGCUAGUUUUGUUUGCUUCUGUCAAGACAAAAUCAAUUCACCUGGUCAGAUCAAACUAAACAAGAUGACUCCAUAAAAGGAACAUGCAAAAUAAAGAAACUAAGCAUGUUGUACUGGUUUGGUGUAGUCAUUGUUUUAGUCGGAAUGCAUAUCAUCAUACACCCAAAAAUGGAAGAUUUGCACAUACUAAAAUGCCAAGAAAUUAAUACUACCAAAUGUAACUGCCAUAGUUUUUCUUCCAGUAUAUAUAUAUAUAUAUAUAUAUAUAUAUAUUCUUAUUUGACUAUCAAAGAAAAAUCCAUCUGACGAUCAAUCUCUGACAUAGAAGUGGAGAACUUUGACUACCAAGCCAAAGAGGAACAAUGUAAUUGGGGUUUCUUCCAAAGGCCACUAUGGGGUCCAGAAUGGGGCUCUUUUCAGAAUUAUGAUCCCCCUAAACCCAUAUUGAGGAAGGACUCAAUCCCAUCAAACCUCCCCGAAACCUUGUCAGCAAGCUACCAUGACACCCUCUAAUGAAUGAAGUUAUUUAGCAUGUCAAUGCUAUAAACCCAAGGUUUAAGCUCCAACUUUUCUGAAAAAAAAUUUCAGUCAUUCACAGGACUGGACUUUAAACCAAGGUUACCAGGAAUGUCUAGUAAAGUUCAAAAGUACGGGCAUAAAGAAUUUCAAAUUUUACAUUCAAGUUGAACAAAGAAGCAAACCAUCCAUAUGUGCGGAUCGCCAGAAACAUGAAAGGGGGAAAAAAAUCAUUUUAAAGAGAAGGAUCUGGGGCAAGUACCUGAGGUUUUAUGGCCUCUUGCACUACCUGGAGAGCAAAACUUUCCGGUGGCCCAGGUUUCAGUAAGGCCUGCUUGAAUAUUUCCUGAGAAGAAUACACAAAUGCUAACACGAUUACAUAAACAGAAAAACCAAAGGGAAAUAAAUUAAUAAAAGAAAAUAAACCACGACAUUAUCACAAUGGCAUAUCAAAAGUAAAUCAGCAAGACACAAAAGCUACAAAAUGCCACCAAAGAGAACCACCAAAAUAAAACAGUUUAUAUUGAAAGGACUUACCAUGUCAAAGAUUCAACCACAACGUCGAAUAAAUCACCAACUAUCAGACGACCAAAAUUCCAGAGCCCUGAAUUUUCAAAGCUAAAAAUGUCAUGAGAAAAAAUUCGACCUAUCUGGUAUCAUUUUCAAUCAAAAUAUAACAAGAAAUCAAACUCAACAACAAUGUCGAAGGAAAAAAAAAAAACCCCUUAACCCUCUGUUACUGAGAAACCGCGGAAAAGAAAAGGGAAAAAAUAAAUAAAAUUACAUUUUUUGCUCUUCUGUUUACUAGUUAAAAAUCAAAUCACUAGAGGAAUUGCACAGCAUUCAAUGGAAGUUGAAAUGAAGACGAGAAGCUACAAGACUUAAUCUUUCUUGUUCUUAUCUUGUCUUUCGUUUUCCUAGGGUUUCUGAGCAGCCAACCGGGGCAGGAAAAUUUGAGUAAAGAAAGAGAAGAGAAAUGAUGACAAUACCUUUUCUCCGGCGCGGGUCAUGGACCAGUUGCAGAAGGUACCAUCCAGCUUGAAGUGAGGAGGGAGACAAAGGUGAACCGAACUAAACGACGUCGUCGAGCUUCAGUACCUAAUUUUACAUGAAAAUGAAAAUAAAUAAAAUAGAAAACACAUCAGCAUAUAUUUUUUAUAACUAUUUUAAUAUUUUCCAAAAAAGAAUUAUUUUUUUAUUAAUUAUUUAAUAAAAAUUAUAAAAAAUUAAUUUAGAAAAAAAUAAAACAAAAUUUUUAAACUUUUAAGCAUUUUUAAGUAUUUAUAUUUUAAAAAUAUUAUACUAUCAUGACAACUCUAUAAAAAUAAAGAAAAAAAACUAGAUAUCAAAUUAAAAGUAAUUAAUUUAUUUUUUAUUAUUUAAUAAAUAAACAUAUAUUAUUAUGUGUAGAGCGGGUGAGUAUGGUCUAAAAUUUCCUACAAUUUUAAGAUUAUUAAUAAACAAGCAUAUGUUAUUAUUUGUCUCACAAGCUUUUUUUCUUAAAAUUUUAAGAAAUUAAAAACAUUAUUAAUCCUGUUUAAAUAGAAUUUCUUAGAUAAAAUAUUUCUUAAACUUUUUAAAAAUCUAAAAUAAUAAUUUUAUUCCAAUGAGAUUUCUAACUCUUAUCAAAUUAAAAUAAAAAGAAAUUAUAUUUCAAUCACAAUCUUCUAAAAAAAAAUAUUGAAGUUCGGUAUGAAAGUAGAGGUAUUUAUAAACGGGGAAAAGUGUGUUUUGACUCAGUAAUUUGAAAACAAUAUAGAAAAAAGAACCAAAAAUUAUAAACACCAAGAAAUGAGAAGACCUUGUUAUAAUUUAGAAUUUGUUGUAUCGUGCAAAUUUAUGGAUGAUCAUACGUGAUAAUGUAAAUCUCUUUGUGACUCUAUAUAAAAAGGGAAGACCUUCAACGAAUUUUCAUUAUGUUUCCUCCAUAACAUUAUAUUUCCUUUUUUCUCAUUUUCUCUUCCUUCCACUUUAUUUUCUACAAUACGUUAUCAACACAAUAAGUGAGAACUAGGAUAUAAUAGAGGAGCACGCAACAAGACUAUAUCAAGGUCCAUAAUCUCAUAUAUUUUCAAAACCUUCUAUAUGAUAAGAUAGAUGGAUCCUCCUAAUUACACAACACAUAAUGAAGAUAUAUGUCUUGUCGAUUGUGCAACAACACAUACAAUUCUUUGAAAUAAAAAAUAUUUUUUAAACUUAACAUUUGCAUCGAUUAAUGUAAAUACAAUAUCAAGUUUUGUAAACCCGAUUCAAGGUUUUAGAAGAGCCAUUAUUGUAUUACUUGGUGGAAUCAAAUCAUUGAUGAUGCAUUAUAUUCUGCUGAAUCCAAAAGGAUUUUUUUUAGUUUCAAAGAUAUUCGUUGAAAUGGAUAUCAUAUUAAAACUAUGAAUAAAAAUAAUAUCAAAAAUCUCUAUAUUACUUCAUUUAUUUUUAGACAAAAGCAUCUAUUAGAGAAGGUCCCUAUUUUUAUUUUUAUGGGUUGUAUCACACAACCAUUAGAUCCAUUGAAGUAUAUGUUGUCACGAAUCAAAAGUUAUAUGAACUAAAUGCCUAUAUGCUUUGACAUGAAUGACUUGGUCACCUAAGAUCAUCCAUGAUUCAACGUAUCAUUAACAACUCUCAUGGGCACCCUUUAAAGAACCCAAAGAUUCUUUUUCCUAAUGAUUGUGUUGCAUGUUCACAAGGUAAAUUGAUUAUCAAACUUUCUAUUACCAAAGUUGUUUUGGAAUUCACAAACUUUUUAGAAAUAAUUUGUGGGAAUAUAUGUGGCUUCAUUCAUCCUCCAUGUAGACCAUUUUAGUAUUUUAAGUUUUAAUAGACGUCUCUACUAAGUGGUCACAUGUUUAUCUUCUUUCCAUUCAUAACGUCGCCUUUGUAAGGCUACUUGCUCAAAUCAUUCAUUUAAGAGCACAAUUUCCAUAUUAUUUUAUCAAUAAAUUUCAUCUUGAUAAUGCGGGUGAAUUUUCAUCUCAAUCCUUUAUUAACUAUUGUAUGUCAAUUGGUAUUAAUGACAUUGAACAUCCUAUUACUCAUAUUCAUACCCAAAAUAGUUUAGUUGUAUCCCUUAUCAAAAAACUUCAAUUGAUAAUUUGACUAUAGUUUCUUAAAACUCAAUUACCUCUUUCUGCUUGGGGUCUUGCUAUACUCCAUAUUGUGUACUUAAUUCGUAUUUGACCUUCCUGUCAGAAUAAUCUCUCACUCCUUACAACUUGUAGUUCAUCAACAACCAUACGUUUCCCACUUACAAAUUUUUUAUUGUGUUAUCCAUGUCCCUAUUGCUCCUCCUCAAAGGACUAAGACGGGUCUUCAAAGGUAUCUUAGGAUUUAUAUUGGUUUUAAUUCUCCAUCUAUUAUUCAAUAUUUGAAACCCCAAAUAGGUGAUGCUUUUAUGACAUGUUUUGUCAAUUGCAAUUUUGAUGAGACAAUUUUCCCAUCCUUAGGGGGAGUAAAAUUAGUUUCAAAAGGACUUGAAAAUAAUAAAUUCUUGAAAUGCAUUGGCUUUGGUCACCUUGAUCCUCAAACAAAACAAUAUGAAUUAAAAGUUCAAAAGAUUAUUCACAUGCAAAAAAUUAUGAAUCAACUACUAGAUGCAUUCACUAAUGCUAAGAAAGUGACCAAAGUAAAUACUCCAACAUAGAUCGAUGUACCUAUAGGAUGAUUAAGUAAUAUCAAAACAAAUAAAUCUAAGUCAUGCUUGAAGCGUGGUAAACUUGUCAACUCAAAAGAUAUAAUUCCUCAGGAAAAAAAAAAUACAAGAAAAAGCAUAUGAAAAGGUGGACACUCCUAUAAUCUAAAUCCACUAUAUGAGAAUAAGUUAUACAAAUUUACUUGACAACUUUUACCUUAAAGACUUACUAUUCAUAACCUACAACUUGUUCCAUAUCCGCGACGCAACAACCUCCAAUUGCUCUGGUGAAUACGCUUCACCCUCGCCGAAGGGAUGUAGGUCUUUAAAUAACCCUAGUUUCAACACUUGAAUCCUUCGAUGAGAGAUUGGGAAUGGUGUGGCAAGGUAAGCUUAAUCCAUAGAUGAACCUCUAACCCUAAAAGGGUUAUAAAGGGGUGUAAAUAGGCAUAAAAGGUAUAAUGAAUUGGUAUCUCAAAGUUUUCGAACUCGAUUUGCGUGAAUAUCGCGAAAAUAUUCUCGUCAUAUUCUAGUAGAUUUGGCGGGAACGCUCGAGUGCACUUAACCAUCGCUCGAGCGUCGCUUAAGUGCUUGAGAGGCCUUGGUGAUUGAGUCUUGUUCCCCCGCUGGAGCGGUCCUUGCAGUUUUAAAUAUUAAAUAAAACAAUUUUUAAUUUUAGAAAAAACAUAUCAAUCUCUUUUAAACCCUUGAUCACCUAACCUACUACAAGUCAAACCUUUUUAGAUAUACUGUGACAUUUUUAGUUAGAUGAGCAACAACCUUGGAUCUUCAAUGGAGAGGAAGUCACUAUAUAAAAAUAUUUCUAAGGCAAAAGAUAAAAGGAACAAAAUUACCAAUACACGAUAACGACUUAUUGUCCUAACACAUGUGAUAACUUAAGUGUGAGAAAAGAUAUUGGUGGGCCUUGUAAAGGUAAAGCUUUAAGCAAAAACAUGUGGUUCAACCAAAGAAACAAAUACAACUAAGGCAUUAUUAUAAUUUAUUUUCCAAAAAGUUAUUUAUUUUAAUUUAUUAUUUCAAAUUAUUUUUAAUAUUAAGUUAUAGUGUUAAGAGGUUCUUUUGAUAUAUUUCUUUUUUCUAUAAUAAUAUUAAUAACUCCUAUGUAAAAUAGAGAAAUUUGAAAAAAAAAAAAAUAGCUACUCAUUAUACAUUUCUAAAAUUUGCUAUCAAAUUUUACAUAAGUUUUAAAUUCAAAACUUUACUCUUAACUAUCUUAUAGUUUAGUUCUUUAAAAAAAGAAAUUACUAAGGUAUAGAUUUGGUAUCUACCGAAAUCUCAAUCUCCACCGACGAAAGUAUAAAAAGAAAAAAAAAAGGCUAUUGGAUAAAGGUAUAUAAAGAUAAAACUAAGGUAUAUAUGAAUGAGAUUAAGGAACAAAAAAAUGAAACUUCAAUGCAGUGUGAUACUAGAUUGAUCAUACUUUUUUGGUAGAUACCUCUUUGAUACUAUAACCAAUCGAACACUUUGAAAAAUCUCAAAAUUUAUAAGAAAAAUUAUCAAGUUCUUUAAAAAAAUUAAGUAUUUUUCCUACAAAAGUUAUCAAAAUUAUUGAAAUUUUAUAAUCAAUUUUCAUAUUAUUUUUAAUUCUUUUGAAAUUUUCCUUCAAAUGUUCUUGAUAAUUUUUUUUUAUAAACCCUAAAACUUUUUUUUUUCAAUAUUCUUAGGAUUUUGCUUUUUAAGUUGAUAAAUUUUCAUAAUUAAAGUCAAUCAUUAUUUAUAUUUUUUUAAUAAUAAUGAAUACCAUUAAUUACAUUAUAAUUUAUAGAUGAUGACCAUAUGUUAUUUUUCUCAUUGCCCCCCUCCUAACAAAAGUUUUUGAUCGUGUGAUUAUGUAGCACCAAUCAUGCAAUUGCUCUUAUCAUUUUUCAUGUACAAUUUUUUUUUUUUUAUAGAAAUAAGAUAAUAGAACUUCUCAAAUGCGAAAUAAGUAAAAGCUAAAGCCAUUUAAUGGAUCAAUGAUAAAUCUCUCUAAUCAAGAUAUUUGAAUUAAAACUUCAAAGAUUUCAAGAUUGUCUUGGAUCCUUAGGCACAAUCAGUGAGAGUUUAAAGAUUUCAACAAUUUACGAUAGUGUUAUCAAGUAAAGGAGUAGUAGGGAUUUCAAGACUUCAAUAAUUUCAAACCAACAUGCAAUUUCAAAUCAUGCAUAUAGGCUGUAUCGGCCUAAUAGCACUAACCUAGUGCCUGAGCCCAAUAGGAUAUGUGGAAGCAUGUGGGGCACUAACCUAUUCAAUACAACUCUGCUUUCUUUCCCACUCUCUAUGCGGGAUUACUUUUUUCAAACCUAAAUAGAAAAAUUACUUAUGCAAGGUAGGGUUUCAACUAAAAACCUUGAGAUUGAAAUCAACAACCUUUACCACUAGGUUAAAUGAGAAUAUAAAAUCUUUUAUAUAUUAUAUUAUAAAUUAAUUAAAAUAAAAAAAUAUUAUAAAUAAAUUAAUUUUAAUUUUUUAUUAUGUAUUUUAUAUAAUAAUUUAAUAUAAAAUAAAUAUAAAUUUAUAAAUAAAAUUAUCAACAUUUUUAAAUGAAAAAAAUACUUAUAUAUCUUAUUUUCUUUUAUAUCUUUUGAUAUAUAUUAAUUUCCUUAUUAAAACAACUUCAAUAAAUGUAUUAUUAUUUUUCUAUCAUUUUUUGAGUUUUUCCAACAUUUUUAUGAGUUUUUAUUUUUUAUUUUUAUUAAUUUUUAUCUCACUUAUAUUUUGUGUUAAAAUAUCCAUUAAUAUUUCUCGAUAUCCAUAAAAUUAAGUUAUUGAUAUAUCCAUUAAAACCAAUGUUUUAAGAAUCAGAUCAAAUCGGCCAGUUUGAGCAUCGACCGACCAAAUCAGUUUGAUCCACCCCUACUCACUGUUUGGACAUUGAACUUUCUGUGAACUAGCGGUUGAACUGGUGAAUCACCUGAACCAGAUAGUUCUUAACGAAUUGAACAAUUUGAUUAUGUUUUUUAAGCCAAAAAGACGUCGUUUUGAUGCAAACCAGAUCACUCCAUGAGAAGCCCAUCCAACCCAUUUUUGUCAUCAAGUCCAACAAGCUUUUAGUCUUGCAAGUCAAAGAUUCUUGCAUGCCUUUUAAACCCCAUGAUCCUUACAGAUUUUUUUAUCCAUUAAAAUUAAGGCUGAACCAUUAAGCUAUGAAACCUUUUCAUUAUAUUAUAUUUGCAAAUAAUUAUAUAAUGAUAAUUAUAAAAAUAAUAUAAAUUAAUUAAUAUAAUAAUUUUAAAAUAAUAAAAUACAAAGACAUGCAAAUGAAAUUAAAUAUUAUAUUUUUUUUUCAUUUUAAAUAUAUCUUUAUAUUUAAAUAUUAUAUAUGUUCUAUUUAAUAAAAUUUAAAAUAUUAUUCAUAUUUAUCUUCAUCAUUUAAUUUGAUAUGUCAAAUAUACAAAUGAAAUAUUAUUAAAAAAAUUUAAUUAUAUAUAAUUUUAAUUUCUUAUAAUUAUGUUAAAUUUUAUAUAAUAUAUAAAUUAUAUAUUUAUGAUGUCAUAGGUUCGACUACGGUUUCACCACUAAUUUGACCAGUGAGUCGUGAAUUGAUAACUUUUCUAAUUCAAUCAUUGGUCCGAUUCUUAAAACAUUGAUCAAAACCGAUAUUUUCAAAUUAUGAUACACUUUCUAAUUCUUUAAUGAAUGAAGACAAUGAAAACUUUAUAAUGCAGAAGAGUGAGUGCAUAGAAAGUCAACACUCAUGGUUAUCUACUAUUACAUCAACAUCAAAGUCUAAAAUACAAGGAUGCAUAACACCAAGAAACUUAAAACAUUAAAUAUAAAUCUAACUAGCAAAGUAAUACUCAAUUAUCCUCCUUCUUAGUGUUGCAAGACAUUUUAAAGGAUAAACCAGAGCCACUGAGCUUUUCUUCAAAAGCAUUUUCAAUUCGCUCUGCCAUGGAAGGGGUUACAUAAUUAACCCAAUCUCCCACCUCUCCUUUCCUAUAGAAACUGCUAUUUUUAAGUCCACUGGUGUGCAUUCCAUUCAUAUUCACCUCUAAGUUUUUAAGGCUGUCAAGACUACACAAUCUUGAUAUUUCCUCUAUCAUCCCUUGUCUCUCUUCCUCCUCAGAGAAAGGAACGCCCAGGAAGUGGGCUAACCUUUUCAAUUGACAGAUGAUGUCCUUUUUCAAAUCUUCAUAUUUCAGAAACAACACCUUCUCUGGUCUCUCCCUACUCAUCCUCCAGUACCCCAACACGUGAUCCCAGUAUGGUCCACAUCCUUCAAUUCCCUUGCACACCAUCUCCAGACCAGCCUCCAGUGAAUCUGGCUGCAGGGGUUCAGGGCGAUUGUGGUUUACGAAAUGCCACAGUGAGAUGAAUUUGUCUACUGGAUUUCGACACAUGUACACAAUCCGACACUUGGAAUCUUUAAUGGACGGCGGCAACAGUUCAUAUGGCAGGUGGGUUGCAAGGAAUCUAGGGCGAGGAAGGUCUUGGAGAUCGGAAUACUCCGAUUUCAUGUAAUAAAGGUCAUAUUCAAGGAAACGUACCAGUUGAUGAGGGCUGGUAGUGAGCAAAGGGCUCUGAGUGAGUGGGGAAUCCUUUCGGUUGGCAAUGGCAAAGGUGAGGGCCUUCAACCAAGUGGUGCCUGAUUUUGCAGAAGUGAUGAUUAAUACAUCUUCGUCUUCUGCCUGGAAGUGUUUCUGAAAGAGAAUGAUGCCAUGAAGGGGUAUAGCUCGGAACCAAAAGCCUUGAUAGAGAUAGUAAUAGCUUCCAUCCCAGGUUUUUUCUCUAGGAAGGGUUGCGAGUAGUUGUUGACACUCAUCGCUAAGCUUCUCAAAAUCUACUUCUUCAAAAAAAGGGAUUGCGGAGCUUUCCAUUUUCUCCAUGAAAAUGUGGGUGCAGAGUGAGCAAUUGAGUGAAGAGCACACGGUUAAAUAGCAAGUAUAAGUGCAGCACAUCCAUUUUUAUGUUUCAUUUACUCUUCAUCUUUAUUUAUAAAAAUAAAUAAAUAAAUAAGAAACCAAGGCCCUAUUAACAAUGGUUCUUAAAAAUAAUUUUUUUUUUAAAUAAAAAGCAGUUUUUUUUUUUUUUUAACUUCAAAAAUAUGUUUGGUAAAUUACUGAUAGAAAAAUAAACUGACAAAUUUGAUGUAUUUUAGUUAUUUUCCGGGAAAUAUUUAAGAAAUAAUUGAAAAUAUGGAAAAUAUUUUAAUAAUUUUGUACAUUGAAUGCAUGGAAUAAGCUAAUAAAAUUAUUGUUCAUAUUUGAGUUUCCAAAUACAGUUUUAUUCCUUAAAAAAAUUGAAAAUGAUUUUUAAGAAUUGUUUUUAAAAAUUAUUUUUAAAAAUUAAUUUUUUAAAAACAUUCCCACAUACUCUAAAACCUUUUCUCUCUUUCUUUUUCUUCGUCAUUCUUUUUCAAAGUUUUCCAUCAACUUUUGAUAAACAAACCCAAUUCCAAAAAUUCAAUACAAAUUUUGAAGCCCUAAUUAGAUUCAAAUUUUGUAACAUCCAACCAAUGUCCAUGUUUUCUACUGGCCUUAUUCUUAAAACGUUGCAAAUAUUAAUUCUCUUCUUUAGCUUUAAUUUUUAUCACUUUCUCGUUUACUUAUUCUUCCUAUGAGUUGUCCACUUCACGAACCACUUAAUUAUAGAUCAAGGGUUAAUUUCAUUCAUCUUUUUAAAGGUUUUGAUUAAAUUCAUCUAGUUCCCAUAAAUUUGAAAUUUCAUCAAAUACCUCCUUUAUCAUUUUUAUUUCCUAUUUUUAUUCACUUUCCCUCUUACUAAAAAAAAGGAAGGUAUAUGAUGAAAUUUCAAACUUGUAGAUGUUAGAUGUAUUUAAUCAAAACCUCAAGGAAUGUGAAUAAAAUUAACCUUUAAAUCAAUAGAUCCUAUGUUUUUUACAUAAACAAUGCAAAAUCACUUAUAUACAAUUGACUAAUGCAACAAGAUUCAUAAAUAGUGAAAUUUCAUUUAUAACCUUCCAUGUUCAUCACUAUACCAAGUCCCUCAUUUAUUUAUAGUAGGUAAAUUUUCCAUCCGAUGCAUUCACUACAUUUUCAGAUACUUUAAAUUAUGUUUCCUAAUAAUUUGCUCUCCAUGUGACCAUGACUCAAGAGAGUUUAAGUGGUCAUGUAACUUCAUCAUCAUCUUGAGAGAAUUCAAUGUGCCAAGUACCUUGUAUAUUCCAACCAUCGUACGUGUUUAUAAUAAUUGGAAAAAUUAUGUUUUGGACUCAAUUGGACUCAAAAAUUAAGAUUUGACCCAUAAAAAUUACAUAAUUGAUGAGAAUAAUAUAAAAUAUGAAGAGACUAAUAUAUCCUUCAAAACUAUUUUAAGUAUUUUCUAUUACAAUAUUUGAUAAACUUUUUUAUCUUAAUUUUUUUAAUAAUUAUUUUGAAAAUUUAUUAUUUUUAGAAAACUAUUUUUUUAAAAAAAAAUUCUAAAAAUAUAUCAUUUAAAAAAAAUGAUUUUGAUAUAUUUUUAGUUAUUUUUUACAUACAUAAUUUUAAAUAUAUAUAUUUUUCAAGAUGUUUGAUUUUUAAAUAAUAAUAAUAUUAUUAAUAAUUUAUUUUUAUUUUUUUGGAAAAUGGUGUAUUUUUUUUCCAAAUCACUAAAUUAAAUUAAAUUUUAUUGAGGUUUACAAAAAGAAUAAAAUUUAAAUAAAUGUUUUUCUACUCUUUUUUUUUUUAUAAUCAAUAAAGGUCAUUUUUGGAAAGAUAAAAAAUUCAUAUAUUUCUUUUCAAUUUUCACGCUUUCUCUAGGUCUUGGGCUUAAAUGGUGAACUUAUAUGGACCAAAACUUAGUUUUUGUGCCCAACUAGAUCCAAAACACAAUUAUCCCGUAAUAAUUUGCUCUCCAUGUGACCAUGACUCGAGAGAGUUAAAAGUGGUCAUGUAACUUCAUCGUCACCUCGAGAGAAUUCAAUGUGCCAAGUACCAUAUUCCAACCAUCGUACGUGUCUAUAAAUACCAACAGCUGGUCAUGUGCUAUUAUUGUCCGAAUAGCUUUCCAAGAAUUGUACAAAUAUUUGUGGUUGUUAUAGAACUGAAAGCUUAUACAUUUUGAACUCGAUUGCAUUUUUUAAAAGUGAAAUAUCAUUCUUCUUCAAAAAUAGAUGAAAUGAAAUACCAUUGUUACUGAAAGUUGUAGAAAGUUUGCAGCUGCAAGAGUUUUGGACCUGAAGUCAACCUUAUGGGAACUACCCUUUAGAAUCUUGAAGCACUGGGUUUUACAAACACAUGAUGCAAUAAGAAUCAUAAUAUGACACUCUAUAUUCUUGCAGAAAUUGAUGGCUGGACUAUGGAUAUGAAGUCUCGCAGCUGAAAAUGACAGACCUAAGAUUUAUCUUCACCCAGCCAAGGGAAUUGUGGUAGAAAAUAACUGGGAAAAUGGGGUCAGUGUAUAUUAUCUUCAUAUUUAAAUUUUCUGAUUGCCAAACAAAAGAAAGAAAAUCAAAUCCAGUGCUCAAUUCCUCUCAUUCCUUUCCCUUGAAAAUUUCGUUCCAAAGGCAAAUUAAUUAAGCAAUAACUAGAGACUCAACGUUCUAAAAUGCAAAUUGCACCCAAGUUUUUCCAUUCAGAUAUCAAUUCCAGCAACAAAGUAACUCACUUUUGAAAAGAAGAAGAAUUGGUUGAAUUAAUAUUAUUGAUGUUGAAGUGUGUAUUUAUACAAGAAGGUUUGAGAUCUUUUUCUACAAGUCAGGAAUCAGCUUACCAUAUUCUAGACUAUCCAGUUAUAAGUCAGGCAUUACAAUAGGAAAACUAACAUAUACAGGGAAGAUUUAGGAAGAUUGACUUUCCAACAACUUUAGGAGGUAGAUUGAGAAUGUCGAGGCAGAUUCCUUUGGCAUAUACAGUUUCCUCGGGUCCUUCAAUCUCUGAUAAACACAAAUUUUCAUACAAUUUAGUAAAAUUUUCAUACAAAUUUUGAUCCUCUUGUUUCUUUCUAAUUACUUUCAGCUCCACAUUAGGCCCCAAGCACCCCUAAAAGUACAACAAUAAUUUUAAAAAUAUCAUUAGAUCGAAUUCACAAAAAAUUGACUAUAAAGUAAAUGGGGUUGGCUCAAAAAAUCAAUGGCCACUUAUAAAUGGCAUUGCCACCAUCCCGCUUUCAAUAAAUGGCUAGCAAAAGUCUUAUUAAAUUGGAUAUUUAAGUGCAUCCGGCGGUAGGUAAGAAGGUAACCCAUAUGAGAAGGGAGCAGGAAGUCCACCUGGAAAAUUUAAUUUAAGUUAUAGUCACUGUCACAAAACUUUAUUUGAUUCCUACUCUAUCAUUUUGUACGUCACGACAAUCAACAGAGACGAUGGAUGGGCCCAAAGUACAGUUGGAAUUCAUAAUUGAUUGGCAAUGGAGUCCUACUCUAUUAUUUUAUUUUGUACGUCACGACAACCAAAAGAGACGAUGGAUGGGCCCAGAUGCACACACAUGCACUAAGUGUGAUAAAAAUAUCAGCUCAUGAUUUUUAUGAAUGGUUUGUAAUAGGUUAGUCUCUCUAUUUAAGUGAUUGAAUAGUACGGGCCUCUGAAGCCUAGUGGUAUCUCGUGGCUUCUCACAUGGAAAGGCCCAGGGUUCUGCUAUUGGGAAGGGGUCUUAGCCCAUGGGCUAGGCAAAUGAUUCUCUUGUGCUAAAAAGGAAGGGACUGAGUGAAGAGCUUGUCUUCCAUGUGCUAUUUGUUUUUUUUUACAGCAAUAGAGACAACUUUAUUCUAGUAUUCUGUGAAUGAUAAGAUAUUUGGUGGAGGUAUUGUGCCUAUUCUUGAAAAAUAGGAAAGCAGGGUGUAAGAUGAUACUUGUAUAUUUUUACUAACAAGUAUAUUAUCUAACCUAAGAUUUAUCUUCACCCAGCCAAGGGAAUCGUGGUAGAAAAUAACAGGGAAAAUGGGGUCAGUGUAUAUUAUCUUCAUAUUUAAAUUUUCUUAUUGCCAAACAAAAGAAAGAAAAUCAAAUCCAGUGCUCAAUUCCUCUCAUUCCUUUCCCUUGAAAAUUUCGUUCCAAAGGCAAAUUAAUUAAGCAAUAACUAGAGACUCAACGUUCUAAAAUGCAAAUUGCACCCAAGUUUUUCUAUUCAGAUAUCAAUUCCAGCAACAAAGUAACUCACUCUAGGAGGUAGAUUGAGAAUGUCGAGGCAGAUUCCUUUGGCAUAUACAGUUUCUUCGGGUCCUUCAAUCUCUGAUAGACACAAUUUUUCAUACAAUUUAGUAAGAUUUCACAGAAACACAGAAAAGAAGAGAAGAAAUGAAGAACUAACGGGCGUCAAAUAAAGAAGAAGAGCAGUGAAAAUUAAAGAACAAAAGUUUGUUUGAGAACUUAUAAAAUAUAAUUAGUAGAUUUUAACCUUAUAAAGGGGUUAGAAUUGUUUGCUUACAUAUUAUCGGGCCUAAAUCCUAUCAGUUUAAGUUUUUAUGAAAGUACAUAAAACAUAAUUAGUUUAUAUUCCUAAAACUUAUAAAACCUAUUUACUCGAAUCAUAUUGUAGUGAGUUUUAGGCAUUUUUUGGUAAUUGUUCUCAAAAAAUAAUUUUGAAAAGCUGUUUUUUAAUGUUUUAUAGAACCAAAGUUUGUUUGAGAACUUGAAAUAUUUUUAACUUGUUUUUAAUAUUUUUAUAUUAAAUACUUUAUUUUUAAUCAUUCUAUAUAUUUGUAUAAUUAUUUUUUUAAACAAAUAUCAUAAAAUAAAUGAAAAUAAUUUAAAAAUAUUAUUUGAAAACACUUUAUUUUAUGUUCUAAGAACAGAAAAUAUAUAACAAAUUUUAGUUUGUUUGAGAAUUGGUUUUUAGAAUGGUUUUAUAUUCUCCAGAACAAAAAAGACAAAAAAUAUGUUUGGUAAUAAAAAACCGUUUUCUAUUUUUUGUUCUUAAGAACAUAAAAUAUAGUGUUUUCAAAUAACAUUUUUUAGUUGUUUUCUAAAAAUUUUCACUUGUUUUCUUAAGGUUAUUUUAAGAAAUAAUGAUACAAACAUAUAAAAUGAUUAAAAAUAAAACACUAGAUAUAAAAAUUAUUUUUAAAAUAUUAAAAACAUUUUAGGUUUUCAAACGGAUUUUUUUUUAUAAAAAUUAAAGAACAAUUUCAAAAAUUGUUCUAAAAAAUUAUUUUUCAAAAUUAUUUUUAAAAACAACUAUCAAACAAACUCUAAUUGGACAAAAGUGAACCCAAUUAGCAACACAUCAUAUAUGGGAGGUGGAUGAAGAUUUGAUUGCCAUUUCCUAAAAGAAAAAAAAAAUUAUUUAAUAUAUAUUAAUGUAAUCUCAAAAUUUGUUGUCAUGUAUUUAUUUUUAUAUUAAAUUUGUUUUUUAUUAAUUAAAUAUUAUAUAUUAUUAUUUUAUAUUUAAAAUGUUCAUAAAUAAUUAAAAUGAAACAGUUUAUAUUGAAAGGACUUACCAUGUCAAAGAUUCAACCACAACGUUGAAUAAACCACCAACAAUCAGACAACCAAAAUUCCAGAGCCCAGAAUUUCCAAAGCUAAAAAUGUCACGAGAAAAAAUUCAACCUAUCUGGUAUCAUUUUCAAUCAAAAUAUAACAAGAAAUCAAACUCAACAACAAUGUUGAAGGAGAAAAGAAUAACAGAAUAAGAGAUUGGAAGGCUUGACUACCGGACUGAAGGUAUCAUAAUAAUCAAUGCCUGGGCGUUGAUAAAAACCUUUUGCAACCAAACGAGACUUGAACCUGUCAAUAGAGCCAUCAGAAUUACGUUUAGUACGGAAAAUCCAUUUACAACCCACAACAUUUUGACUAGGAUUGGAAGGCACUAGUUCCCAUGUCCCAUUCCGAACAAGAGCAUCAUAUUCUUCAGACAUGGCCUUGCGCCAUUUUGGAUCUUUAAGAGCUUGGGUUGGUGUGGCGGGUUCAAGAUCAAGAGGUUUGGAUAAUUGGAUGUGAAGAUUGAGUUUUUGAAUAGGUUUGCGAAUGUUGUUUUUGGCUCUAGUUUGCAUAGAAUGGUUUGAGUUUGUGGUGUGGUGGUCUGGUUGAGUGGUGGGUGGCAAGGAGUUUGUGGAGGGCAACUGAUGUGGUUGGUUUUGGUUGUUGGCGGGGCUGAGAUGAGAAGUAACAGGUGCAGAAGCUUCACAUUGGAGUUGUUGUUGAGGAUGAACUGCAGAUGGUGGUAUGAGUGCUGAUGUUGUGGUGUUGAUAUGAAUUAGUGGUGGUAUCCAAGUAGAAACAGAGGUUGAUUCAGGUCGUGGAGCUUGUGGAAGAGAAGAUUUAAAAGGAAAAAUUGAUUUAACAAAUCUAACAUGCCUAGAAACAAAAAAUUUUGAUGUGGAUGGAUCAUAGCAGAAAUAGACACUUUGAGUUCGAGAGUACCCGAGAAAAAUACAUGGCUUAGAACUAGAGUCAAGUUUAUAGCUAGAAUAGGGGCGAAGCUAAGGAUAGCAUAGACAACCAAAUAUUUUGAGUUUUGAGUAAUUGGGAGGAGUACCAAAGAUUUUUUCAUAAGGGGAUAAGAGAUUUAAUGUUGGAGUUGGCAUCCGAUUGAUCAAGUAAACGGUUGUGGAAAAGGCAUUAGACCAGUAAGGCAAAGGAAUAGAAGCAUGAGAGAGAAGGGUGAGACCUGUUUCAACAAUGUGGAGAUGGCAUCGCUCAGAGAAGCCAUUGUGUUCGGGGGUGUGAGGUGGAGUAGUGAGAUGAGAGAUACCAUGAAGAGCAAGAAAGUUAGAGAGAGAAAUGUAUUCACCACCAUUAUCAGAGUACAAGGUAUGGAUGUUUUGAUUGAAGUGUUUUUCUACAAUGGCUUUAAAUCUUAUGAAUAUGUCUUUGACUUGGGAUUUUUGUUUUAGAGGAUAAUACCAGAUAUAUUUAGUAAAAUGAUCAACAAAAAUUACAUAAUACUUAAAGUCAUCAUAAGAAAUAAUAGGUGAUGUCCAUACAUCUGAAUAGAGUAUUUGAAGAGGACGACUAGAAUUAAUGGUAGAAUUGGAAAAUGAGAGUUUAUGACUCUUAUUGCAAUGACAUGCGUUACAAGAAAAAUGUAAAAGGCUAGAAGAUGAUAAAGCAAGAUUAUUUGUAGAGAUGACAUGCUUUAAAAUAGGAAAAGCAGGGUGUCCCAAUCGGUGAUGCCAUUCCGAUGAGCUGGUUUUGACACUGGAGAAGGCAAGUAGAGGUGAUGAUACCGGCCACUCAUACACACCAUCCUUAGUUUUGCCCUUCAAAAGUGUUGCUCCUAUGUGAAGAUCCUUUACAAGAAAAGAAUAUGAUAAGAAUGUAAUUGAAACAUUGUUGGAGAUAUAGAGUUUGGAAAUUGAAAUCAAAAUUUUUUUCAUGCUAGGAACACAGAGAACAUUGGUUAAGGAAAAUUGAGCAUUGGAAGUGUGGAGAGAGAGGGAACCAGUAUGUGUUAUGGGAAGUCCUGUUCCAUCACCAAUCAUAAUGUCGUCAGAGCCAUUGUAUGGUGCAUGAAUAGAGAGAUUUCUCAAGUCGGAGGUGACGUGAUGAGAAGCACCACUAUCCAAUAGCCAUGUUGGGGUGUUGGAGGUAUUAGCAGCAAAGUGAGCUUUUGGUUGCUAGGAGGAGUUUGGCGUUGCUGUACUGGUGUUGGUGGAUGUCUCAAUUGGUAUUAAUCUGAAAAAGGGACAGCGCUUUGCUGUAUGUCCUUGAAUUCUACAGAUUUGGCAGUAGCCAAGAUAAGGCUUUGGAGAGCUGCGAUCUGAAUGUAAAUUGUUAGCGCUAGUGGGUGUAGGGAAUCGAUUACCAGAGGUGGGCGACGGACGCCAGCCCGUAGUGCUAUUGCCAGGAUUGGAGGGUGGACGCUAGCCUGUGUUGUUUCCGGAGGAAGAAUUAGAGUAUGGUAGGUUUCGUGACCCAGAGUAGGCACGAUUGGCAGGAUUAGCAGAGGCAGGGAAGUAGGAUUGUUCAGUCUUUGUGGUGCUUUAAAGAGAAGCUUCAAAGUUGAGAAGCUUUUCAUGGAGUUCAUCAAAGGAGAUUGGAGUAUCUCUAGCUUGAACUGCCCGCACCAAUUCUUUGUAGUCUUCACCAAGUCCCUCAAGAAUCUUUUCUAAGAGAUCUUCAUCAUCAACAACUGCGCCUAGAAUGGCAAGUUCAUCAACCCAAGCCUUGAUGGUCCGAAGGAAUUCAAAGACACCCAUGGAUCCCUUCGUGAUUUGUUUUAAUUGAUUUUUCACCUGCUUGAUUCUUCCACGAGAUGGUUUGGCAUAUGUAUUGGCCAAUAUUGUCCAGGCUUCCCUUGUUGUUUUUGCUCGAGCAAUAAAUGGAAUUAUGGUGGGGGAUAGAGAACCAAGAAUGGCAUUGAGAAGGAGUUGGUCCUGCCUAAUCCAAAGUGUAUGUGCUGGAUUUGGUGUAGUGGUUCCUGGAAGAAUUGUUGUUGGACAAGGAUAUGAUCCGUCGAUGAAUCCUAGAAAAUCAUACCCAAUAAAGAGAGUCUGAAAUUGUAGUUUCCAAGAUACAUAGUUGGUGGAGGUAAGCUUUAAUGGAGUUUGAGCUGCAACAUUGAUGCUAAUCAAUGUGCUAUGAGGGUCGUUUGUGUUAUGAAUGGUGGUGUUGGCCCUGGUAGUCAUUAGAAGGGAAGGGAAAAAAAAUAAAAAUAAAAAUUUAAGCUAAUGGCUCUGAUACCAUAACAUAAUAAGAGAUUGGAAAUUCUGAUAUCUUAUUGAAGGAAUCGAUGCAAUAUAUACAGCUAAAACCAUAACAGAGUUGCCUAGUCUUAAGCCUAUAUACAUGGAAAUAUUAAGCUGGAAAAGAGAAUAUACAAAAAGAUAAAGUUUGUUAUAACAGCUGUAGAGAACAAGUCAAUUGAGGAUGUGUCUAUCUGAUAAAGAAAACCCUUAGCUAUGUUUGGUUCCCAUAAAAUUUGAAGGAAAAUGCAAGGGAAAGAAAAUAUAAAGGAAAAGUAGAAGAAAAGAAAAAGUGAAGGAAAAUAAAAAGAUAGAUUAAAAAUUGAUAAUUUUUUUUUUGUUACUUCAAACUCAUUUUAUUUAUUUUAACUCAUCAAUAUAAAGAUUAAAUAAUUUAAAAAUAUAUAAGCUUUUAAUUAGUUUUAAUUAUAUUUGAUUUUCUUUCAUAUUUUUCAUAGUUCAACCAAACAUGAAAAAUCAUUUUCUUUUGUAUUUUUUUUUCUUUCUUUAGUAUUUUCCAGAACCAAACAUAACCUUAACCCUGUGUCAGAAAAGAAAAGGAAAAUAAAAUAAAAUUGCAUUUUUUACUCUUCUGUUUACUAGUUAAAAAUCAAAUCACUAGAGGAAUUGCACAACAUUCAAUGGAAGUUGAAAUGAAGACGAGAAGCUACAAGGCUUAAUCUUUCUUAUUCUUAUCCUGUCUUUCGUUUUCCUAGGGUUUUUGAGCAACCAAGCGGAGCAGGAAAAUUUGAGUAAAAAAAGAGGAGGGUAAGGAUGAGAAUACCUUUUCUCCGGCGCAGGUCAUGGACCAGUUGCAGAAGGAUCCAACUUGAAGUGAGGAAAGAGAUAAAGGUUAACCGAACUAAAUGAUGUCGUCGAGCUUCAGUCCCUAAUUUUACAUGAAAAUGAAAAUAAACGAAAUAGAAAACACAUCAGCAUAUUUUUAUAUAACUAUUUUAAUAUUUUCCAAAAAGGAAUUAAUUAUUAUUAAUUAUUUAAUAAAAAUUAUUAAAAAAAUAAUUUAGAAAAAAAUAAAACAAAAAUUUUAAACUUUUAAUCAAUUUUAAGUAUUUAUAUUUAAAAAAUAUUAUACUAUCAUGACAACUCUAUAAAAAAUAAAUAAAUAAAUAAAUAAAACUAGAUAUCAAAUUAAAAGUAAUUAAUUUAUUUUUUAUUAUUUAAUAAAUAAACAUAUAUUAUUAUGUGUAGAGCAGGGGAGUAUGGUCUAAAAUUUCUUAAAAUUUCCUAAAAUUUUAAGAUUAUUAAUAAACAAGCAUAUGCUAUUAUUUGUCUUACAAGCAUUUUUUCUUAAAAUUUUAAGAAAUUAAAAACAUUAUUAAUCCCGUUUAAAUAGAAUUUCUUAGAUACAAUAUUUCCUAAACUUUUUAAAAAUCUAAAAUAAUAAUUUUAUUCCAAUGAGAUUUCUAACUCUUAUCAAAUUAAAAUAAAAAGAAGUUAUAUUUCAAUCACAAUCUUCUAAAAAAAUUAUUAAAGUUAGGUAUGAAAGUAGAGGUACUUAUAAACCGGGAAAAAUGGGUUUUGACUCACCAAUUUGAAACAAUAUAGAAAAAAGAACCAAAAAUUAUAAACACCAAAAAAUGAGAAGACCUUGUUAUAAUUUAGAAUUUGUUGCAUCGUGCAAAUUUAUGGAUGAUCAUACGUGAUAAUAUAAAUCUCUUUGUGGCUCUAUAUAAAAAAGGGAAGACCUUUAACGAAUUUUCAUUAUGUUUCCUCCAUAACAUUAUAUUUCCUUUUUUUUCUCAUUUUCUUCUUCUUCCACUUUAUUUUCUACAAUAUGUUAUCAAACACAAUAAAGGAGAACUAGGAUAUAAUAGAGGAGCACGCAACAAGACUAUAUCAAGGUCCAAAAUCUCAUAUAUUUUCAAAACCUUCUAUAUGAUAAGAUAGAUGGAUCCUUCUAAUUCCACAACACAUAAUGAAGAUAUAUGUCUUGUUGAUUGUGCAACAACACAUACAAUUCUUUGAAAUAAAAACUAUUUUUCGAACUUAACAUUUGGAUUGAUUAAUGUAAAUACAAUAUCAGGUUUUGUAAACCUGAUUCAAGGUUUUAGAAGAGUCAUUAUUAUAUUACUUGGUAGAAUCAAAUUUAUCAUUGAUGAUGCAUUAUAUUCUGCUGAAUCCAAAAGGAAUUUUCUUAGUUUCAAAUGUUAAAAUAUGGACUCAUAUAUGUAACAUAGUUUAUGAUUAAGCUAUUCGCAUUCGCGUAUUUUAUUUUCUAUUUGUUCUAAAGUAUGGGCCACCUCAUGUGUAGAGCCCGAUACCAUAUGUGUCUCAGAUGAUGGGCCUGAGACACAUAUGACCCAAUAUUUAAAGGGAAUGGUCCCUAAGGCAUAAAGAGUAUAUAAAGUCAAGUGUCUGUUCAUUUUUUGGGAUAUUUUUUUAAUAGAAUAGAACGCGCUCUCUCUCACUACCAUCGCCAGAGAGAAUACAGAGAUGGUGGUUUCCCCUCUAUAGCCUUAGAAGAUCCAUACCUUGUUCAAAACUGAAAAGCAAAAAUUGACUCAGGUUUGUUCAUUUCUAUAAAGAUGUUUGGCAUAAAUUCUUCAUAUGAUUCAACAUGAGAUCCCAGUCUGUCAUUGGAUUUACAAUGGAGUCCCCAUCAAUUGGUAUCAAAGCCGACAUGUUUAAUCAUUGUGAAAUUGCUACAUUUUAAUUCUUAAUGCAUAUUUCUUUGUAAAAUACAUUGCAACCCAUUCCGUCAAAGCCCUUGAUAGGCAUACAACUUUGCUCCUGUCAUGGUGGCCUUCCCUGCAAUGGCGUUUUGGCGGACGAUUAUAGAUUGGAGAAGACGACUCUGAUCCUUGGCGCCGCUGCUGGUGUCUCUGAACGCUGGAUUCCUCCGACGCCACUUAGAAGACGGUUGGGAGCGCCACUGUAACGCCAUUUCAGGCAAGCGAGACGUCGUUAUGACGUCUUUUCCAGACGGCGGUGCAGUUCAGACACCGUUAUGGUGUUGUUCCUAGUCAGGUGACGCCAUCUAGGAUCCGUUUUGGCACAAUUGUUGCAGGCGUUCCAGAUCUGUAGAGUCCUCCGUUCAGGCACCGGUCAGAAGCGCUAUUUUCAGGUGUUGUUGCAAGCCUCCUUGCGACGCCGCUCUCAUUGUUGUUGGGGAUCGGAGUUGAAGACGUUGUUUUGGCGUCGUCCCCCAUUGGCGACGUCGUACCGUUGCCAACGUAGUUUGAGGAUUGCUCCGACGCCGUUUUGGCACCACUAAUGAUGCGGCUGCAGGGGACCUUAGGUCGUUUGGGGCUGUAGUGGAUAAUAUAUAUAUAUAUAUAUAUAUAUAUAUAUAUAUAAAUAGUUCAAAUCCUUGUAGGUGGGACUAACAAUGAGGCCUUUAAAUACAUUACUCAUCAUGUCCAGGUUUAUGAUAGAGCCCAAUGUGUGAUAAUAUGGGCCUGUUUGUAUGGGUUUGUUUACUUAAAAUAAAAUAAUAUAUAUAUAUAUAUAUAUAUAUAUAUAUAUAUAUAUAUAUAUAUAUAUAUAUAUAUAUAUAUGUAUGUAUGUAUGUAUGUAUACAUGGGUUUAUGCAUCUAAAACAAUGCCCUCUCUAAGCUAUUGAUAAUAAAGGACUGGUGGUGGUUUGAUAAAUAAAUAAAUAAAGGUCUUAAUGAGAUUGACAUGUAAUCCCUUCUCUAUUAAGGCAUUCCAAGCAUGAAUUAUAUUAACGUCAUCUCAUUGGAAAUUUAUUUACUUUUAUUUAUCUAAACUGAUCCAUGCUAUGGGAAGAUAGGCAUUUGUUAUGGGUUUCUCAUUCAACUUUGGUGAGAAACACUAGGAUUUGAGUUAUGGAUUCGGUUUUAGAGAGAAAAACUCAACUGAAACCAUAAUUCAGGUUAUUCACAUGGAGUUUAAAUAAUGGAUUUAGCCUUUUCUUGCUAUAUUUGUGUUUAACAUUUUAAAAUAAAUGAAUUAUGUAUAUUUGUUGCCAAAGUGACUUAUAUUAUAUAAUUUAUUUAUUUUAUAAUAUGUAAACAUAUUAUUAUAUAAAAAUAAUCGUCCCAAAGGAAGAUUAUUUUAAUAUAAUAAUAAAUAAAGUAGUCAUAAAUAUGUGACAUAUAAAGUUGAUCUUGUAUGUUGUAUGUCAGUCCAAAGACAGACAUAUUGCUUCGGUUUUAUUGUCAAUAUUUAUGAAUUAAUUUUGAAAAUGAUACCAAUUACAAGUUGAUAUUUUUGUCUAAAGAUUGAAUAUUAAUGUUUGUGCUAGAUAUCUUGUGAUAGGCCCACAUGAAUAUACAUAUAUAUGUUAAAUUUUUAUUUAUUCAUGCAUGUAUGAUAUUUUUAUGACUGAUUGUGAGCUUUAUUGUUAUGAAUUUAGCAUCUUUUAUAUUUGCAAAUGUUAAUAACAUUCCUGUGCUUAAUGGCACAAACUUCAAGAAAUGGAAGGAACAUGUUAUAAUUGUGCUUGGGGUACAUGGAUUUGGACUAUGCAUUAAGAGAGGAUCGCCCUCCAGACCUUACUAGUGCCAGCACUGCUGAGCAAAGGNNNNNNNNNNNNNNNNNNNNNNNNNNNNNNNNNNNNNNNNNNNNNNNNNNNNNNNNNNNNNNNNNNNNNNNNNNNNNNNNNNNNNNNNNNNNNNNNNNNNAUAAUCAACACAAAAGUUAUGUUGAGGAUGUUUGACUGCUAAUGUUGAGGAGUGAUGUAGGAUCCUAAAAUUUCUAGCACUAUGCAACUUUCUUGUGUUAUGGAAUAAGGUGAAGAAACUAAAAGAUGGAUUGGAAAAACAAAAAGAUAUCCUUAGCAAUCGUACCAAGGUUCCUAGGCAAUCACAGUUAGGAAAAAGGCGAUUACACCCUUAAAAGAAGCAUAAUAGAUGUUGAAGCUUUUACUAAAUUCUCUUCUCACUUUGAAAAGUUACAUAGAACAACUAAUGACCCUUUCUUAAUUCCUUAUCUUCUCUUGUAAGAAUAAGAAAAAAUAAAGGCAAGGAAUUUCAUUUAGAAACUAAAGAAAUUGAAACUUUUCUAAUACAAUAAGAAGACUAAAAGAAAUAGAAACCUAACAAAAGCUGGCAACUAUAAUAAGAACUUAACUAACUAAAAUAGAAACUUAACAAACAAACUAUGCCAUAUUAAGGCUUGGACAUUGGAACCAGCCUUAGUCCUUCUCUUAUAAGUCUUCAAAGGAUGUUUCCAUCGUUGUUCCCUAUCAGAGAGUGUUUUGGAUACUAAUAAAUAUCAUGUUAGGUUUAUGUUCUGUUCUUCUCUUCAACUGAGAUGCAAGUGAAACCACUAGAUUUCAAGUUAUGCAAUCAUAUGUUUUAAGCAUUUUUCAUGUUUCCAAAUUUUUAUGUCAUUUCCAGAGUUCCUAAAACAUCUUCUCACUUGGUGUUCCCAUGUUAUUGAACCAAGUGGAAUGUAAUAUCCUCUUGGAAGCUUAUCAUAUGGAAUGCAGACCAACGGAACCUAAAUAUUUAUGGGUAAGACCAUCUACCCGAUUGUUUUUAUGGUGGUAUUCAGCUUCAACGGAUAAGUCCAUCUGCAAUUCCAACAAGAAAUUAACUUUAUUAUGAUAGUUCACAUGGUAAAGUAAAAGCUUACGAUCAAAGAGAAAAACUCCAGAAAACUUUUUUUCUUUUUUAUGUUAUGAAGGGAAAAAAGGAAUCAAAAGUAAAAAAAAAAAAUCAAUGUAUUAAUUUGAAAUGUAGAAGUAACUCAGGAUGCUCACAUCUUCAACUAAGGGCUUCCAAUACUCUGAGACAGCGGGAGUGCGGACACGCUGUGGAUCAGUAAGAGCAUUCUGGACAGGUAAAUAAAAACCAAGGCAUGAGAAUAGUAGAAUGAUUAUCCAAAACUAUCAAAUAAUAUUAUGUUAGAAUGUCCCUUCAUAUCAAAAUCAGAAAAAAAAAAAACAAGUAUUAAUGUAUUAUGAAACACUCAAAAGACCGGUAACUUGGGAAUUAGCAAAGUUAUACACGAUGGAUCUAACUAUCUCAUAACACACUAUUUAAAUUAAAAUGAUUGGAAGGUAAAAACAGACAACUAUCUUAGUAUUUUGUGGCAUUUCAACCAUAUGAGGCACAUCGAUGCCCACAUUUUUUUUCCCCGGUCAGACAUGAAUGCCCACUUGAUUCUUGAUCUUUAUAAUACUACUAAUCUGGAAAUUAAAAUAUCAUAGCAAUCAACCUGAGAUUUAAAGGGAAAAAGAAGGAGAAAGAGAGAGAGAGAGAAAAAGAAAGUCCUGUAAUGAUUUAAUUCUCAUUACUAAGGAUGUGUUGUUUAGGGCCUAGUUUGCAUUGAUUUUAUGGGCCCCAUGGGCCAAUUAUGCAGUUGGACCACAAUUAUUCUCUAGUGAACUUUAAUUAUUUUUCCUUUUGAAGUAUUUGGCUACAAUUCUUAAAUACACCAUGUUCCAAAUGCAUCAAUAACUAUCACAAUCCAAUUUUUUUCAUACCAAUAAAAAGUAACCACACUCAACUUAAAAAUCAAAUGGAGUUAUGCAACAUUUUUUGGCCCAUUGUUAAGCCAAAAACUAUUUCAACACAUUUAACCCUUUCAGCUUCUAGCGACACCCUAAUUUCCUCCUGAUCUCACCAAUAACCUGCUUGCCUUAAUCUCACUCUGCACCACUUAACACUCCAAAAUUCACUUUUGUCUAAUAACAACUUCAAAAUUCAUAAAACUCAAAAGAACUUCCAUUCCUCCUCUAAUCAAGCCCCAUUUUUUAUACUUAUGCCUGGAUGAAUGAAUUGUAAAAUUGCUCCUCUUCAAUAGUCAUCUCUUCUCUUUUCCCCAAACCAAUGAAUAUUACUUUUCUAAACAAAGAAAACUUUUUGUCUUAUAGAAACAAAGCUCUGGAGUCUGGAAGAGAAGUAGAAAGUUUGUUAGGAGGGUGAGUGUGAGUAAGAACAUUUUAAGAAUUAAGUUUCUGGAUAUGAAAGAAAGCCCUUUUUACACUUCCUCAAGAAAAGUUGGAAAACCCAAGUGUAACUUAGUUGAACAAGCUAGUGAGCAUGACUAUUCAACCCUAUACUAAUAUUUUUUUCUUUUUCUUUUGAUCCAAAUUCAACUCUAUACUUUUUUUUAUUUUUGAUAAGUAAAUUUACAUAAUAUUAAUAAAGCACCAAAGAGGCACACCAAAGUAUAUAGGACAUAUACAAUGGUUGCCACAAGGCGCCAAAAAAGGACAAGGGAGACAAAAAUACUCAUUCCCUCAACAAGAACCCAACCAAUCAAUGAAAUCGAUUAAGGACAAUGGUCCUUCACCUAUCAAAAGCUACAAAUAAACCCAGUUUUUAGUCUUUGGUCCGAAAGCUCCUCAUUAUCAAAAGCUUUUUUAUUUCUUUCUUUCCAUAAUGUCCAAAAAAAGCACAAUGAGGCUGCAUCCCACACUUUUUUCCAUUUCCUUCCAACAAAGGAGUCAUGACACCCUAGCAAAGUUGCUUUUAUAGAAGACAACACUACCCAAGAAACACCAAAAAGGGACAACAAAAGCACCCAUUCUCACAAUGUAGAAAAAUGUGAUCAAACCACUCCUAUUCAACAAGAUAAAGAGAACAUCUAUUUGUUGAUGCAAUUUUCAAGGAUAUUGAUGCAAGACCACAACAUUUUGCAAUCUUACCCGAUGCUACUCUCAUGGUCAACAGUGCUACAUUUUCUUUUUUUCUUUUUUGUUCCUUUUAAGGGAAAUUUUAUCUUCUUCUAGAACCUUUCAUCUUUAUAAACCCAAGUAAACCAACAAAGCACAAAGCUUAAAAAGAAGAGAAAAAAAAAAUCAUUAAAAGUUCAUAAUUAUUUUUGAUGCAUCAUUUUAUUGUAAUUUUUUUUAAUUCAACUAUAUUCCUUUCAUUGAGUUAAGUUGCAGUAUUUUUUUUUACAUAGGGUCUCAAAGAAUUACACCUUGAUAUUCUUUUCCAGGGGAAGACUAAAAAGAUGCUUUUGUGGCUUGAAUUAUAGUUGCUUGUAGAACAAGGGAGAAGAUAGUCUCUUCAUGAUGACUCACAUCCUCUUUGCAUCGUGAGAAGGUAUACUUCUUCAUUAAAUCCUAGUUUGUCCUUAUGGACAUUUAUAUAGAAAUCAUUUUGUCCUUAUAUUGAAUGAGGUACAAUUAUUCCUAACAAAAAUCUUUCCAAGAGUUUUACUGAGAGUUUAAGUAGGUGCAUCAUAUCAAUAGUUUUAUGGAAUGAGUCAAUGCCUCAUGUACCCUUCAUUUGACCUUUGGUUUUACGGAGAUCUGUGCUCACUCUUUAAUUUCCCAUGGAGAUGUCACUAGAUAGGUUGUAAUCUUGUUUAUGAAUCCAUUGGAGAUUGUUAUCUCAGAUGCAAAAACUCCCAUAUAGUUUUUUGCGUUUAUGCGGCACUUAGACACCCCUCUAAGCCAACCUUCCAAAACUUGUUUAUAUAUCCAUUGGAGGUUGUUAUCACAGACGCAAAAACUCCCACAUAUUUUUUCUUGCGUCUAUGGGAACUUAGAAACUUCUCUAGGCCAGCCUUCCAAAACUCACACGAGAUUAAAUCAAGGAACCCACACAAGCACACACCAAAUUACAAGGCAUUAACCUCAACUUGUAUUUUAUUGCUACACUAAAUAAGAAUACAAGACAUGAAUUAACAAGACUCCCGCAAUGGUACCAGUGAGUUCAUGUUCUCUCUAGAUCUUCCUAUUUAGAUCCCUCUAAAUGUGUGUCAAGGAGGCUCUCCCAUUCUCCCUUUAUAGAGUGGCCACCACCUAGUUCUACUAGGACUUUUCCCAAUAGAUGUGACACCAACCACUCCAACUAGGACUUGGAGUCCUACUUAGACUAUAAUUACAAUUACAAUAGGAAAAGACUCCUACUCAUGUUGUGCUCACUUCCACUUUGAGUGUAAUUCUUCAUGUUGCUAUCAUAUGUAUCUAUAUAUGGCUCAUGUGUCAGCCAAGCUCUCUUUUGGUCCACACCUCCGAGUCACAUUUGUGUUGAGGCAACAUGUCCUUGCAUUCAUUGCGUUGCUACUGCAUGCACCUAUGCAAGCCAAGCCCUCUUCUUGGUCAAUGCAUCUAAGUCUCAUUCAAGCUUAGGCAACCAUUUGUCUUUAUGCGCACACCCCAUGUUAUUACGCCCAUGAGAUGCAUCACAUCCUAGCUCCUUGCCCAUUGUUGCAUGUUUUAGCAAGGGUCAUUACCAUCCCUUGCUCAUGUCUGAAGCCCAUGCCUCUUUAUGUUGCUGCUAUGGCACCAUGCCACGUUCCUUCUUACUCUUGGUGCAACAACGAGUCAUGACAUUUGCCUAUGACUCCUCAUCCAUGCAUGAGGCAUUGGGUCCUCAUGUAUCACAUCCCACAUCAUGUUUUGAGUUGGCUUCAUUGUUGUUGCAUCUCCAUGCCGCAUCCAAGCAAUAGGCCAGGGCAUUGCGUCCAUGGCUCUUUAAGCCACCUUGCAUAAGGCAUUGUACCCUUGUGCCACAAUUGGGAGAGGAUUCCGCAUCAAGCCCCAUGCCAUUGUGGCCAUGAGUUGCACACCAUCACAUGUUGUGGAGCCUAUGUGUGGAUGCCAACCAGGCCCCUUGGUGUGGCCACGCCCAAGCCACCAUGUCUCAUAUUUAGUUACUUGUCCUAUUUUAAAGAGCAUCUUAGGCCAUCUUGGAAGUUUAUGGAGAAGACAUUAUCUAUGCUUAAGGGGGGAAUAAUGAAUUUAUUUAAUAAUUCCAAAAGUCCAUUAAUUUCUUAGAAAGCCUCUUAUUGAUAUGCGUGUGACCUAUCGUGCACGCGGCCCCAUGCGUGCACGUGGCUAGUUGUGCACCCACCCAUGUGCUACAACCCCUUUUCCUAUUUGAUGCCACAAACCCUCUGUCACCUUAUUUCUUCCCUCAUGGAUGCAAGAUGUCCACCCAUAAGACCCUUAGUGGCCUCAGUGUUCGGGUGAGGGUAUAAGUAUUGACAAUUGUCAUAAGUGAAGAAACCUGUAGGCAAAUGCACAGACAGUCUAACACCCCUCCCACCCCAACCACAGACACAUGCACUAAGUGUGGUAAAAAUAUCAACUCAUGAUUUUAAUGAACACUCUGUAAUAGGUUAAUCUCUCCAUUCAAGCAAUUGAAUAGAAUUGGCCUUUGAAGCCUAGUGGCAUCUUGUGGCUCCUCACUAAGGAAAGGUCCAGGGUUUUCCUCUUGGGAAGGGUCCUUAGCCUAUGGGCUAGGCAAAUGGAUUCUCUUGUGCUAAAAAGGAAGGGACUAAGUGAAGAGCUUGUCUUCCAUAUGUUAUUUGUGUUUUUACUGCAACAACAUAAUUACAAAGACACAACUUUAUUCUACCAUUCUUUGAAUGCUAAGAUAUUUGGUGGAGGUAUUGUGGCCAUUCUUCUUGAACAAUGGGAAAGCAGGGUGUAAGAUGAUACUUGUAUAUUUUACUCCAAAAAAGUUUGUGUGAGCAAAUGUUCUUGCUUUAGUAGUUUACGGAUAUGAUUAUUGAAUUGAACAUGGUGAUUUGGUGAUGUACAAUUCUUAUUCAUGUUUGAAGAGAUUGUAUGGAUUCUGUUUUUUAAUGUUGUAGGUCAUGAUUUGAGCAAAGCUAUAGAUAUAUGUGGUAUGACAUUGAGGAUAAAUGAAAGAUGGAAUAUAAUCUAGUUGAAUCUUGCUGAUUUUAGCAGAAGAGCAUAUGGAACUAACUAUGUUGAGACAUUGAGAGUUAAGGUUCUUGCCAAUUGUCGGCUGAUGACUUAUGUCUCUAACCACCUUUACUUAGAAGAGGAACUCCCACCAAAAUUUUAAUCUGUACCUCCGAAUGUAGGUACCAGAGCCAAUUUCCUACUUGGUAACUAUAAACUUGGCUUCUACUGCCCCUUCUCAUUGGCUGUCAAGAACUAUAAGUCACUUUUGUUGUCGAAAGCAUGAUGAGUCUCAAAAAAACUAUCCUAUCGGAAGAGUUGGCCAUCCUUGAUAUUCAUGUUUUCCACAUCUUCUUUGAGCCAAUCAACUGGUUAUAUCCAAAUUGGUUUGCAAGUUGAGAAAAUAUACAGUAACAUAUCAAACUCUUCGAUCUAUUCCUUGUUUUAAGCAGCCUGUUUAGAUGUCAGGUAAUGGAAAGACAAAACCCAUACUAGCAGUCCUAUAGCUGUUUUUCUAAGUGCCGGAACUUGUAUCUCUUAUUCAUAGCAUCUACUUGUUAUGAGUUAUUUAAUCUGUUGUUUUGAUGUAAGUGGUUUCAAAGCGGGCAUAACUUAUUUUGUUCUACAGCAAGGUUGUUUUAUUGAUUAAUCUAGAAGAGGUAAAUAAGGCGCAGGUAGUGUGUAACUGAAUGAGCUACUCCAUACUUGUUUGUGCCACAAUAAAAGCUAUGGGAAUCAGAAGGUGUUUCUUCAGUCUUCACCAAGGGAUUGCAUUCAAUCUUGUCAGGCUUCAAGGUUGCAUUUGAGAGAUACUACCAUUUUAUGAUUCCAUGAAGUGAAUAUUACUUCGUCAAGCUCAUUUUGUGCAUCGGAUUGAUGAUUUAAUGAUUGAUUUGAGUUUAUGGUUAUGGCCAUGAAUCAUGAUCAUGUUGCAAUCUCAAUAUUGUAUGAAUUAAAUUCAAUUUUCUCCACGAAAUCUUAGAAUCAUCAUUGAGUUUGAUCGCCUUAUCAGUCAAAGAUCAUGUCCACCAUAUUUCCUUAUAGACCUUGGCUUAGGCUACACACCCUAUUUACCUUAUUGUCUUCAGAGUUGGGCACAUAUAUAUGUUCCUCAUAGUUGCUUCUACUCCCACUUUGGGUUGAUCCUCUUGUUUCUCUUUUAAUUACUUUUAGCUCCACAUUAGGCCCCAAGUACCCCUAGAAAGUACAACAACAAUAAUUAAAAAAAAAAAUCAUCAUAAUUCACAAAAAAAAAAUUCACUAUAAACUAAAAUGGGGUUAGCUCAAAAAAUCAAUGGCCACUUAUAAAUGGCAUUGCCAUCAGCCUGCUUUCAAUAAUGAAUAUUGCUACAAUUUUGAUGCAAAAAUCCUAUCUUAUUCACAUUCUUACUUAAAAUAAAAAUGAGGAAAUUAAGUAAAAAAAAUGAGUUUAUAGAUCAUCACAAAUUCCCUUGGAGCAUGGAGAUUUUCCCUUCUUUUUAAGCCAAAUCCAAUGUAGUUAGUAUUCCUUUUUUUUUAGAUAGAUAUGAUUCUAUCCCUAUAUUCUCAAGUAUGGUCAAAAUUUGCCCCAAACAACUUGGUUGGUUCACUUAGAAUCAUGAAUACCAUCAAUUAUUUAUGGUGACCAUUUCUAUUCUAUUCAUUUUAUAAGAAAUUUUGAAAAACUUAGAUGUAAAUACAUGCUUUUGUGCAAUCAUUUUAAUGCUUGCUUUCGGUGAGCCAAAAAAAAUAAAAAUAAAACAGGUAUAAAUUUGGAAGGACAUUUUUAUUUUAAAAUUCAAGGCAUUUGUUUUUUUUAACAUUUUAUUAAAAGUAAUUUACUUUUGGAUUUUAAGUUAUUUGCUUUUUACUUUUUCAUGAUUUAUUAUUAUUUUUUGGCCAAAUAAAAAAAUCAAAAUAUUUAAUUUUUUUUAAAAUGAAAAAAUAACAUGUAAAUUUUUAUUUACUUUUUAAUGCUUAAUAUAAAUAAAAUAUUAUAAAAACAAAUAAUCUUAUGCUUAACACUAUUAAAUAUUAUUUAAUUUUAAUUUGUAUUUUAAAUUAAGUAAAAAAAAAAAAAAAACAGACUUCAUCCCAGUCUCAUCACAAAAAUUAGUUAAUUAGCCAAUUAGGUUUAUUUGUACUCUUAUUUAUUUAUUUUUAUUGUAACAGUCUUAUUAAAUUGAAUAUUUAGGUAUGGAUCCACAAUAUGGGUUGGUAAGAAGAUAACCCAUGUGACAAGGGAGGCGGAGGUCCACCUGAAAAAUAAAAGGGAGAAUCAAAACGACUUUUCCUUUUUCUUUUUCUAUUUUCUUUUUCACUUCAACAAGACAAAUGAGGUCGUCAUUUCUAUUAUUAUUAUUAUUUAUUAAAAAGUUUACUUUGACACGUGGCCAUCACUAUACCACAUGACAUUUCUUUUUUCUUUCUUUUUCCCCUCCUCUAUAAUAUCCUCUUCUUUUUGCUUUUUUUUUUAAUAUGUUAGUUUGAUGAAAGCUUUUUAAUUUCAAUUUUUUUAAUAUUUCAUAUUUUUAUAUCUAUUGAUUUUAAUUAUUUAAAUCACACUUAAUGAAUAUAAUUUUAACUUUUUGCUUAUGAAUUUAACUCAUCUAAAUCACAAUUGAAAUUUAGAAUAUAAUUUUUUUCUUGACUAAAAUGUUUAAUAUUUUUAAUUAAAGAAGACAAAAACUUAGUUGUGGUUCUAAUAUUUUGCAUUAUUAAAAUUUAAAUUUUUUAAUUUUUAUUUUUCAUAAAAAAAAUGAAUUUUAUUAUUUAUAUUAUUUUUUUUUAAUUUUAUUAAAAAUUAAAAUUUUAGUAUAUUGAUAUGGCUCAUCGAUCAAAACAACCAUUAGAAAAAAAAGGUACCAUUUUUUAUGAAAAAGACACCACUUUUUUUUAUUAAAAAAAGUAAUACUAAAGUGAGUUAAAAGUAAUACAUUUUCAUAAUACUUUUAACAUACUUUAAUGUUAUUUAUUCAUUUAUUUAUUUUUAAUAAAAGAGUGGUAUCUUAUUUUUUAAAAGUUAUGCAUAUCAAUGAACAAGUUUAGUACCCAAAAAUUUUAAUUUUUUUUAUAAAUUUAGAGAAAAUUAACAUAAAUGAUUAAAUACAAUUUUUAUGAAAAAUAUAUUAUAUUUAUAUUUUAUAUGAAUAAAAUUUUGAAAUUUUAACAAAACAAAAUAUUAGAACCACAACAAAGUUUUUAUAUUUUUUAAUUAAAAAUAUUAAAUAGUUUAACUAAGAAAAAAAGUUAAAACUACAUUCAAAUAAGAAUCAUAAGCAAAAAGUUAAAAAUCAUGAUAAUUAAUUUUGACUUUCAUAUGAAAAUUUAAAAAAUUUUAGAAAAUAGAAACAAUAAAAUAAUAUGAUAAAUGUAUUUUUAUUUAAUCUAAUAAGAUUUAUUGAAUAAUAAAUAUUUUAUUUAAUAUGAAUAUAUAAAAUCUUAUAUUCUAAACCUCUAAAUUUGUGUUAUGUAUAUAUUUUUACAUUAAUUAUUUAUCAUAUAUUAUUAUUAUUAUUAUUUAAAUUGUAUUUAAAUGAUUAAAAUCAAUAACUAUGAAAAGGUGAAAGAGUGAACAAAAAUGAAAUUUAAAAAAAAAAUGCAUUAUUUUCUAGGUAGAAUGAAGAAAAAAGAAUAAUGAAAAAUAAUGUGGCAAUUUUGAUUAAGUAUGGAGGUUUUUUUUUACUUCUCCUUUAAGGGUAAAAAAAACAAAUAGAUUAACGGGCUUGAGGAGGAGAAAAGAAUAAAAGGGCAGUUUUGAUGCAAAAAUCCUAUCUUAUUCACAUUCUUACUUAAAAUAAAAAUGAGGAAAUUAAGUAAAAUAAAUGUGUUUAUAGAUCAUCACAAAUUCGAGAUUAUUCCCUUCUUUUUAAGCCAAAUCCAAUGUAGUUAGUAUUCCUUUUUUUAAGAUAGAUAUGAUUCUAUCCCCAUAUUCUCAGGUUGGUUUACUUAGAAUCAUGAAUACCAUCAAUUAUUUCUAGUGACCAUUUCUAUUUUAUUCAUUUUAUAAGAAAUUUUGAAAAAAUCAGAUGUAAAUACGUGCUUUUUUGCAAUCAUUUUGAUGCUUGCUUCCAGCAAACCAAAAAAAUAAAAAUAAAAUAGCUUUAAAUUUGAAAGGAUAUUUUUAUUUUAAAAGUGGAGGGGGUUAGCUUUUUUAGCCUUUUACUAAAAGCAAUUUACUUUUGGAUUUUAAGUUAUUUGUUUUUUAUUUUUUCAUGAUUUAUUAUAAAUUUUUGACUGAAUAAAAAAAUCAAAAUAUUUAACUUUUUUUUUUAAAAUGAAAAAAUAACAUAUGAUUUUUUUUUAUGCUUAAUAGAAAUAAAAUAUUAUAAAAACAAAUAAUCUUAUACUUAACACUAUUAAAUAUGAUUUAAUUUUAAUUUUUUUUAAUAUUUCAUAAUUUUAUAUUUAUUGAUUUUAAUUAUUUAUGAAUAUUUUUAAAUAUAAAAUAAUAAUAUAUAAUAGAUAAUUAAUGAAAAUAAAUGUAAUAUAAAAAUAAAUACAUAAUGAAUAAAUUUUAAGAUUUAGGACAUAAAAUUUUCCAUAUCCUACUAAAUAAAAUAUUUAUUUGUUUUAUAAAUGUCAUAUUAUUUUAUUGUUUAUAUUUGUUUUUAAUUUUAAAUAUCCAUGUGAAAAUCAUACCUAAUGAAUAUAAUUUUAACUUUUUGUUUAUGAAUUUAACUGAUAUAAAUCAUAAGUAAAAUUUGGGAUAUAAUUUUUUUCUUAGCUAAAAUAUUUAAUAUUUUUAAUUAAAGAAGACAAAUUUUAGUUGUAGUUCUAAUAUUUUGCAUUAUUAAAAUUUUAAUUUUUUAAUUUAUAUUGUUCAUUAAAAAAUGUAUUUUAUUAUUUAUAUUAAUUUUUCUUAAUUUUAUUAAAAAUUAAAAUUUUAGUAUACCGACUCAUCCUAUCAACACAACCAUUAGAAAAAAAGGUACCACUUUUUAUGAAAAAGACAACAUUUUUUUUAUUAAAAAAAAGUAAUACUAAAGUGAGUUAAAAGUAAAUGAUACUUUUAACCUACUUUAAUGUUAUUUUUUUAUUUUUAAUAAAAGAGAGGUAUCUUCUUUUUUUUAAGUUAUGCAUUUCAAUGAACAAGUUUAGUACCCAAAAAAUUUAAAUUUUUUUUUAUAAAUUUAGAGAAAAUUAACAUAAAUGAUUAAAUACAAUUUUUAUGAAAAAUAUAUUUUAUUUUUAUUUUAUAUGAAUAAAAAAUUUAAAAUUUUAACAAAACAAAAUAUUAGAACCACAACAAAAUUUUUAUAUUUUUUAAUUAAAAAUAUUAAAUAUUUUAACUAAGAAAAAAAGUUAAAACUACAUUCAAAUAAGAAUCAUAAGCAAAAAGUUAAAAAUCAUGAUAAUUGAUUUUGAUUUUCAUAUGAAAAUUUAAAAAAUUUUAAAAAAUAGAAACAACAAAAUAAUAUGAUAAAUGUAUUUUUAUUUAAUCUAUAUGAUAAGAUUUAUUGAAUAAAUAAAUAUUUUAUUUAGUAUAAAUAUAUAAAAUCUUAUAUUUUAAACAUCUAAAUUUGUGUUAUGUAUUGAUUUUUAUGUUAAUUUUUUUAUUAAUUAUUUAUCAUAUAUUAUUAUUAUUAUUAUUUAAAGUGUAUUUAAAUGAUUAAAAUCAAUAACAAUAAAAGGUAAAAAAAAAUAAUGAAAAAUAAUGUGGCAAUUUUGAGUAAGUAUGGAGUUUUUUUUACUUGUCAUUUAAGGGUAAAAAAAAAACAAAUAGAUUAAGGGGCUUGAGGAGGAGAAAAGGAUAAAAGGGCAGUUUUGAACUUUUAGUGAUAUUACUUUGACAGCAUGUUUAUUGGAUUAUUUGAUAAAAAUUCUUUAAAAAAUUUGAUUCCUACUCUAUUGUUUUGUACGUUACGACAACCAAAAGAGCCGAUGGAUGGGGCCCAAAGUACAGCUGGAAAAUUCAUAAUUGAUUGGCAACCGAUCUGUUUCUUCUUCACUUCCUUCUUCUCUCUCUGCAUUUUCCCUUCAAAGUUCAGACCAACCAUGGAGGUUGUUGGAGAGCUUCUUCUUUCUGCCGCCUUUCAAGUGCUGUUUGAUAAGUUGGCCUCCUCUGAUUUCCUCACCUUUGCCCGCCAAGAACACAUUCAUUCUCAACUCAAAAAGUGGGAGACCCAACUCUUCAAUAUUCGUGAAGUGCUCAACGACGCCGAGGAUAAGCAGAUUGCAAGUUCCUCUGUCAAACUCUGGCUUGCUGACCUCAGGAUCUUGGCCUAUGACAUGGAGGACAUCCUCGACGAGUUCAACACCGAAAUGCUGCGACGCAAGCUGGCAGUGCAACCUCAGGCCGCCGCCGCCAGCAGCAAGGUAUGGAGUCUCAUCCCUACUUGCUGUACUAGUUUCGCUCCCAGUCAUGUUACUUUUAAUGUUAGCAUGGGGUCCAAGAUCAAGGAUAUCACCAGCCGCUUGGAAGAUAUUUCCACUCGCAAAGCCCAACUGGGUUUGGAAAAGGUUGCAGGAACAACAACUACUACUUGGAAAAGAACACCCACCACAUCUUUGUUUAAUGAACCACAAGUUCAUGGCAGAGACGAUGACAAAAACAAGAUCGUAGAUUUGCUGCUCAGCGAUGAAUCUGCUGUUGUCCCCAUCGUUGGUAUGGGCGGGUUGGGUAAAACCACAUUAACCAGACUUGCGUAUAACGAUGAUGCGGUGGUGAAGCAUUUUAGUCCAAGAGCAUGGGUUUGUGUGUCUGUUGAGUCUGAUGUGGAGAAAAUAACAAAGGCUAUUCUCAGCGACAUCUCUCCCCAGAGCAGCGAUUUCAACAAUUUCAAUCGACUCCAAGUUGAAUUAAGCCAAUCAUUAGCUGGAAAAAGGUUUUUGCUUGUCCUGGAUGAUGUUUGGAACAUGAACUAUGAAGAUUGGAAUAACUUGCGAUCCCCUUUCAGGGGAGGGGCUAAAGGAAGUAAAGUCAUAGUAACCACACGUGAUCGAGGAGUGGCAUUAAUAAUGCAACCAUCUGAUAACUACCACCACUCUCUUGAGCCUUUAUCAGACGAUGACUGCUGGUCAAUAUUUGUACAACAUGCAUUUGAAAACAGAGACAUCCAAGAACAUCCGAAUUUAAAAUCAAUAGGCAAGAAGAUUGUUGAAAAGUGCCGUGGUUUGCCGUUAGCAGCAAAGGUGCUUGGUGGUAUCUUACGCUCCAAACAGCGAGACAAUGAAUGGGAGCAUAUAUUGAAUAGCAAAAUUUGGACCUUACCAGAUACUGAAUGUGGCAUCAUUCCUGCAUUACGGUUGAGUUAUCAUCAUCUUCCAGCGCAACUAAAAAGAUGCUUUGUUUAUUGCGCAACAUUUCCUCAAGACUACGAAUUUAGGGAAACUGAGCUAGUUUUGUUAUGGAUGGCAGAGGGAUUAAUUCAACCAUUGGAAGGAAAUAAGCAAAUGGAAGAUUUAGGUGGUGAGUACUUUCGUGAAUUGGUGUCGAGGUCAUUUUUCCAACAGUCUGGAAAUGGUGGAUCACGAUUCGUCAUGCACGACCUCAUUAGUGAUCUUGCUCAAUCAGUUGCUGGAGAACUAUGUUGCAAUUUGGAGGAUAAGUUGAAGCAUGAUAAGAACCAUACCAUUUUACAAGACACUCGCCAUGUGUCAUACAAUCGUUGUUAUUUUGGGAUCUUUAAAAAAUUUGAAGCUCUCGAGGAAGUGGAGAAGUUACGAACAUUUAUAGUGUUACCAAUUUAUCAUGGAUGGGGUUACUUAACUAGUAAGGUGUUUAGUUGCUUGUUCCCCAAACUAAGAUAUUUAAGAGUGCUAUCUUUGAGUGGGUAUUCUAUAAAAGAGUUACCAAACUCAGUCCGAGAUUUAAAGCAUUUACGAUAUCUUAAUUUGUCCAGAACUGCAAUUGAAAGGUUACCAGAAUCGAUAAGUGAGCUCUACAAUUUACAAUCCUUAAUAUUGUGUCAAUGUCAAUAUCUUGCAAUGUUACCUAAGAGCAUCGGGAAUUUGGUUGAUCUUCGACAUUUGGAUAUUACCUAUACAAUGAGCUUAAAAAAGAUGCCUCCGCACUUAGGUAACUUGGUAAAUUUGCAAACACUAUCAAAGUUUAUCGUGGAGAAAAAUAAUAGCUCAUCAAGUAUAAAAGAAUUGAAGAAGUUGCCGAACAUUAGAGGGACACUUUCCAUUUUAGGGUUGCAUAAUGUGGCGGAUGCUCAAGAUGCAAUGGAUGUGGAUUUGAAGGGGAAGCAUAACAUUAAAGAUUUAACAAUGGAAUGGGGCAAUGAUUUUGAUGAUACUCGCAAUGAACAGAAUGAAAUGCAAGUUUUGGAGUUGCUUCAACCCCAUAAAAAUCUGGAAAAACUCACCAUCUCAUUUUAUGGUGGAGGAAUAUUCCCAAGUUGGAUGAGGAACCCUUCAUUCUCACUGAUGGUGCAGUUGUGUCUCGAAGGUUGCAGAAACUGCACACUGUUACCAUCUCUUGGGCAAUUGUCCUCGCUCAAAAACUUGCGCAUUGAAGGAAUGAGUGGAAUAAAAAAUAUAGAUGUUGAAUUUUACGGGCAGAAUGUGGAGUCUUUUCAAUCGUUGGAGUCUCUAACCUUUUCGGAUAUGCCAGAGUGGGAAGAAUGGCGUUCUCCCAGUUUCAUUGAUGAAGAGAGAUUAUUUCCUCGCCUCCGUAAGCUUACGAUGACGCAAUGUCCAAAAUUGGCUGGGAAGUUACCCAGUUCGUUAAGUUCCCUCGUAAAGCUAGAGAUAGUGGAAUGUUCGAAGUUGAUUCCUCCGCUUCCAAAAGUUUUAUCUCUCCAUGAAUUAAAAUUAAAAGCAUGUAACGAAGAAGUGUUGGGCAGAAUUGCAGCUGAUUUCAACUCCCUUGCAGCGUUGGAAAUUGGAGAUUGCAAAGAGGUGAGAUGGUUGAGAUUAGAAAAGCUCGGCGGGCUGAAGCGUUUAAAGGUGCGUGGAUGUGAUGGACUCGUAUCCUUGGAGGAGCCAGCUCUACCAUGCAGUCUUGAAUAUCUGGAAAUAGAAGGGUGUGAAAAUAUUGAGAAGCUGCCAAAUGAAUUGCAAAGUCUCAGGUCAGCAACUGAGUUAGUAAUCGGAAAGUGUCCGAAGCUUAUGAACAUUCUGGAGAAAGGGUGGCCGCCCAUGCUAAGGAAACUUAGAGUGUAUGGUUGUGAGGGUAUCAAGGCACUACCAGGUGAUUGGAUGAUGAUGAGGAUGGAUGGUGACAACACCAACUCCUCAUGUGUCCUUGAAAGAGUGCAAAUUAUGAGGUGUCCAUCUCUCCUUUUCUUUCCAAAAGGUGAAUUACCCACCUCACUUAAACAACUGAUAAUUGAAGAUUGUGAAAAUGUCAAGUCCCUACCGGAGGGUAUUAUGGGCAAUUGCAAUCUCGAGCAGUUAAAUAUCUGCGGAUGUUCAUCUCUGACGUCAUUUCCAAGUGGUGAGUUACCCUCCACCCUUAAGCACCUCGUCAUUUCGAAUUGUGGGAAUCUGGAAUUGCUGCCGGAUCACAUGCCCAACCUCACAUAUCUUGAAAUUAAGGGAUGUAAGGGUCUCAAACAUCAUCACUUGCAAAACCUCACUUCUCUUGAAUGCCUGUAUAUAAUUGGAUGUCCGAUUAUAGAGUCAUUACCGGAAGGGGGUUUGGGUUUCGCCCCCAACUUGAGAGAUGUUGACAUUACCGAUUGUGAGAAUCUGAAGACGCCUCUGUCAGAGUGGGGACUCAAUUGGCUCCUCUCUCUCAAAAAACUCACCAUUGCUCCAGGUGGAUAUCAAAAUGUGGUUUCAUUUUCACAUGGUCAUGAUGACUGCCACCUUCGUCUUCCUACAUCUCUCACCUAUCUAAAAAUUGGAAAUUUCCAGAAUCUGGAAUCCAUGGCCUCCCUGCCUCUCCCGACCCUCAUUUCCCUUGAACAUCUUUGUAUCUCGGAUUGUCCAAAGCUCCAGCAGUUUUUGCCGAAGGAAGGGCUACCAGCAACACUCGGAUGGCUUCAGAUCCGGGGUUGUCCUAUCAUAGAAAAGAGGUGCUUAAAGGGCAGAGGAGAAGAUUGGCCCCGCAUUGCCCACAUCCCCGACAUUCAUAUAGGCGGCAAUUGAGACCUUCACUCAAUUUUCUCUCUGCAAAACAAAUGAGAGCAGACGUUGUUCAACCAGGUCCUUCCCAUUCUCAACACUCAACAAAAAAUCUUACUCUUUCAAUUUCUAAUUACAAAUGUCACCGCAUAUAAUUUUCUUGCAAUAUUUUUUUAUUCUUUAAUUUAUUCUUUCACUUUGUUUUAUUUAUUUAUUUAUUUGAACUUUGACUGGGAGAAGCUUUUGACAGAAUUUACAGGCAUUAUGGACCACAAUUAUUCAUUCAACUUGAAUUUCAAUUUCCUGCAUAAUUGGAACACAACUAAUAAAUACUAAUACAAAAGUGCUAAAUCUUAUCAUUUUUUCCUCAUUAGACAUGUACUCAAAAGUAAAAUGUUUUUUUGCUUUUAAUCCAUUCAUGAUAACACCAUAUUUCUUUCUUCUUUGGAAUUUGUAGGUCUGUCCAAUUGAAUUUGGACUUCAUGUUGGAGACUCUAACUUUGGAGUGAAUCUUGUGUGGGCACUUGCUAUUUCUCGGUUGUUUUUCUUGUUUACAAAGCAAUGUUUACAAUGCGAUGAGUGAAUCAAGGGUAACCCAAUGACAUAAGGUGGGCUACUUUUCAUUUGUUUAUUUUAUACAUUUAAUUAGUUUUGUUUUACUUUUUCCAUAAUGAUCAUCCAAAGUUUCAUCAUUGUGACUCGAGCUAUUUUCUUGAAAACUUGUUGCAGUAGCCUUAUGCUGCUGAUGCUAUGGUUUACCAUCGAAGCUAAGAAGUCUUGUGCUAAGUGAUGGUAUCUGAAGGAACCACCUACUGGAAUGAUUUUGUUUCUGGGAUUUGAUGGAAACUGAUGACUAUUUAUUUAUUGUUCACACUUUUGUGAAUAAUCAAAGAGUCACAUUUUGGCCAUUCAUCUGAUUUUGCAAAGUAAUAUGUCCAAGAUAUUAAUUUUUCAAGUGAUUAAUAGACACUGCUAAAUUUUGAAGUCACCUUCUUUGCUCUCUAGGUUAAAAAGCUUGUUUUUUAUGUAGUAUAUCUUUAUUAGCAUCUUAUUCUCAUCUUAGCUUCUCAUUACAUUUUUCUUUCAACAAUUUGACAAAAGGGUGGGUUUUCAAAAUAGUAUGGGAUUGGCAUUCUCUUUAUACGGAACAAAUGGCUUUCCUAUAAGAUUUUAUAACCUUUUUAAUCUCCUACAACACGCAAAUAAUAAAAUUAUAUGGACUAGCUUCUUUGCCUUUAAUCUCCAUUCUUUUACUUUUAAUGUUUUCAUACUUGUACAUCAUUCCUUCUAUAUUUUCACUAAUGCAGGGUGCACCAUACUUACAACUAAAAAUUCUUUUGGACUUGAAGAAAUAUAAUCCACAUAGUCUAAACUGCAGUAAGCUUUCAGCAAAGACAAUGAACAAACAAUUUUUAUCAACAAAUUUUUCCUAGUUACGACAAAAUAACUUUAUUCUUUUUAAAUUUAAUAAUGUAAUGGAAUUUACAGUAACAACUAAUGACUCCAUCUUUUUUCUCUAGGACAUGCAGGUUUGUCAAAAGAACAGAUUACCAUAUUUUUAUUGUAUCAGCUACUGUUCUCUUGACUGCAUUGUUUUCUACAAGGUUAAUGUUACUUUCUUAUGUUUACUGAUAUAAUUAUUUUCGCAUUUUCAUUUGUUCAUUAAUAUUUUCAUUGAUAGAAUCUUUUCCUGUUUUUAUAGUUAUCAUAUAAAAUUUCCAUCUUUAGGACUUAUGUUAUUCUAAACCACUCACUGCAGACGGUCUCUACCAUUAGUCUCAUGCAGGAUGCAUGGUCUCAUUAGCUUUCCUAGUUAAAGGCUAGGUAUACAUUAUUCUAAAGGAUCCACAUUUUUUGAAAUUGAAAUGAGUCCAUGGGCUUAAUAUGCUGGGUGAAUGAUGCAUGGUGUUUCUUUUUUUCAUGCUGUUUCAGAGAGAAUUCUAAACUGCAACUAACAUGAAGGCCCUGCAGUGUGAUAAAAGGAUUCCCAACUUUUCUUAGGGUACCUCUACCGCCUUUUGCAUCUAACUGAAACUCCUAUCAGUGAGAAUCACAGGUAGAACCAUCCAUUCUCACCUUAGAUGCAAGCAGGUGCACCUAUUCAUGAUAUACAACUCUUAUCCUCUUUAGUAUUAGUUUCAGGACUUAGUGUUAAGUAGAAGAUAAUGCAAAUGGAAUCCAAAUUAAAGUCACUUCCAAAGGCUGACCGCUGAAACAUGGGAAUGUUUUAUCUCAUACAUCGUUUUAUAGUAAUUUUUCUUAUUGAAACUAUAUUCCUUUCAUUUAGUUAAGCUGCACCAUUUUUUAUUUUACAGGGUCUCAAAGAAUUGCACCUUGAUAUUCUUUUCUAGGGGACUUGAAAGUUAAAAUUUAGUGUUUUCUCUUCUAAACUAUGUAUAGAUAUGCAUGUUUAUUGAAUACAUGUGUUGUUGAUAUAUAUAUAUAUAUAUAUAUAUAAAUAUCUUUAGUUGUAAAUCUCCAAAAUUUCUACUUUUCAUGUUCAUCAUCACAUUCCCAGAAAAAGGAAAAAAAGAAAAGAAAAGAAAAGAAAUCAAUUUUUGAAUUGUACAUGGUGUUUUGGUGAUGUGCACUUCUUAUUUAUAUUUGAGAGAUCAUAUGGCAGCAUUAUGGGACCAUAAGUGAAAAUGUUGCUUGUGUGAAUCUGUUUUUUCUUUUCUUUUAAUGUUGUAGGCCAUGACUGGAGUGAAGCCAUAUAUAUGCAGUAUGCCAUUGAGGAUGGAUGAGGGAUGGAAUACAAUCCAGUUGAAUCUUGCUGAUUUUACCAGAAGAGAAUAUGGAACAGACUAUGUUGAGAAAUCGUUAGUCCAGGUUCAUGCAAAUUGCUAGCUGAGAAGAAUUUAUUUCUCUGACCCCCUUUGCUCGGAAGAACUCCCACCAGAAUUCAAACUGUAUCUCCCAAUGCAGGUACCAUAGCCAAUCACCUGGUCAAAUAGCUAUAAAAUUGGAUUCUACUUGCUUUUCAUUUGCUGUCAAUAACCAUAAAUCACUUUUGUUGCAGAAAGCAUGAUGGGGUUCGUGGCACAGUAAGCUACGGGACUUGUGCUGCCCAUGUUUUCAGAACACAGUAUCUUCAAAAUUCGGAAUGUGUUUCUUCACCAAGGGAUGGCAUUUAAUCCUGCUGAGAUGAACACCAUCGUUUCUACUUGCUUGAUACUUGUAUUUCAUACUGUAAUCAAUGGAUGUGUUGGUGUAGUGCUUCAUAACACAAGGCUGUGUUUUGAGAAAGGAAUCAAAUGCUUUUGCAAAGUUUGGAAUUAAUGUUACAAAGAAAUGUUCCUAAAAAAUUGUGACGAUAUUAUUUGCAUUUAUCAGUGAUAUAAUGCUUACUGCCUUGUUUAGUAAAGAGAGAUAAACAGCUAGCACUGUAAGUUUGGCUUUGGGUCAACUACUAAGGCCAGUCCAGAAAGCCGGUCCUGCAUGUCUCAGCCAACUGCAUCUAAAUCAACCUCUGCAUCUGUCUCCCCAUCUAUCAUUCCAGCCUCUGCUUCAGCAUCUGCUUCUGACUGCCCUGCCUCCUGACCCGCAUCGGUGUCAGAGCUUUGCUUCUGAUUUUCAUCUGCUGUUGGAGUUGUGGCUGUGACAUCAGUGUCCAUUGGAAAAUCGAAGUCCAUCCAAGUCCUGCCGAGCUGCAAAUCGAAGACCUUUCCAGCAAUAAACCUGCAUCAUAAAUAAGCAAAACAUUUUUAUAUAAAGGAAAGUUGACAUAAAGACAAAUGACCAACAUUACAAAUAUAAUAACAUUCUAAAAUUCAUGCUUUGCAUAACACAUGAAAAACUCAAUGCACCUUUUGAAGAAAGCAAGAUGGUGGAUCUGUCAACCACAUUUUAAUGUCGACAGAGCACAACCUCUUAUGUCAACAUUUUGAGACACCCUACUUUAUAUAUAGGUAUAUAUAUAUAGAUAUAGGGAACUCUUGAAAACUCCUUGGCAAUUGAAAUAUAGGAACUUGUGAGAAGCCAGUUUUCUCCCACAAUGCAGUCACUGAUAACUUUCUAUACUAAGAAAUCCUCAUAUUUGCUCAUUAGGAUAAAUAAGACCCCAAAUGAAAUUUGAUAACUCAAUCUAAAUGUUCAUCCAGAAUUUCAGGAUUCUGGUAGCAAUGCAGAGACACCUCAAACUCAAAAGAGAAUAAAUGUGAUGGAAGAGAUAAUUCUAGAAAUGAAUUAAGAGGAUCCAUCGGUGACAAGAAGAUGAAUAUGACUAAUGAAGUCAAGAUAACAUGGAGCUAUAGAUUUUCAGGGGUAUUGAUGCAAUUUUCUGACCACAACAUUGGCAAUCUUACCUGAUGCUACUCUCAUGGUCAACAGUGCUACAUUUUCCCUUUUUCUUUUCUGUUCCUUUAAGGGAAAUUUUAUCUUCCUCCAGAACCUCUCAUCUUUAUAAACCCAAGUAAACCAACAAAGCACAAAGCUCAAAGAGAACGAGAGAAAAAGGUCAUUAAAAGUUCAUAAUUAUUUUCUGACAUGACUUCAAACAAGGGCCACCCAAAAUCUAAGCAAUUGAUAAUGGAAAUUUUGGUCCAACCAUCAGCUCCUCGCUUUUCAAUUGCACAAUGGCUCAAUGAAACAUGAAUGUUACAUGCGUCUCGCAAAUGCAUCACUUAUUUCACAUGUUCCCAGCAGUUAAUCGAGGAUAUCUAAUUAGAUGGAUAACACAUUGGGAUAAAGUGAUACUUGAAAUUAUAUGUGAGAUCAGCAAUAGUUUCAAAAUUUUCAUCCAUGCAUAUAAGUAUCAGAUUUUCAUUCUUUUUUAAAAUUUUUUUUGCUUGAUUGUAUGUGUCUUUGAGUUGUUUCAUCCAGCCUUAACUUCCAUAGAUCUUGGUAUCUAGAUAUGUAAAAAUUUCUUUUUAUGCUUAGAUCACUGAUCAUGUGACUAUUUUGAAUUCAUUCAACAACCUAAGCACCAUAAUUUAGGGUUAUAAAGUGUUGUAAUGACAUAUACUGUUUAAUAUACUAUUUUCCUUUUUAUAAGAACUGUUUAUUGUUAUAAUCAGCACAGAAGUUAUGUUGAGGAUGUUUGACUGCUAAUGUUGGGGAGUGAUGUAGGAUCCUAAAAUUUCUAGCACUAUGCAACUUUCUCGUGUUAUGGAAUAAGGUGAAGAAACUAAAAGAUGGAUUGGAAAAAUAAAAAGAUAUCCUUAGCAAUCAUACCAAGGUUCCUAGGCAAUCACAGUUAGGAAAAAGGCGAUUACACCCUUAAAAGAAGCAUAAUGGAUGCUGAAGCUUUUACUAAAUUCUCUUCUCACUUUGAAAAGUUACAUAGGACAUCUGUCUUAAUGACCCUUUCCUAAUAGGACAACUCUCCUAAUUCCUUAUCUUCCCUUGUAAGAAUAAGAAAAGAUAUAGGAAAGGAAUAUCAUUUAGAAACCAAAGAAAUAGAAACUUUUCUAAUACAAUAAGAAGACUAAAAGAAAUAGAAACCUAACAAAAGUUAACAACUAUAAUAAAAACUUAACUAACUAAAAUAGAAACUUAACAAACAAACUAUACCAUAUUAAGGCUUGGACAUUGGAACCAGCCUUAACCCUUCUCUUAUAAGUCUUCAAAGGAUGUUUCCAUCAUUGUUCCCCAUCAGGGAGUGUUUUGGAUACUAAUAAAUAUCAUGUUAGGCUUAUGUUCUGUUCUUCUCUUCAACUCAGAUGCAAGUGAAACCACUAGAUUUCAAGUUACAUUUCCAAAUGUUCUGAUAUUUCCUAAUUUUUAUGCAAUCAUAUGUUUUAAGCAUUUUUCAUGUUUCCAAAAUUUUUAUGGCAUUUCCAGAGUUCCUAAAACAUCUUCUCAUUGGGUGUUCCCAUGUUAUUGAACCAAGUGGGAUGUAAUAUCCUCCUGAAAGCUUAUCAUAUGGAAUGCAGACCAACGGAACCUAAAUGUUUAUGGGUAAGACCAUCUACCCGGUUGUUUUUAUGGUGGUAUUCAGCUUCAAUUCCAGCGGAUAAGUCCAUCUGCAAUUCCAACAAGAAAUUAGCUUUAUUAUGAUAGUUCACAUGGUCAAGUAAAAGCUUAAGAUCAGAAAGAAAAACUCCAGAAAACUUUUUUAUUUUAUUUUAUAUUAUGAAGGGAAAAAAGGAAUCAAAAGUAAAAAAAAAAAAAGAUCACUGUAUUAAUUUGAAAUGUAGAAGUAACUCAGGAUGCUCACAUCUUCAGCCAAGGGUUUCCAAUACUCUGAGACAACAGGAGUACGGACACGCUGUGGAUUAGUAAGAGCAUUCUGGACAGGAAAAUAAAAACCAGGGCAUGAGAACAGUAGAAUGAUUAUCCAAAACUAUGAAAUAAUAUUUUGUUAGAAUGUCCCUUCAUAUCAAAAUCAGAAAAAAAAAAAAAAAAAAAAAACAAGUAUUAAUGUAUUAUGAAACACUCAAAAGACCGGUAACUUGGGAAUUAGCAAAGUUAUACAAGAUGGAUCUAACUAUCUCAUAAAACACUUUUUAAAUUAAAAUGGUUGGAAGGUAAAAACAGACAACUAUCUUGGUAUCUUGUGGCAUUUCAACCAUAUGAAGCACAUCGAUGCCCACUUUUUUUUUUUUUCCCGAUCAGACAUCAAUGCCCUCUUGAUUCUUGAUCUUGAUAAUACUACUGAUAUGGAAAUUAAAAUAUCAUAGCAAUCAACCUGAGAUUUAAAGGGAAAAAGAGGGAGAAAGAGAGAGAGAGGUGAAAGUCCUGUAAUGAUUUAAUUCUCAUUACUAAGGAUGUGUUGUUUAGGGGCCCCAUGGGCCAAUUGUGCAGCUAGACCACAAUUAUUCUCUAUUGAACUUUAAUUAUUUUGCCUUUUGAAGUAAUUGGCUACAAUUCUUAAAUACACCAUGUUCUAGAUGCAUCAAUAACUAUCACAAUCCAAUUUUUGUCCUACCAGUAAACAAUAACCACACUCAACUUAAAAAUCAAAUGGGGUUGUGCAGCAUUUUUCAGCCCAUUGUUAAGCCAAAAACUACUUUAACACAUUUAAUCCUUUCAGCUUCUAGCGACACCCUAAUUUCUUCCUGAUCUCACCAAUAACCUGCUUGCCUUAACCUCACCCUGCACCACUUAUCACUCCAAAAUUCACCUUUGUCCAAUAGCAACUUCAAAAUUCAUAAAACUCAAAAGAAAUUCCAUUCUUUCUCUAAUCAAGCCCCAUUUUUUAUACUUAUGCCUGGAUGAAUGAAUUGUAAAAUUGCUGCUCUUCAACAUUCAUCUCUUCUCUUUUCCCCAAACCAAUGAAUCUUACUUUUCUAAACAAAGAAAACUUUUUGUCUUAUAGAAGCAAAGCUCUGGAGUCUCGAAAGGAAGUAGAAAGUUUGUUAGGAGGGUGAGUGUGAGUAAGAACAUUUUAAGAAUUAAGUUUCUGGAUAUGAAAGAAAGCCCUUUUUACACUUCCUCAAGAAACGUUGGAAAAUCCAAGCGUAACUUGGUUGAACAAGCUGGUAAGCAUGACCAUUCAACCCUAUACUAAUAUUUUUUUCUUUUUCUUUUGAUCCAAAUUCAACCCUAUACUUUUUUUAUUUUUGAUAAGUAAAUUUACAUAAUAUUAAUAAAACACCAAAGAGGCACACCAAAGUAUAAAGGACAUAUACAAUAGUCACCACAAGGCGCCAAAAAAGGGCAAGGGAGACAAAAAUACUCCCUCCCUCAACAAGAACCCAACCAAUCAAUGAAAUCAAAUAAGGACAAUGGUCCUUCACCUAUCAAAAGCUACAAAUGAACCCAGUUUUUAAUCCUUCGUUCGAAAGUUCCUCAUUAUCAAAAGCUUUUCUAUUUCUCUCUUUCCACAAUGUCCAAAAAAGGCACAAUGAGGGUGCUUCCCACACUUUUUUCCAUUUCCUUCCGACAAAGGAGCCAUGACACCCUAGCAAAGUUGCUUUUACAGAAACACCACCACCCAAGAAACACCAAAAAGGGACAACAAAAGCCCCGAUUCUCACAAUGUAGAAAAAUGUAAUCAACCAACUCCUAUUCAACAAGAUAAAGAGAACAUCUAUUUGCUAAUACCCAUCCUCUUCUCUGGAGCUGAUCAAGAGUCAGUACUUUUCCCCAAGGCGCCUCCCAAGCAAAAAAUACACGCCUUAGAAGGAACCCACGGAUUCCAAACAACUCGUAUUGGAAAGGGCACUGAUCUUCUAAGCUCAAGAAAAGUGUAAAGAGACUUAACCGAGAAAGUUCCAUCUUUUGUAUUAAGCAUUAAAUCUCAUCCUUGACUUCCAGUAAAAAAUAUUCCUAACAAAUAUUCAACUUCCUAAACAAAAAGAAACCUUGUAAAAAAAAAAUACCAACAAUGAGAUCAUCACUCGACAAGGAAAAGAAAUAGGAAGUUAUGAAUUGUAAGAUGUGGAUUUUUAUAAAUUAAUUAUUGUUAGAUAGCUAGCUUACUUUAUGUUUGUUAUGAGUAAAGAGGAUUUCAUUGGGCAACACAUGUCAAGUGAGAAACUUUUUUAGUGACUAAUACAUGCGUAAAAUUGAUAAUAUAAAAGCCUUUUCCUUUUCUAUAAAAUUAAUAAUCAUUAGGUACUAGAAUAGGGGCUAAGGCCAUGUGCAAUUGUAAUAUAUUAUGCAACAAAGUGCAAAUGUGCACAUCUAACUCCUGAUAGAAGUCAUUGUGUGCAAAAAUGCACGAGGUUAGCACCUUACUGAAUCCAAUCCUCAUAUAUAGGACCAACAAAGGGUAAUAACCUGUUUAAUAAAAGGCAACAAAAUUUGAGGAAAAUUACAUCUAGAAAAGAGGACUGUGAAAAGAUCCAUACAACAUUGAUAGACCAACUUUUUUUAGUGUGAUUUGAGAGAAGGAAGCUUUACUGUGGUCCUUAGGCAAUUAAGCUAUUUACACUAAAGUGCCCUAUUCUUUAAAGGAACCUUCCACGACCUAAACCGUCCUUGUGCUUUGGCUUAAUGCCACCUCCUACCCAACUAAAUGAUUUCAACUAGAUUCCCCAUGACCUGGCCAAAGUGAAUCUCACUCAAUCUUUCAAUUCUAGAGGUACACUAACCGGAAUCCUAAGAGAACAAGCAGGUUGGAAGGUCGGCCAAGAAAGACUAAAUCAAAGUAAUCCCAUAAAGGACACAGGUUUUUUUCCAACAAUCAAGCUCCUUCAACACUUAAACUAAAUAGAUCUCAAAAUCCCUGGGCUUUUAAUGUCACCUCUCAGCAGGAUACCUUUACAUAUUUGAAAGACCACUUGAUAGUCUCAUAGCCCAUUGAAGGAGGCUAUUUUUAUGCUGUCUUCCUGAUGGAUGUUGACUCCACCACAAGGCACUUAGUGAAGGUUAAUUUUUUAUUUUUUUUUUAAGACUAGACACCAGCCUGCAGACUUUAAGAUAGGCUUCAAGCUAUAUAGUCUUUUCAGUAGAAGAGAAAAAGUUGUAUUAUUUGCAAAGAAGUGAUGGGUAACUGUAAUUCGUUCUUGACUAAAAUUAAAACCUUUCACCCUAUUAAUCAUUCUCUCAAGUACAUCCACCACCACCCUUUAACAAGAAAGGAAAGGGGAUCAAACAUCCCCUUUUCUAGGGCUUCCUAGAAGCAUUAAUCCAAACCUAGCUAUCCUGUCGUGUACAUCAGCUAUUUCAUCAAGGACUAGAAAAACCUUGAUCAACCAACACCAUCUUAUGCUAAAGAAGUUCCCAUUCCGAGUAUGGUCCAGGAAAUCAAAAUCAACAUGACUGUCUUCUUAAAGCCCAUUUUUAAAAACACCUUAUGUUCCAAGAUUUCGUUAGCUAUGACUUGCAUUAGAAGUUCAUUGAACCGUAUCAAAAGCUCCUUGGGAAUGGGAAAUUAUGUACCGAGGAACUUUUCUUUUUUUAAAUUUUCAUUUCUUUUUAAAGAAAUGACAUUUCAUUCAAAGACUUAGAGACUAUUUGUUUUUUUAACUUUUUGAUGAAAGCAAUUUGCUUUCAUACUUUAAGUUGUUUGUUUUUCUACUUUUUCAUGACUUAUUAUAAAUUUUUGGCUGAAUAGAAAAAUCCAAAAUUUUUUGCUUUUUCUAAAUAGAAAAAGUAACAUAUUGAUUUUUCUUUAUUUUUUAAUGUUUAAUAGAAAUAAAAUAUUACAAAAACAAACAACCUAAUACUUAACACUAUUAAAUACUAUUUAGUUUUAAGUUCUACUUAGGAUUAAAGGAAAAAAAAAAAAAAAAACAAACAUCAUCUUAGUUAGCUUUGGGGUCAGUUCAAGAGAUGGAGUGUCUUGGCAGAGAAUCAAGUUUUCCACGUUAUGGGUUAUUUGAUGAGAGCAAUGCCAAGAUCAGCAAAGACAAAUGCAGGCCCCCCAGGGGAUACAGGCUAGUUGGAAAUUGAGGGUUUUCUGGACAGUAGAGAUCACAGUCAUGCUGUGAUGCAGACUUUCUCAAUUAAAUGUUUUGACGUUCAAAGAAGUAUCAUACUAUUUCUUUCUAUGAUGGAGAGAGCUGCACAAUGUAUAAAUGAAUGACAACCUUAGUGUAUUGCCUAUCAUCCAAAACUAUUGAGUAAAUGAGAAUAAAACAUACUGGGUUUUAAUCUGCCCACUUCCACAACUGAGAGAGUUCUUUAUUUCCCAUUCUCCACCUUGGCCUACUGGAAAAGAAAUACAUAUUCCAUCAGCAGCUGUAGAUGGAUCUAGUAAAACAUUUUUUAAAAUUUUAAUAUAAACAUGAUUGCUCAAUGACCAGGAUGAUAUAUAGUUGAUUAAGCAUUUUCCAAAUUUAAUUGGUUGGCACAGAUACAAGAACAAAAUUAACACAUUAAAAGCAAAAAGAAAAUCACUGGAUACAUAUUAACCCUCUGAUUACAAAAUGAAAAUCCAUUUUGUACUGAAUUUUCACCAUAUUAAGAAUCCACUAACAUACUCUCUGUCAAAGAGCUUGAAGUCAUUCAGAUUUACAAGUAUAAAAAUAAUUGGAAUAUAAUUCUCUCUUGAAUCAAAGUCAAAGAUCUCAUGUGGAUUCCGCUUCUUAACUAUGUCUUAUUUUAAGGUCAAUGUUUGUCAGUAAUUGAAAUUUCUGAAAACAAAAUUUCUAAGCAUACUUCAGAAAAUCAGAACAAUUAUAACUUGAAAUGAAUAUAAUUGGUUAGAAUAUAAGUAGUGUAAAGUUAUCUGAAUGUGAUACUUUGAUACAUUUCAUGGUUGAAUCUUAGUUAUUGAAAAAUUAUUUUACAAUUUUUUUUUCUUAAAGAAUAAAUUCUAAACAAAAUAAAUAGGGAAGUUUUUUUCUGGUUUAAGAAAUAUGCAUGCAAGAGAUCUUUCUGGGUAAUUGAGAGGGAAAAAAGAAAAAGAUUUUAUAGAUGACGAAAGGAACCUUAAAACCUAAACUCCACAUAGGUGUAAACUCCCAAAAUUGUAUAAUACGUGUGUUUGACAAGGGAAAAGGUAAUUCUAAUGAGAGAUUUCUUAGAUUAACUGAAGGACUGAGAAAGAGGUCUAAAGAUUGAAAGGAGAUUCUGUGCAGUGGAGAGGAAAUUGCUUGAGCUCAGAAGACUUUUAUUUGGAAAGGGACAAGGGGUUCAACUGGAAGGGCUAUAGAACAGUUGAACAGGGCAUGUUCUUUGGCAAGGGAUAUGGGGUUUUACAGGAAGUUUAGAGGAAGAUCAAGGGCACAUUUAUUUGAAAUUGUUUUGAACAAGAAUGAGAGAUUCAAUUAGCUUAUCAAAAUUUAUGAUGGACAGAAGGCCUGCCCCUUUGAGUUUGUUUAAGAUAGGAUAUUAAACAGAUCAAUAUGUCACAUGAAGGCCUGCCUCCACAGCCUCUUGCUUCUAAUUGAAUCUCAUAUCAGUCAGAAGCACAACUAUCCAUCCAUUCCCACCUUAGAUGCAAGCAGGUGCACCUAUUCAUAAUAUACAACUCUUAUCUUCUUUAGUAUUAGUUCCAGGACUUUCUAUUAAGAAGAAAAUAAUGCGAAUGGAAUCCAAAUUAAAAUCAUUUCCAAAGGGUUAACUGCUGAAACAUGGGAAUGUUUUAUCUCAUGCUUUGUUUUAUUGUAAUUUUUCUCAUUCAACUAUAUUCCUUUCAUUGAGUUGAGCUGCAGCAUUUUUAUUUAUUUUUACACAGGGUCUCAAAGAAUUGCACCUUGAUAUUCUUUUCCAGGGGAAGACCAAAAAGAUGCUUUUGUGGCUUGAAUUAUAGUUGCUUGCAGAACAAGGGAGAAGAUGGUCUUCAUGAUGACUCACAUCCCCUUUGCAUGAGGAAAAGGUAUACUUGUUCAUUAAAUCCUAGUUUGUCCUUAUGGACAUUUAUGUAGAGAUCAUUCUGUCCUUAUAUCGAAUGAGGUACAAUUAUUCCCAACAAAAAAUCUUUCCAAGAGUUUUACUGAGAAUUUAAGCAGGUGCAUCAUAUCAAUAGUUUUAUGGAAUGAGUCAAUGCCUCAUGUUCCCUUCAUUUGACCUUUGGUUUUACAAAGAUGUGUGCUCGCUCUUUAAUUUCCCAUGGAGAUGUCACUAGAUAGGUUGUAAUCUUGUUUGUGAAUCCAUUGGUGAUUGUUGUCACAAGAGCAAAAACACUCGUAUAUAUUUUCACAUUUGUGCAGCGCUUAGACAGCCCUCCAAGCCAGCCUUCCAAAACUCACACGACAUUAAAUUAAGGAACCGGCACAAGCACACACCAAAUUACAGGGCACCAAACCUAACUUGUAUUUUAUUGCUACACGGAAUAAGAAUAUAAGACAUGAAUUAACAUGACUCCCACAAAUGCACUAGUGAGUCCAUGCUCAGUUUAGACCUCCCUCUCUAGAUCUCUCCAAAUGUGUGUGCCAAUGAGGCUCUCCCAUCCCCCUUUUAUAGAGUGGCUACCACCCACUCCUUGUUAGACUAGGACUCCUCAUCCUAGUCCUACUAGGACUCUUCCUCCUGGUCCUACUAGGACUCUUCCUAAGAGGUGUGACACCAACCACUCCUACUAGGACUUUGAGUCCUACUCAAACUAUAAUUACAAAAACAAUAGGAAUGAGACUCCUACUCGAAUGAGACUCCUACUCAUGUUGGGCCUACAAUCCCACUUCGAGUCCAACUCUUCAUGCUGCUACCAUAUGUAUCUAUAUAUAGCUUGUGUGUCCAAACAGCGAGACGAUGAAUGGGAGCAUAUAUUGAAUAGCAAAAUUUGGACCUUACCACAUACUGAAUGUGGAAUCAUUCCUGCAUUACGGUUGAGUUAUCAUCAUCUUCCAACGCAACUAAAAAGAUGCUUUGUUUAUUGCACAACAUUUCCUCAAGACUACGAAUUUAGGGAAACUGAGCUAGUUUUGUUAUGGAUGGCAGAGGGAUUAAUUCAACCAUUGGAAGGAAAUAAGCAAAUGGAAGAUUUAGUUGGUGAGUACUUUCGUGAAUUGGUGUCAAGGUCAUUUUUCCAACAGUCUGGAAAUAGUGGACCACGAUUCGUCAUGCACAACUUCAUUAGUGAUCUUGCUCAAUCAGUUGCUGGACAACUAUGUUUCAAUUUGGAGGAUAAGUUGAAGCAUGAUAAGAACCAUACCAUUUUACAAGACACUCACCAUGUGUCAUACAAUUGUUGUCGUCGUUUUGAGAUCUUUAAAAAAUGUGAAGCUCUCAAGGAAGUGGAGAAGUUACGAACAUUUAUAGCAUUACCUAUUUAUGGUGGACCUCUUUGGUGUAGCUUAACUAGUAAGGUGUUUAGUUGCUUGUUCCCCAAACUAAGAUAUUUAAGAGUGCUAUCUUUGAGUGGGUAUCACAUAAAAGAGUUACCAAACUCAGUCGGAGAUUUAAAGCAUUUACGGUAUCUUAAUUUGUCCAGAACUGCAAUUGAAAGGCUACCAGAAUCAAUAAGUAAGCUCUACAAUUUACAAGCCUUAAUAUUGUGUCAAUGUCGAUAUCUUGCAAUGUUACCUAAGAGCAUCGGGAAUUUGGUUGAUCUUCGACAUUUGGAUAUUACCAAUGCAGUGAAAUUAGAAAAGAUGCCUCCACACAUAGGUAACUUGGUAAAUUUGCAAACACUAUCAAAAUUUAUUGUGGAGAAAAAUAAUAGCUCAUCAAGUAUAAAAGAAUUGAAGAAGUUGUCGAAUAUUAGAGGGACACUUUCCAUUUUAGGGUUGCAUAAUGUGGCGGAUGCUCAAGAUGCAAUGGAUGUGGAUUUGAAGGGGAAGCAUAAUAUUAAAGAUUUAACAAUGGAAUGGGGCAAUGAUUUUGAUGAUACUCGCAAUGAACAGAAUGAAAUGCAAGUUUUGGAGUUGCUUCAACCCCAUAAAAAUCUGGAAAAACUCACCAUCUCAUUUUAUGGUAGAGGAAUAUUCCCAAGUUGGAUGAGGAACCCUUCAUUCUCACUGAUGGUGCAAUUGUGUCUCAAAGGUUGCAGAAACUGCACACUGUUACCAUCUCUUGGGCAAUUGUCCUCGCUCAAAAACUUGCGCAUUGAAGGAAUGAGUGGAAUAAAAAAUAUAGGUGUUGAGUUUUACGGGCAGAAUGUGAAGUCUUUUCAAUCGUUGAAGUCUCUAACCUUUUCGGAUAUGCCAGAGUGGGAAGAAUGGCGUUCUCCCAGUUUCAUUGAUGAAGAAAGAUUAUUUCCUCGCCUCCGAGAGCUUAUGAUGACACAAUGUCCAAAGUUGAUUCCUCCGCUUCCAAAAGUUUUAUCUCUCCAUUAGUUAAAAUUAAUAGCAUGUAACGAAGUAGUGUUGGGCAGAAUUGGAGUUGAUUUCAACUCCCUUGCGGCUUUAGAAAUUAGAGAUUGCAAAGAGGUGAGAUGGUUGAGAUUAGAAAAGCUUGGCGGGCUGAAGCGUUUAAGGGUGUGUGGAUGUGAUGGACUCGUAUCCUUGGAGGAGCCAGCUCUACCAUGCAGUCUUGAAUAUCUGGAAAUACAUGGGUGUGAAAAUCUUGAGAACCUACCAAAUGAAUUGCAAAGUUUCAGGUCAGCAACUGAGUUAGUAAUCGGAGAGUGUCCGAAGCUUAUGAACAUUCUGGAGAAAGGGUGGCCGCCCAUGCUAAAGAAACUUAGGGUGGAUAAUUGUGAGGGUAUCAAGGCACUACUGAUAAUUUAUUAUUGUGAAAAUGUCAAGUCCCUACCGGAGGGUAUUAUGCGCAAUUGCAAUCUCGAGCAGUUAAAUAUCGAGGGAUGUUCAUCUCUGACCUCAUUUCCAAGUGGUGAGUUACCCUCCACCCUUAAGCACCUCGUCAUUUCGAAUUGUGGGAAUCUGGAAUUGCUGCCGGAUCACAUGCCCAACCUCACAUUGCUUUCCAUUCACAGAUGUAAGGGUCUCAAACAUCAUCACUUGCAAAACCUCACUUCUCUUGAAUGUCUGUAUAUAAGUGGAUGUCCGAGUCUAGAGUCAUUUCCGGAACGGGGUUUGGGUUUCGCCCCCAACUUGAGAGCUGUUCUCAUUAUCGAUUGUGAGAAUCUGAAGACGCCUCUGUCAGAGUGGGGACUCAAUUGGCUCCUCUCUCUCAAAGAACUCACCAUUGCUCCAGGUGGAUAUCAAAAUGUGGUUUCAUUUUCACAUGGUCAUGAUGACUGCCACCUUCGUCUUCCAACAUCUCUCACCAGUCUUCACAUUGGAAAUUUCCAGAAUCUGGAAUCCAUGGCCUCCCUGCCUCUCCCGACCCUCAUUUCCCUUGAAGGGAAGGGCUGCCGGCAACACUCGGACGGCUUGAGAUCCGGCGUUGUCCUAUCAUAGAAAAGAGGUGCUUAAAGGGCAGAGGAGAAGAUUGGCCCCACAUUGCGCACAUCCCUGCAUUGUUAUAGGCCUCAAUUGAGAC